rnacentral:lncRNA from 1 species
UGCCAACAAUAAGGCCAAGAAAGGGUGAGACUGUGGGAUAGCUGCUUCGUCUGCAGGUUCCACUGAAUUAAAUAAAGGUUAACCAGUUAAGAUUACCUUAUUGAACCACUGAGUCCUAGAGGUAUCAUGUAAACCAAGGAGCAGGUAUUCAGGCUGAAACAAGCACAUGAUACUAAGUUCACAUUGUUUAAAAAUGAUAACAACUGGUGCCAAGAGGUUAGCAAUUUUUUUUGCUUCUUGUUGACACAAAGUACUGAUGCACCUGAUUGAGAGGACUGAUGUUUCGAGUUUUGGGUUGGGAAGAAGUCCUGAUAAUAAGACCAUCAUUUCAAAGGACCAAAUCUCGAAGCUGUUGCAGGCAAAGAAUCAAACAAAAACAUCAUGAUUGCUUCGAGCUACAGAAUCAUGAAGACCCAUGUCGAUAUUGUACAAGGAAUAGUGUCAGCGUCAAUUAAUAAGAAAAUGUAUCCUUUCGAAGUCGGAAAAAUCACAUCCUGAACAUAAACUAGAAUAAAAAGGUUUGACAGCCCAUUGAUGAUUCUGAAAAAGAAUUAUGACCAUCAUUUGUUUCGUAUACUGUCCCGCAUGUUUUUUAUCUUUUAUAAUAUAGUUUAUGCCAAAAGUGAACUAGGAGAAGCAUAAAAGCUAGAGAAUUACCAGAUCAUGACAGCAGAAGGAAUUGCUAAUUUCAGAAAUUCAGGAAUCCCAUGAAAGGCUUCCUUGGAGAAACCAGUCCAAGUUCUUUUGCAAGACGGUGAAAUUCUAACAUAUAUUGCCAGUAACAGCACGUUUAUCCAGUACGAGAUAGCAUUUGCCAAAGCAGCGCCUUUGUUUCCGAGUCCUGACUUGAACACCAGAAACCAACAUAUGAAAAUAUGCAGGAAGGUGGUGAUUCCUGAACUGACCAUCAUUGGAACAACAUUAUUCUGCGUCUGCAGAAACCUGACGUGGCACUGCAGGAGCGCAUAUGCGAAAAUGCUGGGGAUCAUGAAGCGAGCGUAGGAUCCUGCCUCUGCGGAUAUCUGAGGAUCUUGCUUGAAGAAUAGAAGGAUUUGGCCAGUGUUGGCCCAAAUGAUAGCUAGUGGAAUGCUAGCCAAUAGGAGAACUAUCAUGGCCCUCUGCUUGUGGAUACCAAGCAUGUGGUAUUGCUUAGCUCCAUAAGACUGACCGCAAAAUGUAUCCCAAUGCACUUGCCAUUCCUGUCUGUUAUGGACCAAGCAUCUAUAGAUGGUGGUUGGAGCAAAUUAGUGUUGGAAUUAUCUCAGCUGCUGUUUUUCAGUCAUAUUUCCUCUGUUUUCCUCUGUUUUUUUUUUUAUUAAAAAACAGCCAAGUUCAUUUAGUUAUGCAUUUAGUAUUUUUUGCUAUUUUCUAGGAAGUUAAUAGCACGUUUGUGUGCAGUUAUGUGUUGCACAUACGUGAGCAGUUUCUACUUUGUUUUUAGUUGUUGUACUCGACAGUUUUUUUUUUUUUCGCACAAGACGUAUGAAGUGCUAUGCUCUGUUUUUUUUUUUUUUUUUUUAUCUUUUCUCUCUCUCAAACAACAGAAAUUUUUCUGUUUUGAUUGUUGUUUUUAUGAGCUUUAACAAUUAGACGUCCCAAAAUGAAAUUCAAGAAGUUUGUCACUAUAUCUUAGGAACCCAAAUGAGGUUGCUAGGAGCAUUAGGAGUGUGUGGCCAUAGUUCACUCAACUUAUAUCCGGUUAAGGAAUCUGAACAAGGAAAUUCUUUCAUCUAUUUCAUUUUCGGACUAGGAUCCCCAACAAUCUUUUCUUAAGUGCAGUUAACAAUUGUGCUGAUUUGUGGCAAACACCAACGUUAAGUUUCCAAUCUUGACAUUGCUAAAUCUAGCUAGAAGGGAGAAAAUCACACAUUUAGCACACUGAGCUUAUUGAGAGAUAAUAGAUUCAGUAGAUGAAUCUUUGUCAAACUGCAAUAAUCUGAAAAUGAGCUAAGGUUAAUAGACAGGCAAUCUAUACAUGGUACUUCGAAAGCAGGCCUGCACGCAGUCUUAAUUGAUCCAACAAUUGCUAAACUCUGUUUAUUCAACAGGAAAGAGAACUCCUAUAAUCAUGUCAAUAAUAGAAGUGGCACUAUACAUCUUUCAAGAUAAAUAAUAUCCUGGAAGAAAACUUUCAUAGAAGUGACAUAGUAUGGUGCUACUUUCCAAUUCUUAAAGUCUUUCAUCUCUUAGUUGGUUUAUCUCAAGAUUAAAAGAGGAAGAAUUGUUGGGUCGUACCAACAUACUAAAGCCAGUCACAGAAGCGAAUGACGUGGCCAUGGAAGCCCCGGAAAGUGCUAGCUCUCCAAGAUGACCCACAAACAUCACCGAGAUCACCUGCAAACAAUAUAUCAUCAGGUUCACCGAUACCAAUGGCCCAGCCAAUGACAGUUGCUGCUUUAUUUCCGAGAAAAUCUCAUCUUUCUUGAAUCCAUUUCCCAACGUGGAUGCCGCCUUCUCCCGAGGAACCGCUAACAGGAGUGACUCCAAAUGCUGUUUCUGUUCUUCCACAUCCAUUGAUUGCUUCCUCUGUGCUUUUAGGCUGAGUGAGGGAAGCAGAGGGAAAAAAACAGGGCAAUAGCUUUUUAUAUAUCGUAGAGAUUCUCUCUGCAGAAAACGACCAAGUAACUCGUAUGCUUAUCUUCUCGCAUGUUUGGUGAAGUAGAAUUCGGCAGACUUUGUCGUGUCAGAUUCCUUUCGAGCAUUAAAUGCAACUAAAGUGAACCGAGACAACUUAUGUCCUUUUCACAAAUAUAGUUAAAAAAUCAGCAUUCCUUUUUAUUUUGUUUGAACUAGAAUAUGAAAGUCCACGUAGAUGUCGAGCUUUAAUAUUCGAUCUUCAAUCACUCUCUUGAUUUUCCAAUCAAAAUGAUACACUGAAUGUAAUCAUUGGAGUUUAAGAAAGAAACAGAAAACGACAAGCUUGUCAACAAGGGUGGGCUAGAAAAACGGUAGAAAAGUAGGGCACGAUUACAAAGAAGAAAGAAGGAAAAGGGAAAAGAAAGGAAGGAGAAAAAAGAAGCAAGAGCAUUCGUGCCUACAAGCUUCGGAGACAAGGACAAGACGGAUUAACUCCGUUUCAUAGUGUCUGGAAAGGAGUCGUACUUUUUGUUCAUUUAAUCAGGAGGAAUUUUCGAGAGUUAAGCCCUAAAUUCGGAUUCAUGUGAAUUACGAGUUUCUAGGUUCAAUCUAGGGGUUGUUAAGUUGUGAAAUUAAGUAAAAAUAGUAGUCUAGAAUGUUGUGAAAUUAUGGGAUUUUUCUUUUCAAAGAGACAUGGGAGUUUACAAUGAGGAAUUUUUAAAGUUUCAUGCGAAUUGCUAGAAGUUGUAGCCGGAGGGACAUCUUAAAGGGGAUUGUUAAUCUAAAGAAUGAGAAUGGUAAGAAAAUUAGAGUUUAGUCUAUAGAUGAUGUUGCAACUGUAACAGACUAUAAUUUGGAUAAUGUUGAUUAUCUCUUGUUUAUCAAUAAAAAUUUAUCGUUUAAUGGAUAGAUUAAGGAUUCUAAUUGUUUGUUUAAUGCUAGACCAGAUAGGAAUUGGUUUGCUAUUUAUCAAUGCAUGGAUAAUGGUAAAGUGCAGUUGGGAAACAACACUAAGUUCGAUGGGUGUUGUGACAUCUUGAAUUUCGACCCCAUCUUAAUAAAAUGAAAUGGGCUUUUCACCGACACGUCUAUAGUCAUUUUUCUCUGAGCUGAUCACUCACGAGUGUGAAGCCAUUAUCGGAUAUAACUGUGGUAAAAUCUUUAAAAGCUACCUGGUAGGUUGGAUUGGACUAAAAUCGUGUCUGGUUGAUUUUAACCACGAAUUGAGCUCGGUUUUGGGAAUCAAACAUUCGAGCGUGUCACGAUUUAUUUUUAGGACAUCAUCUCAUUUUUCGGGGAAAUUCCGUCGAGUCUGGGAUUUUGCGGAAAAUUCGAUUUCGGACAAUUUGGAAAAAAAAUGGUGGAAAUUCAUAUGAGCACCUUUGAGUGAAAUUUUGACUACCAAUUUAAGUUGGGUUGUGGAGAGUAAAAUGGAAAUUCGUAGGGACUGCUCGAGGGAUAUAUUUGACCUCCAAAAAGACUUUGUUUUGUGAAGAAAUGAAAAGAAAUCAACCAUUGGAGUAUCUAUGGACUUUGUGGACAGAAUUAAGGGGCUUUUGGCCUUCAAAUUGGAUUGAAAUGUGAAGAAAAGAAAAGAAAUUCGUAUGGGCUGUGUGCAGGGGAAUGUUGGGCACCAAAAUGAAGUCAAUUGGUGAAGAAAAGAGGGAAAAAUAGCCAUUGGUUCAUGGUUUGACAAAAUUGGGAAGAAGACUUUGGGUUCUUUCAUCAUUCCUUUGAUAUUUUCUCUUGCUCCUCAUUGAUUCCUUGGUUGACAUUUUGGUUCCUUGUCCCCCUUCUCUCUCCCAUUUCUCUUUCUUCAUUCACGCAUGAACCCCCAUCAGCCGACUUCCCCCUCUGCCAUUUUCCCCUUUGUCUUUUUCCCACGAUUAUUCCUCACGUUUCUCCCUCCCACUCACCUUCUUUCAUUCAUUUCUUCCUUCUGCACAUCACCGCCAACAGCCCCCAUUCCCCCACGUCCACCCACUUCCUCACGAACUCCAUUUUUUCACCAGCCCAUUAUCUCAUCAGCCCAACACCCUCACAGCAGCUAGAACUGGCAAAAUCGGUCAUAAACCCAUAUUAUGACUCAUUUUUAGUUAAAUGGGUCAUAUAUGGAUCAAGUGAAAAUUAAAUAUAGGUCAUAAAUCGGUCUGAGAAAAUAAAAUACAAAAAGAAAUUGAUCUAAAUGGGUUAUUAAGAAACCCACUUUAAGUUUAAACCCAGGGCAUUUUUUAACAUUAUAAAAAUGUUUUCUUAUUAUAAAAAAUUGAAAUUAUAAUAAUUUUUUUUCUUUUUUCUUUAUUUUUCUUCAUUCCUUAGCCUGCAGCCAACAAGGCAACAGCCAGCCGGCAAUAGGCCGGGUGAGGCUUGAGCUUGCUGAUGUCGGNNNNNNNNNNNNNNNNNNNNNNNNNNNNNNNNNNNNNNNNNNNNNNNNNNNNNNNNNNNNNNNNNNNNNNNNNNNNNNNNNNNNNNNNNNNNNNNNNNNNGAGAUCGAGCCCCGCCCGACGCCAGCUGCCUCGACCACGCGAGAUUGGCGAGAUCGAGCCUCACCCAACACCGGUGAGCUCAAGUCUCGCCAACGAGUGGUGAGGCUUGAGCUCACCGAUGUCGAGCGGGGACUCAGCCUCGCCGGAUCGGCGAGAUUGAGCCCCACCCGACAUCGGUGUGCUCGAUCUCACCUGUGGCCGGUCGCCGACCGUCGUCGUGGCCGGCGGCCAGCCGAAGAAGAAGAAAAAAGAAAAGAGAAAAGAGAAAAAAGAAAAAAUAAUUAUUAAAAAUUAUAUUUAAAAAAAUUAAAAGUUCGAUUUUUUAAAUAUUUUAAGAAGAAUUAUAAAAUUUUGCAUUAAAUUUGUAUUGCAUAAAAAUUGUUAAAAAAAUUGUAUUACAUAAAAAUGUUUUAACAAUACUUUCUUUUAAUAAAAAAAAAUCAUAAAAAUGAGCUUUUUUAGGUUUAGUUAAAAAAAAUUCAUGUUACAGUUUUUAGUUAUUCAAUGGUUUGUUCACUCAAAUAAGAUAAGCAUGUGCAUAGUUUAAUUUUUUUUUUAAAUAUUACAUUUAUAGGUUUUUUUUUAACUUUUUUUAAUUUUAUUUACUAUUUUUAAUUUAAUUUGAAGUUUUAAUCCAAUUAACAUAUAGUAGAAGUGAGUUUUCCUAGAAUAUUAAUAGGUUUUAGCAAUACAAGUCAGGUCGGGUAUGGGUUAAGCACGGGUCGGGUCGGGUAUGGGUUACUUGAUUUACACUAUAAGAAUAUUGGUCAAAACGGGUUAAAUGGGUCAAAUAUUGGUUAAACCAUGACCCGACCCACCCAUUUGCCACCUCUAAUAGCAGCUUCACCAGCGCCAGCUCUAGCUUUCCCUUUUAUUUUUGCCGCCUCAACUCCAUGUCUGCCAUCCUCUUCACGUCAACGUCCAGUUGCCUGCUCCUCAUGCCUAUAGCCCGCUUCACCGCUCCUCAGCGUUCAAUAGUUACUGUCCUGACCAUCAACACUCGGCACCCGAAUCUCCUCCAUAGCUCAGUCCAAGCCAAGCUGAAACCAGCUUUGACCAGUAGCUCCAAAACAUAGUAGAAGCAAAACCGGUUUCCAACUCAAGUUGUGAGAUUGCGAGGUGUUUUUCGGCCUCUUCUGGGCCUCCCUUGGAGCAGCCGUAGUCACAGGUCUUCACUUCCUUCGUGUCACCGUCGCCGUGAACCUGUUUGCUCCCUAAUCCGGUGAGUUAACUCCAUAAUCAUUGAUUAGUUGUUAAUUACACUUAAGAUGUUAGAUUAGUGUUCAUUUGCUUAGUUAGAUUAGUACUAAGUGAGAUUAGUCUUUAAUAUAGAUUAGUGCUAAUCUAGAAUGGUUAAAUUAGCCUUAAUAUGGAUUAGUAUUAAUCUAAUUGGUGAGAUUAGCACUAAUGAAAGCAGAUUAACCCAAUUUGCUAGAUUUCUCCUGGAUAUGGUUUCUAGACCCUCGCCGUUUGCCAUUUUUUUAUAUCGAAAUGGGUUGCGAAUUUGAGGUUAAUUCCUUGAGAAAUUUUUUAUAUAUCUUCAGCUAUGAUAUAUAUUUUACUUAACAUUUUAGAGAUUUAAAAGUAUGAAAUUUCAGCUCCAUCAUUUGCAAACAGAAUCUCGGACUAUGUUGAAAUUUGUGACCUUUUGGUAUUCUAGGGAUUUUUAUUAACUCUUAGGAUUUGAAUUUCAAAAUGGUUUCUUCAUACAAGUUGUUUGUUACAUUUUUUAGUUUAACAUACUCAAAUUUCAGAUUAAACGGAUAAGUUUUUUUAUCUUAAACCAAACUAAUUUUGGAAAAUAGAUUUUCUGAAAACGGACACAAUUUUUUGUACUAGAUUAAGCCAUUUUUUGAGCUUUAUCCAGAAAGAUCUGGGUUAAGAUGUCUUCAUAAAAAAAAAUAUUUUUUUAUGUGUCCUUUACAAUAUAUUCAAAUUUGAGAAUUUUUUGAACUCGUUUGAUUAAGAUUAUAGAUUUAAACUCGGAGACGCACAAGUGGACCGUUUCUGCCGGUUAUGGCCGGUUAUGAUUUUGUGCAUAUUUGAUGAUAUGGUUGGUUUGUGACAUGUUUGGAACUUAUGCAUGAUGAUGUGUGAAUGGCUAUGCCAUGUCGAUGGUUUAUGGUCAUAGCAAAAGAUGGUUGUUGAAGGGCGAUAUGUGAUUAUGUGAGGAUUAUUGAAAAAUGAGGUGAUGUGUUGAGGCAAUCACAUGUGUUGUGUGGAAGAAACCAAAUGGGUGGUGAUUUGGAAAAGGACUAAGUGCUACACGAUAACAUAAUUUCAUAUGAGCCACCUCUAGAAUCUUGUACCGUUGCUUAUUGUAGUCAAGGACUAAGUGUUACAUGGUGAACUGAGUCACAUGGGAGCCACCUCUAGAUGACAGCGUGACUUUAUGGGAGCCACCUCUAGAACCUUAUACUAGUGUUGUAUGUAGAAAAGGACUAAGUGCUACAUGAUAACGGACUUUGUGUGAGUCACCUCUAGAAUCUUGAGCUAUCGCUAAUUAUGGUCAGGGACUAAGUAUUACAUGAUAGCAUGACUUUGUGUGAGUCACUUCUAGAUUCUUGUUAGGGGUGAGCAUCGUUUCAGGGUCAACCUUGGAUCGACCCUAGACCGACCCAACCCUACCGAUUUGGGUUCGAUUCCCAAGGAGACUUGGUCGGUCCUUGGUCCUGGAAUUCCUAGACCAGCACUGUGCGGGUCAGUCCUUGAUCCUAAGAAUUCUGGGUCAGUCCAACCCGGACCAAUCUUGACUAUAUAUAUAAUUUUUUUAUAUAGUGAAAACCUUAAAAUAAAUGACAUUAACAACAUUAAACGGCUCUUUAGUGAGGAGUUCAAGUAAUUUUACAUUGCUCUUUAAUAACUUAGGUUUUUAAUGUCUUUUACAGUGUCAAUAGUCAUAAUUUACAAAUGAGGAAAAAUGUUUUUGUGAGGAGUCCUCAUGGCGUCCAAAAAUGCACCUUAUGGCAUCCUCCUCUAGUAUUCAUUCUCUUCUAUCUUAUUCCUUCUCUUAGUCUUCAAUUUUCCAAAAUCAAAAGAAACAAUUUCUCCGCUCACCACUCAAUACUUGCCUUGCUCACUUUGGGUCACUUGUGUCGCUCGCCGCUCGAUGCUCGCUUGGCUUGUUGUUCCCUGCUUGACAUUCGAUACUUAUUCUAUUCGAUGCUCACCCCACUUGACCCUCAUCGCUUGCCUUCUUAGCUGACCUCGCUCAUCAUGAAACCCAUUGGAUCAGUACGAUCCCUGGUUGCCCUUUCAAAGAGAACGAAAAAAGAAAUAAAAAAUUAUUGGUUGGUUCUAAGUUGACCUUGAAACUGGACUGAACCCAUUGGGUCAGUCUGGUCCUCAAUCGUUUUUUUAAGGAAUACAAAAAAUGAAAUAAAAAAUUAUCGGUUAGUCCCGGGUUGACCUUAGAACUGGACCGAACCCACUGGGUCGAUUUGGUCCUUGGUCUCAAGCUUAGUAGGGUCGGUCCUCAGUCCCAAAAAUUGAAUACCAGUAUUGUGUGGGUUGGUUCAAGGUGAGGGGGUGGACCGGCCCAACCUGGACCAUGCUCUCCCUUAAUUCUUGUACUGUUGCUGAUUGUGGUCAGGGACUAAGUGUCACACGAUAAUGGAACUUCGUGGGGGUCACCUCUAGAACCUUGAGUUAGAAUAUGGAGUUUGGAUAUUGAGAGUAAAUAUCGGGUGUGGAUUGAACCACCGAUAUGAGUUACCCACGCCUGAUUAUGGGACGAAAUUGUGGGAUACAAAAUGGGACGUGUCAUAAUGAUUUGACCUUAUAAUUUGGACUUCUAUGAAUAUUUGAUGAGUGAAUCGAUGUGUUCCAGUUCUUGAAUGCAUUUGCUAUAUACAUAAGUGUUUAUGAGGUGUACUAAUAUGCAGGAAAGUGCCGAGGCGAGGUAAGUCUUGAGUGGUGCAUGUUUAGGAUGUCUCGAAGUGAAUUCUUGUCCUAAUCGGUUAUUCUCACCCCGUCGUGAUUUACAAUUUUUCAGGUCUCUAGAAUAGAGGAUUCAGGGUCCGAGGUGGAAGGGUCCGGAGUUUAGGUGGCCUGGUAGUUUCUUUUGAGACGAGACUAAUGUGUAUAGAUUGGUAGGACCGACUUGCUAUGUUUAUAAAGUUUGAUUCGUGAAAAAUGGUUGUCUUGCUUUUACUAUCUCAUGUUUGUUGUUGUUAGGGGGUUUGUUUAAUUUGUUUCCACAUGUGCAUAAAAUAAAAAGAGUCAGCAACGCAUCCUAGUAACGUUGCCAAUUUUAGUCGACCACCUAGGGGUGUGUGCGUGCCCAGGGUUCGGGGCGUGAUAGGUGUUGGUGAUGUUAGCAUCAAAAUGCAUGACUAUAUUAUGAAGACAUAAAUUUGGUUGAGGCAUGCUCUAGAGUUGAAGAAUAACUUUGCUUUGGAUUCAAUCCAAGUAUUGAUAUACUUUAGAAAGUUGUUCGAUAUGCUUUGGUGAUAAUUAAAAAAAUCAAGUUCUUUUAAGUGCUUUGGAUUCAAUUAGGUAUCAAUAUACUUCAAAAGGUUGUUUGAUGUUCUUUCAUGAUAAUGAAAAAAAAAAAUCAAGCACAAUGACUUGUAAGAGCUUCAAGACGAGAUAGUGAUAGAUUUCGCCGCAAAGACAUCAUAUCCAUCUAUUCAAGAGUUUGAAUUUUGGUUUAUGCAUUUAGGACAUAUUGGUGAGAGAAGCCCGAAGUUUCUAAAUGAGAGGAAUCUACUGAAUGAUUUUAUGAUUAAUGAACUAAAUAUGCAAAUGCUAUAGUUAAACAAACAGUGGAAAGUGCAAUUUAAAACAAUUAUUAGAGAAAUCACAGAGAUUUUGAAGUUGAUUCAUUUGGAUGUUCGUAGGCUAUCAUGAUUUCCCUUAAGGAACAGUAUUAUAUCUGUGCUAAUGUUUGUGGAUGACUACUCCAAGAGGACGUGGACGUUUAUGCUUAGGCACAAGUAUGAUGCUAUUGUCAAGAUCAAGCAAUUGAGAUAUUUGAUUGAAAAGGAAACAAGGAAGACGAUCAAUCAUAUGUAGCUCUACAUGGAACUAUAAAACGACUUUUGCAUAAAGGAAGAUAUGGUGAGACAUUCUACCAAUGCCAAUGAAUCAUGACAUGUUGUAGAGUUGAUGAGCACAUUAUUAUUAGAGGCGGUCCAUAAAAUGCUUUAUAAUGCUAAUAGAGGUAGGGGAUAUCUAUUAGAUACAUAGCACAACAAGCUAGUUGGUAAAUAGAUCCUCAUCGACUGCGAUUAUAUGUUGGACUCUCAAAGAGGUUUGAAUAGGUAAUGUUAUAGUUUAUUAUGUUCUUUGAAUGUUUGGUUACCCAUAAUAUUUUCAAGUGAGUGAUGGUAAACUUGAUAGGAGGUUAAGAAAGUGCAUGUUUUUAGGCUAUGUAUAAGGUGAGCAGGUUCAUCGGUUAUAGUGCUAGAAAUUAAAUCACUUAUUAUUGACAAAGAAAUUACAUUUGACAAAUCUCCAGUAUUUAUGGAUAAGGCUGAUUAUAGCAGUGUUAAUGCGAAUCUAGAUGGUGUUUAGUUCAAAGUGGAGGUGCAAUGAGAAACUAUUGAGGUAACGCGUAUUAGUGAAAUAGUUGACACAGUGCUUAUAGCUAGUUGGAGCCUAUAAAGCUAAUGGUUACUAAGAUGCGUGUCAGAUCUCCUCACAAAUAUGGAUGCAACAAUAGUUUUGCUUUAUUUUUUAUAAAUAAGGUUGUCUCGGAAAAUCCUUAUGAAGCAAUUAAAGGUGCAAGUGGAGUAUGGUAAUGGGGAAGUUCAAGUGAGGUUUGAACUUGAAAGAUAUUUGUGGCAAUUGAGCCCAUGAGGGGUUGUGGGAGAGUAGUAUGUCGAAAACUCGUAACAAAGGUCCAACACCUACACCUAGAGAGAUCUCCAAGAGAUGACCUAUGUUUGAAUCUGUUAACUUAUCUAGUUGGACUUACUUUCACUCAAAAAUUUAAGUCAAUAAAUUAUGGGCUAGCUAGGAUAUAUUACUUGCUAUACACCAUACCAAUUUUUCAAUAUAAGACUUCUUUGAUAUAACUCUUAUGUGCAUCCCAACAAUAGUAAAGUUCAUAUGUUCAACAACACUAGUGUGACUUGGUUCAAAUGUUAAGUCAAUAUGGAGAUUGUUAAAAUAUAUCUUGAUUUUGAGCCCGUGAAUGAAGCUUGACCAGAGAUGAAUUAAAGGAAGGUCUGAAAGUUCAAUAUUCUAUUUCAAUAAUUAGUUUUUGUUUUCCAAAAAUUGAUUUUUCUAUUUCUAUUUCUCAGACAAAUUUUUGAGUUAAAAUAUGUAUUUGAUAACAAUAGAAAAUUUUUGUUCCCAUAAUAUAAAUUUGUAUGAUAACAACACAAAAUUUCCCUCUCUCAAGUGGUGGCGAUGAAUGGCAACGGUAGUGAAUGGUGAUAGUGAUCAAUGGAUGAUGGCCAGCUACUAGUGGACGGUGGGUAGCAACCGGCGGCCAACAAACAAUGGCAAGUGAUAAAAAAUGACAAGUGACCAACGGCUAAUAGACGGUGACCAAUGGUUGCAAGCCGGGGGUAGUAGUAAGUUGGCGCCAACUAGCAGUGAGGGUGAAUAAUGGAAACAUUUUAUUUUUCAUUUCUAUUCUAGGAAUAGAGAAAUAAAAAAAUUUUACUUCUCAUUUUUAUUCCAAGCUAAAAUUUUGUUUCAGAAAUAGAAAAAUUGAAAUUACUUUAUCAAAUAAAUUUAUGUUCCAAAUUUAUUUUUGAAAACAGAAAAAUAGUUCUGAUUGGAAAUAAAAUAGUUAUCAUGCGUGCUUAUUCAACAUUGGAAUCCAAAAUGAUAGUGGACUUUGAUUGUUAAAAGGAAAGUCAAUAUUGGAGUCGCUGGAGGAAAAAAAAUUCCUAUUUUUGUUUCAGAAUAUUCAAUGCGUGGGUUGCGAGGGCUUUUGCUUCUUUGUGGGUAGAGUACAUAUGCAAUUAAAUAUGUACUCGUGGGUUGCUCUAGUGGUCACGAAAAAUCGGUGAUGGAUCAUCUUCUACAAGUGCUUGCUGAGGUUUUCUCAUGAUUUUCUUCGCGGAAUUGCACUCAUAAUUUUAAUGUUGAAGUGGAUUAAAUUUUGUGGUAAAAUUUAUAGAUUCAUUUAUGAGAUUUAAUUAUUAUUUUGUGAGGAAUUAUGAGACUGUGAGGUUAAAUACUAUGUGAAUUAAUGAGUGUAAAUAGGGCUUGGGAAAUACUAAGGAUAUUUGAGUAAUUUGAGUAUGAUUGUGAUUUCUAUUUUAUCACUUUGCAUAUAAUUGAAAUAUUUACUCCUUUCUUUACAGACCUAAGUCGCUCUAACCAAAUCGUAUAAAUUUAGUGUUUGAUUUAUCUUCUCAUUCUAUUUAUUUUAUUGUUGAAUUGCUUACUUUUCACAAUAAUAUUCAAGGUGUGGUGGAGCCCGGAGGAAUUUAUUUUUAUUUUUGUUUUUAUUUUUUUGUGCUUGUCUCUCGUUCCUAAGGUGUGUGUUCUCCCAAUGGCUCCUCUCUCUCUCCCCCUCUGGAAUGCAAGCGGUUUUUGAGUGUUCCAGUGUGGUCCCUUACUAUCGGAAAGAAAAAUAUAAGCAUCACGAUCCAUUCAGUUACAAAAAUCCAGCUCGGCAGAUUCCGGGGAUAUCUCCUCGCGCUGAAUUGCUUCCAUCGCGCGCGUGCGCUCGAGUUUCACGUUAGACGGUAGAUAGAGUAGAGAGAGAAAUAGAGAUGGGCGGACUUCUAGCUUUCACGAGCCUUGGAACCUUGGGCUCAAUUUUAACCUCACUAUCUCUCAUCAGCACCUGCCGCCAGCAGUUUUCAGCUCUGCAUUUCUCUUGAUCCAGCUCAGCCUUCACUCCUUCAGUUGCAGCAAUUUCAUCGAAAUUUCUCUCUAUGUUGUCAUCUCAAGUGGCCUUUGAAAGGGUCAACAGAAGCAGCUGCAUUUCGUCUGAAUUCAGGCUUCGAUUUGAACUAUUGCAGCCGCCUAUUCAAGGUGCAAUUUCGGCAGUUUGUCCUUGCUUGGUGUCCCUCCAUUCUAAGCUUAGUUUCCAUCAAGCUUCCCUCGGCAGAGAUUGCAGCCGUCCAGCUCCUUAAAUCAAGCCGGAAAGGCCGUCAUUCAGCAUCAAGAGUCACGGUGAACACCCAUGUUCCCUUUAUGUCUUCACAGUUUGCGUGCUGCAAUUCCCCCUGCAAUUUUUCAGCAAUUUUUGUCUGCCAUCUUUUGGAAUAUAAUACGUCAAAAUGACAGGAUUUUGCAAUUUACGUCAACGCGAAAUCACCAAAGAAAUAAAUGAGAAAUAAUAAGGAUGCCAGAAAUUUACGUGAUUCAGUUUGAGUAUUGGUACCUACAUCCACGGAGAGAUCCAGCAUCAAAUAAUCUACUAUAAUCGAAGAAUCAGAGUUUAUAAUCGCUCACAUGCUCGAGUGUUUCCUACACCUAGAUUUAACCCCAAACCCAAAGUAUUUAUAAAUAAACAACUCACUUGGAUAUAAACUCAUAGCACAAAAAAGAAAAGAAAAAUAUCACAUGUUCAAAUUGUAUGCCAAAAAGAAAAGAUCUUCAGCUUCCUUUUCUUUCUUUGGUGUAGCUCUUCUCUUGGCAUGGACAUGUGGCGUGGACGUGCGGCUUUCUUCUACGUAGAGCUUUGGCAGCUUCUUACGGGAGGAAAAGAAGACCUGCAAAUAUUUAUGUUUUUAUACGUGUGCCCAGGUCAAAGUUUGACCUGGGCCCACCGCGUUUUGGCUCCACGUGUGCAAAGGACUUCAUCUUCACGCUAAAGGGUCCUUAUACGUUCGUGUGCCUAGAGUUAACACUUUGAUUCUGGGCCCCACGAUCUGAUUGCCAUUUUCGGAUUCUGCAGGCUUCUGUAACAAAGAAGACCUUCUUUUUAAAAAUAUAUAUAUAUAUAUUUCCUCUUUUGUAAAUCUUUAAGAGUCCAGCAAAGUUUUUCUGUUGACCGAAAACAUCCGAAUCACGUUUUGCAAACGCUCAAACUUGAGACAUAAUUUAACAAUUCUCCACCUUGGCUCGAUGUUUGAAGUCAAGUUAUAGUGUCCAUCAUCUAUGCUACUCUCUUAACGCCCUAAUAGGUGCUCACUCUCCACAAAUGCCAAUACAGCUCAAGCAAAGCUUGAGCUUUGCCAAAGGAACAGAUUUAGUCAUCGUGUUUGCCGGGUUAUCUACUGUAGCAAUACUUUUGAUAAUAACAUUACCCUUAGCUAAGACAUCUUGGAUGAAGUGGUAUAUGAUGUUGAUAUGCUUCGUUCGCUCAUGAUAAACUGGAUUAUUCGCCAAAUAUAUCACACCUUGGUUAUCACAAUAUAUAUCCAUACUUUUUUGUUUUAACCCAAAGUUCAAAAGCAAACUUCGUAACCAUAUCACCUCAUUCACUACAAAGGUUAGUGCCAUGUACUCUGUCUCAGUCGAAGACAAGGCAAUAUGAUCCUGUAAGGAUGCUUUGCAACUAACUGCAUCACCCGCUAGCGUAAAUAUACCCUACUAAAGACCUACGAUCAUCUAAGUCACCGGCGUGAUCUGAAUCCACAAAAUCAGUGGUCUCACUUCCAUUACUGUCCCUUUGCUAGACUAUACUCACGUCUGUUGUUCCCUUCAAAUAUCUGAGGAUCCACUUCACAGCUUCCCAAUGAGCCCAUGACACUUCAUAUAGCGACUAACCACGCUUAUAGCUUGCGAAAUAUCAGGCCUAGUGCACACCAUAGCAUACAUAGUAUUACCCACGACACUAGAAUAAGGAACAUGAGACAUACGUUCCUCUUCCUUCUCAGUCUACAAUGAUAAUUUAUCUGAAAGUUUAAAAUGCUUCGUUAAAGGUGUACUUACAGAUUUUGCUGACUACAUAUUAAAACGUGCCACAAUCUUCUAAAUAUAUUUCUUCUGAGAUAAACAUAAAACUUAUGCAGUCCUAUCAUUCAAAAUCUUCAUACCCAAAAUUUUCUUUGCAGCACCUAAAUCUUUCAUCUCAAAUUCAACAUUUAACUACUUUUCCAGCACAUCAAUAUCAAACAUAUUCUUAGCUGCUAUCAGCAUAUUAUCAAUAUAUAAAAGUAAAUAAAUCAAAGAACCAUUCUCCAAUCUCCUAUAGUAAACGCAGCUAUCCAUCUGACUUUUUGUAUAGUCUUGACUAACCAUGAAAACAUCAAAACAUUUAUAUCAUUGCGUAGAAGAUUGUUUUAGCCCAUACAAAGAUUUCUUCAACAAGAAAACAUGAUCUUCCUUACUUGGAAUAGCAAAUCCCUUUGGUUGCCUCAUGUAAAUCUACUCCUCCAACUCAUCAUGAAGAAACACAGUUUUUACAUCUAGUUGCUCUAACUCGAGAUCCUGCGAAGCAACUAAGGCAAGUAAAACACAAAUAGAAGUAUGUCUUACCACAGGAGAGAAUACCUUAUUAUAGUCAAUGCCCUCACGCUAUGUAUAUCCCUUCGCCACAAGUCUUGCCUUAUACCUUGCUACCUCAACAUUGAGAAUGCCCUGUUUUCUUUUAAAGACCCAUUUACUUCCAACAAUCUUUUGGCUAUCGGGUACUUUGACCAGCUCUCAUGUCUUAUUUCGAUGGAGUAAUUCCAUCUUUUCACUCAUAGCCUCUAGUCACCACGAUGACUCUGAACUAGCCAUCACCUCAGAGUAAGAUGAAGGCUCAUCUUCUCAAACCUCAUCACCUACAAUCAAUGCAUAAAUAAUAUCUAUGUAACUAUAACGUACCGAUGAUUUAAUUUGCCUUCUCUAUCUUACUAUGGCUAUAGUGUGUUGUGGCUUUGUUGGUUGUUCACUAUCACCGACUUCAAGAACUGUGGCUUCAUGAUUUGUCUUCUCUGCUGGUUGUGUCUCAGAAUUCUUCUGUUGAAGCAUUGCAGUCUCAUUGAAAAUCACAUCUCUGCUGAUUAGAAAACCGGGUGAUCUGGGAUCGGUGCACCACAGCCGGUACCCUUUCACCCCAUGUGCAUAACCCAAAAAUAUGCACUUCUUCACCCUCGACUCAAGCUUACCAUCACUCGUAUGAGCGUACGUAGGACAUCCAAAUAUACGUAAUCUAGAGUAAUCAACAGGUUUCCCUGACCAUACUUCCUCAGGAGUCUUCCACUCAAUAGCAAAUGAUGGAAAUCGAUUAAUCAGCUAAUAUGCCAUGCUCACUGUUUCGACUCAAAAUUCCUUGCCAAGUCCUGCAUGUGAAAGCAUGCAUCGAGCUCACUCUAGAAAAGUUCUGUUCUUCUGUUCUGUCACGCCAUUCUAUUGUGGCUUCCUAGGUAUUGUGUAGUGUCUUACAAUACCUUUUUUGCAAAACUCAGUAAAAUUUUUACCACAAAAGUCAAUGCCAUUAUCGGUUCUCAAGCACUUGAUUUGUUUAUCUGACUAUUUCUCAAUCAAUGCCUUAAAUUUUUUCAACCGAUCGAACACAUCAUAUUUGUGCUUCUGAAAGUAUACACAUACCUUCCUCGAAUAAUUGUCAAUAAAUGUUAGCAUAAAUUGGGCACCUGUGACAUCCCGAAUUUCAACCCCCUCCCGAAUAUAUGAAAUGGGCAUUUCGCCGGCGCGCCUAUGGUCCUUUUUCUCUGAGCUAAUCACUCACGAGUUAACCAAUCUAUUGGGUGAAGCCGUUAAGGGAUAUAACCGCGGUAAAAUCCCUAAAAGCUACUCGAUAGGUCGGAUUGGACUAGAAUUGCAUUCGGUUGAUUUUAUCCACGAAAUGGAAUUCGGUUUCGGAAAUCGGACAUUUGAGCAUGUCACGGUUCAUUUAUAGGAUGUCGUCUUGUCUUUCGGAGAAAUUCCAUCAAGACCGGGAUUUUUACGGAAAAUCACUUCGAACGUCGCUGAAAAUUAGCCGAAAUUCGAUUUAGCUCAUUUGAAAGAAAUUUUGACUUCUAAGCCAAACUAUUGGAUGAUGGGAAUUUGUGGAGAUGUAUGGGAUUUUUCUUCGGCGAAAUUGGACUUCGAAUUUGAGGAAUUGAGGAUGAAUUUGAAAUCUAAAAUUAAGGGAAAUUCGAAGCUAGGCAUGGAGGGGUGCAACAUUUGUCAUUAAAUUGGAUUAUUUGUGAUUAAAUGGGCAAGAAAGAAUUAUGGGACAAGUGGAUAAGCUUGAAGAUUUAUUGGGCAUUCUAAUGAUGGUUUUAGAUAUUUGUUUUUUUGACUUCUCUUCCCCCUCAUCUUUGGCUUCUCUCGCAAGCCAAGCCACCGACGGACUGCCUCUUCUUCUCCGCACGCUAACUCCCUCAAUUUCUCUCCUUCGACAAAAACCUUCAGCUCAUUCUUUCUUUUUGGCCACCGAAAGAACCCAACAUCCCAUCGAAGCCUCUGCAUCUCUCUCUCCGCUCAACCCUCAUCUUACGAAGCUGCAGCCACACGUCCUCCACCGCUUCGCUUCUUUGCCCACGAAGACUGAAGCCCACACGGCUUCAAUCCACCAAAUCCCAUUCGGUCAACCAGCAAGAUCUUCAGCUGAAGUCUUCAAGCGGUGCCACUUCGUUGACCCCUCUUUGUGCGCUUCUCCACGCGGCGUUGAAGCUACUGCUUCCUCCAACUCGUGUCUUCGGUGAGCGAUUCCAGCAACGUCCAUUGCCCCAGCUUGACGCCAGCUGCCAGUGCCCACGAUCUCCCCUCUUCUGGCCCAGCAUCACGGAAGUUCAACUCAUAGAUCGGUCAACGAACCAGCUACUUCUCCCCAUCUUUGACCCCAACACCCACCAACCGAUGCCAGCAGCUGCUUCUGCCAUCUUUGAUCCUCCUACCUAGCUUGCUGUCUCCAUCUGGCCGUGUGAAUCGCACGAAGCAAGAUGUGGAUUCCAGCGUCUUCGACCCACCAGCAGCCCAGUUGAGUUCAGAGAAUUGAUUCUUUGGCCCAGCUUCAGCAAAGACAGGCCCGGUUCAGCUUUAUUUCAAGCCCAUCUUCAGCAGGCCCAACCCAACUUUGGGCCCAGCCUGUUUUCAGCAUAGCUGAAGUCUUCAAGCCUAGCGAAGUCAGCCCAUCUUCAACAUAGAAAAGCCCAAGAGCAAGCCCAGUCUAGCGCAAGAACAAAUCUCACAUGGGUUGAGAUUUGUUAGGCCUUCAAGGCCCAGUCCAAACCCGCCGGNNNNNNNNNNNNNNNNNNNNNNNNNNNNNNNNNNNNNNNNNNNNNNNNNNNNNNNNNNNNNNNNNNNNNNNNNNNNNNNNNNNNNNNNNNNNNNNNNNNNNNNNNNNNNNNNNNNNNNNNNNNNNNNNNNNNNNNNNNNNNNNNNNNNNNNNNNNNNNNNNNNNNNNNNNNNNNNNNNNNNNNNNNNNNNNNNNNNNNNNNNNNNNNNNNNNNNNNNNNNNNNNNNNNNNNNNNNNNNNNNNNNNNNNNNNNNNNNNNNNNNNNNNNNNNNNNNNNNNNNNNNNNNNNNNNNNNNNNNNNNNNNNNNNNNNNNNNNNNNNNNNNNNNNNNNNNNNNNNNNNNNNNNNNNNNNNNNNNNNNNNNNNNNNNNNNNNNNNNNNNNNNNNNNNNNNNNNNNNNNNNNNNNNNNNNNNNNNNNNNNNNNNNNNNNNNNNNNNNNNNNNNNNNNNNNNNNNNNNNNNNNNNNNNNNNNNNNNNNNNNNNNNNNNNNNNNNNNNNNNNNNNNNNNNNNNNNNNNNNNNNNNNNNNNNNNNNNNNNNNNNNNNNNNNNNNNNNNNNNNNNNNNNNNNNNNNNNNNNNNNNNNNNNNNNNNNNNNNNNNNNNNNNNNNNNNNNNNNNNNNNNNNNNNNNNNNNNNNNNNNNNNNNNNNNNNNNNNNNNNNNNNNNNNNNNNNNNNNNNNNNNNNNNNNNNNNNNNNNNNNNNNNNNNNNNNNNNNNNNNNNNNNNNNNNNNNNNNNNNNNNNNNNNNNNNNNNNNNNNNNNNNNNNNNNNNNNNNNNNNNNNNNNNNNNNNNNNNNNNNNNNNNNNNNNNNNNNNNNNNNNNNNNNNNNNNNNNNNNNNNNNNNNNNNNNNNNNNNNNNNNNNNNNNNNNNNNNNNNNNNNNNNNNNNNNNNNNNNNNNNNNNNNNNNNNNNNNNNNNNNNNNNNNNNNNNNNNNNNNNNNNNNNNNNNNNNNNNNNNNNNNNNNNNNNNNNNNNNNNNNNNNNNNNNNNNNNNNNNNNNNNNNNNNNNNNNNNNNNNNNNNNNNNNNNNNNNNNNNNNNNNNNNNNNNNNNNNNNNNNNNNNNNNNNNNNNNNNNNNNNNNNNNNNNNNNNNNNNNNNNNNNNNNNNNNNNNNNNNNNNNNNNNNNNNNNNNNNNNNNNNNNNNNNNNNNNNNNNNNNNNNNNNNNNNNNNNNNNNNNNNNNNNNNNNNNNNNNNNNNNNNNNNNNNNNNNNNNNNNNNNNNNNNNNNNNNNNNNNNNNNNNNNNNNNNNNNNNNNNNNNNNNNNNNNNNNNNNNNNNNNNNNNNNNNNNNNNNNNNNNNNNNNNNNNNNNNNNNNNNNNNNNNNNNNNNNNNNNNNNNNNNNNNNNNNNNNNNNNNNNNNNNNNNNNNNNNNNNNNNNNNNNNNNNNNNNNNNNNNNNNNNNNNNNNNNNNNNNNNNNNNNNNNNNNNNNNNNNNNNNNNNNNNNNNNNNNNNNNNNNNNNNNNNNNNNNNNNNNNNNNNNNNNNNNNNNNNNNNNNNNNNNNNNNNNNNNNNNNNNNNNNNNNNNNNNNNNNNNNNNNNNNNNNNNNNNNNNNNNNNNNNNNNNNNNNNNNNNNNNNNNNNNNNNNNNNNNNNNNNNNNNNNNNNNNNNNNNNNNNNNNNNNNNNNNNNNNNNNNNNNNNNNNNNNNNNNNNNNNNNNNNNNNNNNNNNNNNNNNNNNNNNNNNNNNNNNNNNNNNNNNNNNNNNNNNNNNNNNNNNNNNNNNNNNNNNNNNNNNNNNNNNNNNNNNNNNNNNNNNNNNNNNNNNNNNNNNNNNNNNNNNNNNNNNNNNNNNNNNNNNNNNNNNNNNNNNNNNNNNNNNNNNNNNNNNNNNNNNNNNNNNNNNNNNNNNNNNNNNNNNNNNNNNNNNNNNNNNNNNNNNNNNNNNNNNNNNNNNNNNNNNNNNNNNNNNNNNNNNNNNNNNNNNNNNNNNNNNNNNNNNNNNNNNNNNNNNNNNNNNNNNNNNNNNNNNNNNNNNNNNNNNNNNNNNNNNNNNNNNNNNNNNNNNNNNNNNNNNNNNNNNNNNNNNNNNNNNNNNNNNNNNNNNNNNNNNNNNNNNNNNNNNNNNNNNNNNNNNNNNNNNNNNNNNNNNNNNNNNNNNNNNNNNNNNNNNNNNNNNNNNNNNNNNNNNNNNNNNNNNNNNNNNNNNNNNNNNNNNNNNNNNNNNNNCUAAUCCUUGCCUAGUAGACUAAUGAUGCUUAAAGGGUGAUUAGAUUUAAUUAAGUGCAAUUAUGUGGUUAGAUUAGCAUGGAUUAGUGAUUAUUAGUUAAUUGCAAUGCAUAUUAGUUAAGUGGUUAGUGUACUUAGCUAGAGAAUUGCCUAUACUAUUUAUUGAAUGCAUCUCGGGAUUUUUUCCGACCCUUAUUGGGCUUCAAUUAGGCAUUAGGGGCAGAAAUUGGAUUUUUAGUAUUUAUUUAUUAAUUUUCGAAAUUAAUUAUUUAAUUAUUUAUUUUUCGGAAAUAAGGCAAAGAUAGCAGACGACUAAAAUUUCGUGCUGAUUGUCGUAGCGUAGUCCAUUUAUUUAUUUGAGCUCUACGUUGUGAUGAAUCAAAUUAAUUGUGCAAUUUGAGGAAUUGUUCCUUAAUUGAUUAAAAUUGAAUGGAAUUGCAUGAUUGAUUGGUAGAUGGCCGAGUUUGAUUAUUUAACCUUUAUACUGCUUUGAAGAGAUGUAAAGCAGAAAGAAUCGCAAGAGUGAACUGAGAAUUCUAUUGGCUGAGACCGAUUAGGUACGAAAUAUAGACAAGCAUGGUUCGGUGAUGAGGAAUAUCACUAUGCGAAAAUGGCGCCUUAAAGAAAGCACGUAGACUACCUAUGAUUUGUGAUAGGCGUGGUUCGGUGAUGAAGGACAUCACUGGUGCAAAAACAGCGUCUUAAAGAAUGCACGUAGACUGUUUGUGAUCUAUGACGGGUGUGGUUCGAUGAUGAUGAAUAUCACUGUGCGAAAACGGCGCCUUAAAGAACACAUGUAGACUGUCUGUGUUCUAUGAUGGGCAUGGUUCGGUAAUGAGGAAUAUCACUGUGCGAAAAUGGCGCCUUAAAGAACGCACAUAUACUGUCUGUGAUCUAUGACGAGCGUGGUUCGGUGAUGAGGAAUAUCACUGUGCGAAAAUGGCGCCUUAAAGAAUGCACGUAGACUGUCUGUUACUUAUGUCACCUUGGUGAAAGCCCGAGAGUAUUAAUGGAGCUCUGUGCCUUGAAUUGAUGUUGUAAAUUGGUUGGAAUAAUAGAAAUGACCGUGAGUGGUCUUGUUGGCAUGUAAUCGACUAGGUUGAUUUGAUCGAUACUUCGAUCAAUGAUGUGAUUGCUAGGGUGCCUAUUGAAUUGUGCUAAUGUGGAGGUGGAAUCUGAGGCUAAGGUAAGUCUUCUAACCCUUGCGUGUAUAGACAGCUCGGUUAGCAUAUUGAUUUCCUAAUCAAGUCUUAGUGGGGUAGAACUUGCUGAGACAUAGUCUCAUCUCAGUUGUGGGACAACAUUUCAGGCCCGUAGAUGAGCCUAUGGAGGAGGAACCAAAAGAGGACGAUGAGCCAGUAAAAGAUGAAGAGCUUGAAGGAUGUGAGCUUAGUGAAGAAGAGUCAGAAGAGGAUCAAGAUGAUCCUAAGUACAACCCGGAUGAGGACUGAGAUCCCAUCCUCUUUUGUGAAUCUUGUCUAAAUGUAAACAGUGUGAAACUAUAAUGUUAUUAAUAGUCUUGUGAAUAGACUUUGAGUUAUGCCAUGUAUAAGGUUUGGUUGUGGAUUUCAAUAUGAAAAAUAUGACCUUGUUUUUCUAUGUGUUAUUGUCUGGGGAUUUAUAACUGCUUCCGCAUGUGCUUAAUAAACGAAAAGGUCGGUGAUACUUAGUCCUGGGAUAUCGCAUUAUGUAAUCGACAAAGUAGAAGGAUGUGUGUGUGCCUAAUGAUCGAGGCGUGACAUCCCCUUUUUGUGGUAUCAGAGCGAAGUUCAAGAUUGGAGUGUUUAGGAGUAAUGAGUCUUGGGAUAGUAGUAAGAAAUGCCUUUAAAUUCAUGCCGGUGCAUGUUUGUGUUAGCUGAAUGCUAGAAUUGUUUGUUGUGUGUGGAUCGCUCACCUUAUAAUCCAGCGUGGAUUUGGAAGACAGGUUUCAGUGUAAAGACUGAACCAUGAGCAAGCAGGAGUUGAGAAUUCCUAGUAAGAGGACAAUGUCCUUUGUGACUCAAGAUAAAGCAUCGACAAAGGUCGGUACCCGAGGUGGUUGUGGCAGAGUGUCGACUCUGGCUAGCUCGAGUGUAAGAGUACCACUGUAAGUUGGUAUUAGUGUAGCAGCACCGAGCAAUCUUAGCUUCGACGGGAUCAUUCAGGUGCUAGUGUCCUUGGAAUUGGUUGAGCCAGCAAGCUCAGGACCAAGCCGUCGUUGUUGUCGCUGUCACUACUGCUGUUGUUGCCACACUUGUUGAGAUCCAGUGUGAAGAUAUGAUAUGGGAGCGAGCCAUUGUAUCCGAGUCGAGGUACAGCUCUAAUUCAAGCAAAGAUGAAAAUCGGUUAAGGAAAAGAUCGAUGUGGAGAGAUGAGUAUUCUAUUCCACCCAAUAAGAAGGGUGUGAAAGUUAGGUCAAGCACUAAGUCAAAAUGGAACAUGUUGUUCCUGUGCGUGACGGUAAAGAUCAGCCUUAUGUUUUCUUAGGACAAGAAUUUGUUUUAGGUAUAGCCAACAAAGUUACUUGACUGGAGACAGUCCUAGAAGGCCGAUGGGACUGAUUAGAGGAAAUGCUCCAUAGAAUGCACAAUGGAGUUUUGGAAUAAGUCUCUGGUACCAGAAAGAGUGCAUGCUUUCACUUGAUAGGAGAUAUAAGAUGCACCAGAUAGAUGUCGGAAUUGUAGAAGGAAGCCUGAAUAAAUCCAGUGUCCGAGUAUGACUAGAACAUGUUGUGAUGAUAAUCAGCAUGACCAUCAGGGGAAGGAUUGUUAGUGAAAGUCUAAGGUAGCAUAGACAUCGCUACUGUAGCCAGAACGCCACUAGGAUGGCGAAAGGAAUGGGAGUAGAAUUGACCUUGCACCGAUCAGAGAAAGAAUGUGUUAGAGGUGAUUUUAUUAGAGUAGCGCAGCAGAGUUUUGUGCUGAGUUUGUAGAACUUAAAUUGUUAAAGUAAAAGUGAAAGAGAGGGGAAUCACUAGCAAUAGUUGUGCUUGACUAGUUGCUGAGGUGUGAGUUUGACGCCAUGUGAAUAGUGUGGGUUCAUGGAGCAUCUUGUGAUAAUGAAUCAUGGUCUUGGAGUAAUCCAGUUUAGUCCAUUAGCAUGUGAAAGUGUCGAGGUUAUUGGGAGUCGAAAAGAAUCUUCGAUUUCAUUAAUCUCGUUGGAUGAAGGCAACUUGUUUGUUAGACGGAGGUUGCCAAGGUUGCUUGGCGAUUGUCUUGGGUAGGACAGAUUGGAGAACUAGAGAUGGAGGACAUCUCAGUGGUUUAAGAAUUUCUAGAUGUGUUGUCACAAGAUCUGUUAGAUCGUCGUCAGAGAAAGAGAUAAAAAUUGCAAUCGAGCUAGCACUAGGAUAGAGCCACUCUAAAAGGCUUCUUACCAGCUGUUGUUUUCUAAAUUGGUAGAAUUGAAGAUGUAGAUGUGAAGAUUGAUAUAUAAGGAAUUCAUGCAUAUCAAUGCAUCACUUUGGGGAAACAUCAGUUUUGUUUGUGAGAAAAAGAAAGAUGGUUUGUUGCAAGUAUGCAUCAACCAUCGCCAACUCAAUUAUGUGACGAUCAAGGACAAGCGUCCAUUGUAAAAGAUCGACGAAUUGGGUGACCAGACAUCAAGAGUGUCAAUGUUUUUGAGGAUCAACUUAAGAACAAGAUGUCGUCAGUUACGAACUAGGAAGGAGGUUAUAUGGAAGACAGCUGUUCGUACUUGAUAUGAUCUUUACGAGAGUAUUGUAAGAUUGUUUGGCUUGGUAGACACUCCAACUACUAUCAUGGAUUUGGUAAACCGAGUGUGCAAGGAAUAUUUAGAUCAGUUGUGCUCAUGUCUUUUAAUGACAUUUUGGUGCAUUCGAGGAAUGCUAAGGAGCACAAGAGACAUCUAAGAAUGGUGAAAGAAUUUCCAUGGACCCGAUGAAGAAUGAAAUAGUUAUCAGUGAAGCAAGAUCUAUAGUGAGGUGUCAUGCGAAGGACUGGGUGCGUACUGAUGUGACAUGAUAAGAUCAUCGCAUAUGCGUCUCGCCAGUUGGGACCUAAUGAGUUGAAUAUGGGAUGGUGUCGUGAACCAAAACCUUGGCAUGACUAGGAUGGUGCUAUUUGGUAUCACCUUGGGGGAAAGAAAGAAGUCACUGAUGCAUUGAGUCAAGAGUCUUUAAUGGUGCAUAUACUGGUUAAAGUAUGGAACUUACUUGAGAAAGUUCAAAAUUUGGUUUCAAAAUUGAGGUAGGCUACCUUUUGAAUUCUAUAGCCGCCCUCAAAAUUGAACUGGAUAUUCAAGUCAGAAUCAUACGCUUCAAUUGACAAACUGGGAUGUUUAGAAAAUCCUGUAAGAGGAUAUCAGUAAGGGAAAAGUUGACUUUCAGAUUUCGAAAGAUGAACGUCGAAGUAUCAUGGGUGAUGAUAGGUGUCAAACAGUACGAAACUUAAGGAAAAGACCUUAUUAGGAAAUUCACUGUAGUAUUGCAAUAUGUGAUAAAUUUACUCAUGGAGUUGAAAGAGUAAUGUUUCCAUUUGGGAGAAUGGUCAAGAGAUGGAUGAAGCCGACUCACGCCGUUGCUGUGUGAAGGGAUCUUGAUUUGAUCAAACGUGAAGAAGUGUACAGAAGUCAGAUAGUUCGUCUUCAUGGAGUACCAGUGGCAGAUCUAUAUCAGAUUUAGAAUCAAGGAUUUCUAAUUUUAGCAGAACAGUCAGAUAGUUCUGUUGAGGCAGAUCAGAGCAGAGUCUACAAAACUUUAGUUUGUUGAGAUGAGAUCAGAGGAAGAAAGAUCAUAGGCCGAGGGUCAAUUCAGCAGUCAGUGAUUGCAGUUGUCGUGAUCAGAAUCAGAUUAUAGAUUGAUCAGUGCCGCCAAAAAAGUCGUAUUGUUGAUUGGUGAUUACAUCUUUUUGGAGGUGUCACCAAUGAGAGAUACAUUGCUCUUCAGCAAGGAGGGGAGAAAUCUGAAACCGAGGUACGUAGUUUCCUUUGAGAUUCUGAAAAGAGUCGGGAUUCUAACGUAUUGUCUUGCGUUGCUUCCGGGGUAGGCACAAAUGCAUGACGUCGUUCACGUGUCGAGGUUGAGGACGUACGAACUUGACCCAACUCUCGCGCUAAAUCUUGAAGAAUUAGACGAGGAUGAUAGAGUGUCGUACGUGAUAAGUUGGUUCAGUUCUUGGUUCAAAAGGAUCGGAUUUAGUGAACCAAGAUAGUCCCCUUGGUCAAAGUGGUCUGACAAUGUCACAGGACUGAAGAAGCACUGAGGAAAGUAAGACUAAAUGAGACGACAAUACCCCCACCUUUUUGUUUAAGGAUUGGUAAAGAUUUAAAUUUCAAGGACGAAAUUUUUAUAAGAGGAGAAGAGUUGUGACAUCCUGAAUUUCAACCCCCUCCAGAAUAUAUGAAAUUGGCAUUUCGCCGACGCGCCUAUGGUCCUUUUUCUCUGAGGUGAUCACUCACGAGUUAACCAAUCUAUUGGGUGAAGCCGUUAAGGGAUAUAACCGCGGUAAAAUCCCUAAAAGCUACUUAAUAAGUCGGAUUUGACUAAAAUUGCAUUCGGUUGAUUUUAACCACGAAAUGGAAUUCGGUUUCAGAAAUCGUACAUUCGAGCAUGUCACGGUUCAUUUAUAGAAUGUCGUCUUGUCUUUUGGAGAAAUUCCAUUGAGACCGGGAUUUUUACGGAAAAUCACUUCGAACGUCGCUGAAAAUUAGCCGAAAUUCGGUUUAGCUCAUUUGAAGGGAAUUUUGACUUCUAAGCCAAACUAUUGGAUGAUGGGAAUUUGUGGAGAUGUGUGGGAUUUUUCUUCGGCGAAAUUGGACUUCAAAUUUGAGGAAUUGAGGAUGAAUUUGAAAUCCAAAAUUAAGGGAAAUUCGGAGCUAGGCAUGGAGGGGUGCAACAUUUGUCAUUAAAUUGGAUUAUUUGUGAUUAAAUGGGCAAGAAAGAAUUAUGGGACAAGUGAAUAAACUUGAAGACUUAUUGGGCAUUCUAAUGAUGGUUUUAGAUAUUUGUUUUUUUGACUUCUCUUCCCCCUCAUCUUUGGCUUCUCUCGCAAGCCAAGCCACCGACGAACUGCCUCUUCUUCUCCACACGCUAACUCCCUCAAUUUCUCUCCUUCGACAAAAACCUACAGCUCAUUCUUUCCUUUUGGCCACCGAAAGAACCCAACAUCCCACCGAAGCCUCUGCAUCUCUCUCUCCGCUCAACCCUCAUCCCACGAAGCUGUAGGCACACGUCCUCCACCGCUGCGCUUCUCUGCCCACGAAGACUGAAGCCCACACAGCUUCAAUCCACCGAAUCCCAUUCGGUCAACCAGCAAGAUCUUCAGCUGAAGUCUUCAAGCGGCGCCACUUCAUUGACUCCUCUUCGUGCGCCUCUCCACGCGGCGUUGAAGCUACUGCUUCCUCCAGCUCGUGUCUUCGGCAAGUGAUUCCAGCAACGUCCAUUGCCCCAACUCGACACCAGCUGCCAGCGCCCACGAUCUCCCCUCUUUUGGCCCAGCAUCACGGAAGUUCAACCCAUAGAUCGGUCAACGAACCAACUACUUCUCCCCACCUUUGACCAUGACACCCACCAACGGAUGCCAACAGCUGCUUCCGCAAUCUUCGAUCCUCCUGCCCAGCUUGAUGUCUCCAUCUGGCCGUGUGAAUCGCACGAAGCAAGCCGUGGAUUCCAGCGUCUUCAGCCCACCAGCAGCCCAGUUGAGUUCAGAGAAUUGAUUCUUCGGCCCAGCUCCAGCAAAGACAAGCCCGGUUCAACUUUAUUUCAAACCCAUCUUCAGUAGGCCCAACCCAACUUUGGGCCCAGCCUAUUUUUGGCCUAGUUGAAGUCUUCAAGCCCAGCGAAGUCAACCCAUCUUCAAAAUAGAAAAGCCCAAGAGCGAGCCUAGUCCAAUGCAAGAACAAAUCUCAGUUGGGCUGAGAUUUGUUGGGCCAAGUUCAAGGCCCGGUCCAAGCCCGCCGGUAUUGUCGAAAGUCCGAUUUCGGCCGCCGUCACGUCGUCUUCGCAAUGUCCCGGUCCCCGCUUUUAAUCAAGUGAGUAAUCUCACUAAUCCUUGCUUAGUAGACUAAUGAUGCUUAAAGGGUGAUUAGAUUUAAUUAAGUGCAAUUAUGUGGUUAGAUUAGCAUGGAUUAGUGAUUAUUAGUUAAUUGCAUUGCAUAUUAGUUAAGUGGUUGGUGUACUUAGCUAGAGAAUUGCCUAUACUAUUUAUUGAAUGCAUCUUGGGAAUUUUCCCGACCCUUAUUGGGCUUCAAUUAGGCAUUACGGGCCUAAAUUGGAUUUUUAGUAUUUAUUUAUUAAUUUUUGAAAUUAUUUAUUUAAUUAUUUAUUUUUCGGAAAUAAGGCAAGGAUAGUCGAUGACCAAAAUUUCAUGGUGAUUGUCGUGGCGCAGUCCAUUUAUUUAUUUGAGCUCUACGUUGUGAUGAAUCGAAUUAAUUGUGCAAUUUGAGGAAUUGUUCCUUAAUUGAUUAAAAUUGAGUAGAAUUAAAUGAUUGAUCGGUAGAUGGCCGAGUUUGGUUAUUUAACCUUUAUAAUGUUUUGAUGAGUUGUAAAGUGGAAAGAAUCGUAAGAGUGAACUGAGAAUUCUAUUGGUUGAGACCGAUUAGGUACGAAGUAUAAAGAGACGUGGUUCAGUGAUGAGGAAUAUCAUUGUGCGAAAACGGCGCCUUAAAGAAUGCACGUAGACUGCCUAUGAUUUGUGACAGGCAUGGUUCGGUGAUGAAAGACAUCACUGUGCAAAAACGGUGCCUUAAAGAACGCACGUAGACUAUCUGUGAUCUAUGACGGGUGUGAUUUGGUGAUGAGGAAUAUCACUAUGCGAAAACAACGCCUUAAAGAACGCACGUAGACUGUUUGUGAUCUAUGACAGGCGUGGUUCAGUGAUGAGGAAUAUCACCAUGCGUAAACAACGCCUUAAAGAAUGCACGUAGACCGUCUAUUACUUAUGUCAGCUUGGCGAAAAUGAUGCCCGAGAGUAUUAAUGGAGCUCUAUGACUAAGUGUACUAUUGGAGGUUAUGUGGGAUGGAGUGAAUGACCUAGAAAUGGUCCGAUUGAUAUGUAAUCGACUAGGUCGAUUGAUCAUUGCCUUGAAUUGAUGUUGUAAAUUGGUUGGAAUAAUGGAAAUGACCGUGAGUGGUCUUGUUGGCGUGUAAUCGACUGAGUCGAUUUGAUCGAUGCUUUGAUUAGUGAUGUGAUUGCUAGGGUGCCUAUUGAAUUGUGCUAAUAUGUAGAUGGAAUCUGAGGUCAAUGUAAGUCUUCUAACCUUUGUGUGUAUAGGUAGCCUAGUUAGUGUAUUGGUUUCCUAAUCGAGUCUUAGUGGGGUAGAACUUGCUGAGACAUAGUCUCAUCCCGGUUGUGGGACAACAUUUCAGCCCGGUAGAUGAGCUUGUGAAGGAGGAACUAGAAGAGGACGAUGAGCUAGUAAAAGAUGAAGAGCUUGAAGGAUGUGAGCUUAGUGAAGAAGAGUCAGAAGAGGAUCAGGAUGAUCCUAAGUACGACCCAAAUGAAGACUGAGAUCCCAUCCUCUUUUGUGAAUCUUGUCUAAAUGUGAAUAGUGUGAAACUAUAGUCUUGUGAAUAGACUUGAGUUAUGCUAUGUAUAAAGGUUUGGUUGUGGAUUUCAAUAUGAAAAAUAUGGCCUUACUUUUCUAUCCCAUUGUAUUAUUGUUUGGGGAUUUAUAACUGCUUCCGCAUGUGCUUAAUAAACGAAAGGGUCGGCAAUACUUAGUCAUAGGAUAUCGCAUUAUGUAAUUGACCAAGUAGAAGGAUGUAUGCAUGCCUGAGGAUUGGGGCGUGACAGCACCUCCUUUCCAAGGAACUGAAGAGGGGCCCUCGACAUCUGAAUGAAUAUAUUCAACUGGUCAUUUGGUUGAAUGAAUAGCUGUAGUAAACUUAAAUUGGUACUGCUUUUCAAAGAUGCAAUGCUCACAUAAGUCCAACUUCCCUAUCUUCUGACCCUUCAACAACCCCCUUUCACUUAGCAUCGUCAUACUUGUCUCACUCAUGUGCCCUAAAUGCAUAUUCUAUAAUUGAGUCAAGUUAGAGUCUGACUCACCUGAUGAAACUACAGCGGUUCCGAUCACGGUCUCUCCUAGUAGAUGAUAGAGAGUGUUCACUUUCUCCCCUUCAUCACUAUCAUGGCACUUCAAGAGAUCUUCAGUGCUCCACCUUCAUUGGUGUACCUACACUUGAUGUCGUCGAGUGUCCCUAGAGAAAUAAGAUUCUUCUUGAGCUCUGAUACAUGCCUCACAUCUGUCAAUGUGUACACCACCCCCAUCGUGCAUUCGAAUUUGAAUGGUCUCUAUCCUCACAGCCUUACCGACUGCAUUAUUCCCUAAAAGAACUCUACCACCAUCUGUCACGCCCCAAUUCUCAGGCAUGCGCACUUCCCUUACCUUGGUUGAUUUUAAAAUGCGAUAUCCUAGGACAACAUAUCGUCAACCCUUUCCUUUUGAAUUGCACAUGCGGAAGCAGUUAUAAAAAUCCCUAGACAAUAAAGCAAUGGGAUAUAUAAAUAAGACUAGAAACUUGAACCUGAAAACCAACACCCUUAUGUACAUCUAUAACGACUCAAUCAUAUAUACAAGCCAUGUUAAAAAUGUUGGUUUCUACUCAAAUAGGUUCUACAGCAAAAGUCAUCAAAUAGGAAUGGAGGCUCAAUUCUCAUCAAGAUCCUACUUUGGAUCAUCCUCGAGGUUCUCCUUCUGGUACUCCUCUUCAGGUUCUUUCUCCUCAGGUUCCUCAUCAGGGUCCUGAAAUGUUGUCCCACAACCGGGAUGAGACUACGUCUUAGCAAGCUCUACCCCCUAAAACCCGACUAGUAAACUAAUAUACCUUAGGGCUGCCUAUGCACAACAUGAGUUAGAGGAUUUACCUUGGCCUCAGAUUCUACCUGCAUAUUAGCACAUAUCAAAUAGGCACCCGAGCAAUCACAUCACUAAUUGAAGUAUCGAUCAAAUUGACCUAGUCGAUUACACAUCAUUCGAACCAUCGCAAGGUCAUUUCCACUUAAUCAGUCAAUUCACAACAUCAGAUCAAACCAUUAAAUCACAACAAAUCCACACUUAGAUCGAAUCAUCGAUCAAUCGACCUAGUCGAUUACAUGUCAACAUGACCAUUCCUCGGUCACUUCAAUCAAUACUAUCUAUGAGUUUGACCAUAGUCUAGGACUAUUCACUCUAGCCGAUAUAUAGAUAGUAUAGCUCACCAGAAGCUACCAAAUCCACUGAUCCGAUAUAAUAAUAUUCUCACUAGAAGCUGCCGGCCAUACUUUUAUAGUAUGCCGAAAAUAAAAUAUAUGCUCACUAGAAGCUGCCAGCCAUACAUUUAUAGUACGUCGAAAAUAAUAUUUAAUCAAAUCACCAUUUUUAUCAUUCCCGAUAAAAUAUUCGUAUGUGGGGAUACGGUCUGCCUUAGCCAAAAUAUUAUAAUUUUCUUUCCAUAAGUCCUACUAUUAUUUGUAGUCAACCAAAACACUUUUGGUGCUGUCAACCGACACUCGGUUAUUUUCCUAUUAAUAAUCAAAGAUUAUUCCAUUAAAUAAUAAUUCCUAAUUUCACAAAUAAUUCAAUUCAGCACAAAAUAAAGCUCAAUUAAAUAAACGGACUGCGCCACUACAAUCAACAUAAAAUUCCGGUCACCGACUAUCCCUGCCUAAUUUCCGAAGAAUAAAUAAAUAAAUAAAUAAUUUCAAAAAUUAAUAAUUAAAUACUAAAAAUCCAAUAUAGGCUCGUAAUGCCUAAUUAAAGCCUGAUAGGAGUCGGGAAAAAUCCCGAGAUGCAUUCAAUAAAUAUUACCACAUGUUAAUUUGCUAAUUACACAAUUUAAUUGCCUGACAUGCAUCACAAUUAUCUAAUAAUCACUAAUCUAUUCUAAUCUAAUCACCUAAUUGCACUUAAUUAAAUCUAAUCAACUUUUAAGUAUAAUUAGCAAACUAAUAAGGCAUUAGUGAGCAAUACUCACACAAAACAACAGGAUUGAUGUGAGGAUCGACUUUCCUCAAGGCGGGCCGAGCAUCCGGGCUAGGGAAGCUGGCCAAAACGAGUCACGAAGCUGCUGCCAUACCAAUUUUUCUCCUCUCUGUUGUCUACUAGUUGAGACCGGAUUCGAGGCUGAGAUGGCAAGGCAUGGCUAGCGAAGGGCGAGAGGACCUCCGGUGAGUCGAGGUGGCGGUGUACGGUGGUCGAAGGUGGUCGGGCAACGGCUUGAGGUGGGCGAACGGGGCUGAACAGAGGUGGCUAGAAGUUGGGGUCGCAUGGCGGGACGAUGAGAGGUGCAGCUAAGCACUGCUGCACGCGUGCUCGCUCGGGGACGAGCAACCGGCGACAACGGCAGCUCUGGUCCAAGCGACGCCAGCUGCUGCUUAUGCUCCGGUGUCCUCCCAGAUCGAGGACCCUGAGCAACAAACGGAGGGGAAGACAGAGGGUGUGGACGGCGGUUGAGGUGGGUGAGUGAGAGACAAAGGGUGAACGAUGAACGGCGAAGCGCGUGGGCGACAACGGCGAGCUGCUCCGUUCUUCCUCUCUCGAUGGCUACUGUCUCUGCUUCUGCUCUUGCUGUGUUCGAACGAAUGAAGAGGGAGAAGAGGAGAGAGAGUGUCGAGUGGGUGAGGGGGUACCGAGAGAGAGAGAGAGAGAAGAAGAAGAUAAGAGAGAAAGAAGUUUGAAAAGUCAAAAAGUAAAAAGUGAUAAGGAGAAGCAAAGUUGGAACUGGUAGAGGGAAUCGAUGGGGCUUUCGCAUGUGGAGAAAGGAAAAGAGAGAGGGAGAGAGAAAAAGAAAAAGAAAGAAAGAAAGAAAGGAGAGAGAGCUUGUGGGGGAAAAGGUGUUUGGCCAAAUGGGGAAAAAGAAAUGCGAAUAAAUUCAAAAGAAAAGAAUUUCCUCAAAUAGAAAAUUCUUAUUUCAUUUUCUUUUGAAUAAGCUCAUAGAUUCCCAAAAGAAUUUCUGAUUAAAGUACUCGGUUUCCACUUGCAUUUCUAGAUCCAAUUUCCCUUUUGAAUUUUUCUCAAAUGACUCUUAUAAAAUCAAUUGAUGUCUCACUUAUCAAAUUGAUUAUUUUCCUCAUCCAAGAAUCCCUCAUGCUUCUCAAUUUCACAACCAGAAUUAAUCUCCAGCUUCAAUUGAACGAAAAUGACCCUAAACUAACUUUUUCCCAAAAAGUCUUAGUUGUUAGAAAAAUCUUCCGAGACUGAGUUGACGUUUCUAAAUUUUAUUGUGACAUGACAUAAUCUUCAAUUUCUGAAAUUGGACUUGAAUUAGCAGUUAAUUUAUACUCGACGCGUUUUUAGCGUGACCUAGACUGCUAGGUAGUUUUAAGAACUUUUUAGGACAAAUGACCCGUGGUCGAUUUUCUUCGAGCCACAAUGAACCCACUCAACAAAUUGUCAAUUCUCGGUUGUCGUAAAAAUCUCGAGGGUUCAAAUACGGACACAAGGUACGAAAACGACAGUAAAAUCAAUUUAGUGUCGGUCGACGAGAGUUUUCCAAUUUAAUGGAGUCACCCACGAUUGGUCACACAUCUCAGGCAAACUGACCUAUCUCUGAUCUUAAUUUGAUUUUUAACUGUGCCGUAAUGAUCUCUAAAGAUGAGUACGGUCAAGAAAUCGAUUUCUGGUCGAAUUCUCAAGUCUAUUUGCCUUAAAGUCCUUCAUAGCUUACCCAGCUAGUCUAGUUAUCUCGUGAGUGGCCAACUAAGAGAAAAACACUAUAGUCGCGUCAAUGAAAUGCCAAAUUUAUCUAAUUGAAAUCAGAGCCUGAAAAUCAAGAUGUCACAACUCUUCCCUUCUUAUAAAAAUUUCUUCCUCGAAAUUUAAACCUUUACCAAUCCUUAUACAAAAGGUGGGGGUGUUGUCGUCUCAUCGAGUCUCACUUUUCCACACUGAUCCUUCGGUCUCGUGGUGUUGUCCGACCACUUUGACCAAGGAGACCAUAUUUGUACACAAAAUCUGUUCUUUCUGAACCAACAACUGAACUGAGCUUCUCACAUAUGACACUCUAAAGUCCAUGUCUGAUUCUAUUCACGAUAAUUGCAAUCACUGAUUACUGAGCUGACUCUGGCCUAUGAUAUUUCUUCACUUCACUUUCUUUUCACCACUAAAAUUAUGUACCCUCUGCUAUGCACUGCUUAAGAAGGAACCCUUUGAAAAAUCUGUCAAACUUGUAACCUUUGAUCUAGAUUCAAAAUAUAAUUCAUCCUCGGCACUUCAUGCCAGUGAAUUACCCGAUACUCACACGUUUCGGCAUACCCAUUCAAAACUAGAUUCAUUCAUGCUGUACUAAAGUGAACCAGCUUUGUCUAUUGGUUGAGCACUAUCCUCAUAAGGAAUCAGUACUCCCCUGUCUCCUUAGUAAGUCUGUCACAAUGCUCCAUUGUGAUAUAUUUUCCUUCCCAUUUGGGACUCUCGAGUGAUGAUAAAAGUCUUCCUAGUUUGCAUUACUAAACUUCCACUUACUGACAUCUCUGACACUUGCAAACUGCCCGGCAGCAUCUAUCUUCAUAUCAGCCUACCAAUCUAGCUAACGCUGAUUCUAAUUUACUUGCACUGUUUGGUCAAAAAUUGCAAUAGUAUAGUGAAUUUCUGACAAUUUUCCUUACCUAAGUGCUAUAAUAUCAAGUACACUCAAUCACUCUCGUAACUCAAGUAUUCCAUCCUCAGAAGUCUUAAAGUUAGAUUAUUUCUUACCAGUAUCCUCUUAUAAGGUCUUCUAAACAUCUCUGUCUAUCAACUAAAUGCUUGAUUCUAACUUGAACAUCUGGUUCAAUUUUGAGGGCGGCUAAAAAAUUCAAAAGGUAGCUUACCUCAAAUUCAAAGACCGAAUUUUGAACCCUUUUCAAGUAAAAUCCAUACUUUAGUCAAUCCGGCCACAAUUGAAAACUCUCGACUCAAGCAUCAGUGGCUUCUUUCGUUCCUCAAAGGUGAUACCAAAUAACACCAUUACAGUCCUGCCAAAAUUCUGAUUCACGACACCGUUUCAUAUUCAACUUAUUGGGUCUUAACUAGUGGAACAUGUAUGCAACAAUCUUCUCAUGUUGUAUCAAUACGUAACCAGUCCUCUACAAACCACAUCACUAAAGAUUUCGUGCUUUCCAAAACCAAAUGAAAAGUUUACCACAAGUGCGGUAACCAGUUCUUACUUAAGCUCUGGAAACUAUCAUCGCACUUGUCUAUGCCGAUGAAUUUCUCUUCUUUCUUAAGAGGUCGAGUCCGCGGUGAUACUGAUGCUGAAAAUUCUUUCAUGAACCUUCUGUAGUAAUCUGUCCAAUCCACUCAACUUCUGAUCUUUGACAUUGUUGCGAGUCCUAGUCCACUAACAACUAAUUUGAUCUUGGCUUGGUCCAUAAAGAUUCCUUCACUUGGAAUCACAUGACCAUUCUUAGGUGGCUCCCAUGGUCCUCUGCACCUAAUGAAUACACUAGAAUGUCAUUACAUCACACGAUCACCAUUGAUCUAGAUAUUCUUUGAACACUCGGCUUGUCAAAUCUAUGACAAUAGUUGGAGCGUUCAUCAAAUCAAAUGGCUUUACAUUAUUCUCACAAGGGCUAAAUCAAGUGUGAAAUGUUGUCUUUAGCAUAACCUCAUUCUUGGUUCUCAACUGACAACAACAUGUCCUCAAGUCGAUCCUUGAAGACGUCAACACUCUUUAUAGAAAAAAGUCGCCCAAUUCGUCGAUCUUUGACAAUGAACACUUAUCCUUGAUUGUCACUUGAUUGAGUCGACUACAGCCGAUGCAUAAUUGCAAUGAACCAUCUUUCUUUCUUUCUCACUAUGAGACUGAUGUUUCCUCUAGGUAAUGCACCGAUAUGCAUGAAUUCCUCAUUCAUCAUUCCUCACAUUUGCACCAUUGUUCUAUCAAUUCAGACAACAACAACUGGUAAGAAGCUUUAGAGAAUGGUUCUAUCACAAGUGCUAACUCAAUCCCAAAUUCUAUCUCACUUACUUACAACAGGCUUGACAAUCCCUCUGGCAACACUUCCAAAAGUUUUGGACUACCGAGGAGUCCUAAAUUUUCAAUUCUUCAAUCUGUUUUAUCUUUGACAAUCACCAAGUAACCUAGGCGUCCUCCGUCUAACAAAUGGAUCGCCUCCAGUGACGAGAUUAAAGAAGUCGAGGACCCUUCUUGACUCUCAAUAAAACUCGGCAUUUCUACCUGCUCCUGGAAUAAACCGGGUUACUCCCCUAUAACAAUUCAUUACCACAAAAUGCUCCAAGACUAAUUCUUUCCACACUUGACAAAUAAGUUGUACACCAAUAACCAAUCAAGUACAAAUCUAGUCAGUGAUUCUUUUCCUACAGCCUUAACAAACAACUGAAAUUCCACAAUUGUAUUCUCAACACUCUUUGGCACCGUUCUAAUGAAAUCACCUCAAAACAUUCUUCCAUUGAAUAAAGCAUAGUCAAUUCUGUUCUUGUUCCUUUUGCCUCCUAAUGGCGUCUUAUCUGCGGUCUUGGUAUCAAUGCUUCGUAUCAAUGCUCCCUUGGACUCACACUGAUAGUUUUUUUUUCACUUGACAGCCGUGCUGACUACCAUCACAGCACGUUUUAGCCAUUCUCAAACACAUGAUUAAUCCAUGCAUUCCUUCCAUACUUUUGGCACUUUCCUAGUGAGUCUUCUACCUCCUAUCAAGUGCAAGCAUGCACUAAUUCUCGUACCGGAGGCCUAUCCCAAAAAUUCCACAGUGCGUUCUAUGGCGUACUUAUUUUGACCUGUCUUAUUGACGAUGACAGUAGUAACCAUUGUCGAGAUUCCAUCUACUUAUGCAGAUACCCCAUAAAUCAUUAUACGUGCUGACAACACUUACCACAAUUUCAUGUCCUAAAAAUGCACGAGAAUGACCCAUACCGUCUUUCAUGGAACAACAUGUUCCAUUUGUCUAAAUGCUGACCUAACUAUUCCACCCUUCCUAUUGGGUGGAGUAGAAUACCCUUCCCUCAACAACAAUCUUUACCCUGACCGAAUUCCAAGCCUGCUUGCACUGGUUCUUAAUUCAAAUAUCGAAAUCUAUUCCCUGAUCAUCCUUCCAGGUUGGACCUUAGCAAAGGUAGCAACAACAAUAACUUGAUCCUGAUCUUACCGGCUCAUCCAGAUCCCAAGGAACACUUGCAUCAGAUCAAUCUUAUCAGACUUAGGAUCAUUCAACGCUACUACACUAGUACCAACCUGCGGUGGCACUCUUACGCUCGAGCUGGCUAGAGUCGACAUUCUACGUUCAGAAUCCACACGAUUAAAAGCAAGCAAUUCACACAUGACAAACAAUUCUACCAAUCGGCUAUCAAAGACAUGCACCGGUUAUGAAUUUAAAGGACUUUCCUACUACUAUCCCAUAGGUCACUACACCUUAUCACUCCAAUACCUAAUCAUUGCUCUAAUACCACAAAAAGGGGGAUGUCACGUCCCGAUCCUCAAGCAUGCACACAUCCCUUACCUUGGUCGAUUUUAAAAUGUGAUAUCUCAAGGCUACAUAUUGCCAACCCUUUCCUUUUGAAUUGCACAUGCGGAAGCAGUUAUAAAAAUCCCCAAACAAUAAAGCAAUGGGAUAUAUAAGUAGGACUAGAAACUUGAACCUGAAAACCAACACCCUUAUGUACAUUUAUAACAACUCAAUCAUAUAUACAAGCCAUGUUAAAAAGGUUGGUUUCUACUCAAAUAGGUUCUACAGCAAAAGUCGUCAGAUAGGAAUGGAGGCUUAAUUCUCAUCAGGAUCCUACUUUGGAUCAUCCUCGGGGUUCUCCUUCUGGUACUCCUCUCCAGGUUCUUUCUCCUCAAGUUCCUCAUCAGGGUCUUGAAAUGUUGUCCCACAACUGAGAUGAGACUACGUCUUAGCAAGCUUUACCCCCUAAGACUCGAAUAGUAAACUAAUAUACCUUAGAGCUGCCUAUGCACAACAUGAGUUAGAGGACUUAUCUCCGCCUCAGAGUCCGCCUGCAUACUAGCACAGAUCAAAUAGGCACCCAAGCAAUCACAUCACUAAUUGAAGCAUUGAUCAAAUCGACCUAGUCGAUUACACGUCAUUUGAACCAUCGCAAGGUCAUUUCCAAUUUAUUAGUCAAUUCACAACAUCAGAUCAAACCAUUGAAUCACAAUAAAUCCACACUUAGAUCAAAUCAUCGAUCAAUCGACCUAGUCGAUUACAUGUCAACAUGACCAUUCUCCGGUCACUUCAAUCAAUACGAUCGACUUUCCUCAAGGUGGGCCGAGCAUCUGGGCUCGGGAAGCGGUCAAAAUGGGCUACAAAGCUGCUGCCAUACCCAUUUGUCUCCUCUCUAUUCACUACUGGUUGAGGCCGGAUUCGGGGCUGAGAUGGCGAGGCAAGGCCAGUAGAGGGCAAGUGGACCUCCGGUGAGUCGAGGUGGCAGCGGCGUAUGGUGGCCAAAGGUUCUUGGGCAGCAGCCUAAGAUGGUCGAAUGGGGCUGAACAGAGGCGCCUGGAAGCUGGGGUCGCAUGGUGUGGCGAUGAGAGGCGCGGCCAAGCAUGGCUGCCUGCAUGCUCACGUGGGGAUGGGUGACCAGAGACGACGACACCUCUGGUCCAAGCGAUGCCGGCUACUACUUCUGCUCCGGCAUCCUCCCAGAUCUGGAACCUCGAGCAGUAGACGGAGGGGAAGACAGAGGGUGUCGAUGACGGCUGAGGUGGGUGAGUGAGAGGCGGAGGGCGAACGGUGAGUGGCGGAGAGUGGGGGUGAUUCGCGAGCAGCGACGGCGAGCUGCUUUGGUCUUCCUCUCUCAAUGGCUACUAUCUCCGCUUCUGCUCUUGCUAUGUUCGAACGACCGGAGAGGGAGAAGAGGAGAGAGAGAGUGUCGAACGGGUGAGGGGGUAUCAAGAGAGAGAGGAAGUACUGAAAGAGAGAGAAGAAGAUAAGAGAGAAAGAAGUUUGAAAAUUCAAAACAUAAAAAGUGAAAAGGAAGCAAAGUUGGAACUGGCAGAGGAAGUCGGUGGGGCUUUUGCAUGUGAGAAAGAAAGAGAGAGGGAGAGAGAAAAAGAAAAAGAAAGAAAGAAAGAAAGAAAGGAGAGAGAGCUUGUGCGGGAAAAGGUGUUUGGCCAAAUGGGGAAAAAGAAAUGGGAAUAAAUUCAAAAGAAAAUAAUUUCCUCAAAUAGAAAAUUUUAUUUCAUUUUCUUUUGAAUGAGCUCAUAGAUUGCCAAAAGAAUUUCAUAUUAGAGUACUCAGUUUCCAAUUGCAUUUAUACAUCCAAUUUUCCUCUUGAAUUUCUCUCAAAUGACUCAUAAAAUCAAUUGAUGUCUCACUUAUCAAAUUGAUUAUUUUCUCAUCCAAGAAUCCCUCAUGCUUCUCAAUUUCACAACCAGAAUUAAUCCCUAGCUUCAAUUGAACAAAAACGGCCAUAAACUGACUUUUUCCCAAAAAGUCUCGGUUGUAAGAAAAAUCUUCUAAAACUAAGUCGACGUUCCUAAAUUUUAUUGUGACAUGACAAAAUCUUCAAUUUCUAAAAUCAAACCUGAAUUGGCAGUUAAUUUCUAUUCGAUGCAUUUUAAGCGUGACCUAGACUAUCAAGUAGUUUUAAGAAAUUUUUAGGACAAAUGACCCAUGGUCGAUUUUCUUCGAGCCAUGAUAAACCCACUUGACACAUUGCCGAUUCUCGGUUGUCAUGAAAAUCUUGAGGGUUCAAAUAUGGACACAGGGUACGAAAAUGACAGCAAAAUCAAUUUAGUGUCGGUCAACGAGAGUUCUCCAAUUUAGUGGAGUCACCCACAAUCGGUCACACAUCUCAGUCGAAUCGACCUAUCUCUGAUUUUAAUUCGAUUUUUAACUGUGCCGUAAUGAUUUCUAAAGAUGAGCACGGUCGAGAAAUCGAUGUUUAGUCAAAUUCUCAAGUAUAUCUGCCUUAAAGUCCUUAAUAGCUUACCCAGCUAGUCUAGUUAUCUCGUGAGUGGCCAACUCAGAGAAAAACACUGUAGUCGCAUCAAUGAAAUGCCCAAUUUAUCUAAUUGAAAUCAGAGCCUGAAAAUCAGGAGUCACACCAUCCGCAGUUUGGUAAGUAGUAAACCAAAUCUUAUGAGGCGUCAUAUGAUAAGAACACCUCGAAUCUAGCACCCAUUUGUCUCCUAACGAAGUAGUAGUCACACAUAAGACUGCUUCUGCAUCACUAUAGCUCCCUUCGGCAACGUUUACCACACUGCUUGUGGCAUUCUGCUUAUCUGCUUUAUUCUUUCGCUUUGGACCAUCUCUCCUGAUGUGUCCCUCCUUGCAACACUUAAAGCACUUCACGCAUCCCUUGGACUUUCUAUGACAUGAUUUCGAUCUGCUUUUAUCUCUACCGUUACUAGGCCCUUGUUGUUGUUCUCUACCCCGAAUUGUCAGUGCUAACACUACUCCUUGCGCCAGACCGUCAUUUCGCAACUUUCUCUGCCACUCCUUAAAGAAUAAGGUGGACUUUACCUAUCUGAGGUAAUUGUAGUACGCCCCUGCAACAGUGAAUCAGUAAAGUGCUCCAAUGACUCUGGUAAAGAAGCUAACAACAUCAUGCCAUGUUCUUCAUCAUCAAGUAUCUUACCGACAUUCUUCAAAUCCGUCAUGAGUUUAUUAAAUUCAUCUAGGUGGGUUUUGAUGGACGUACAUUCAAUAUAUCUAAAUUAAAACAUAUUCUUCAACAUUUACAAGCGAUUGUUCAAACAUUUCUUCACAUAGAGUGCUUUAAGUUUUACCCAUAAUGCUGCGGCAUCCUUCUCCUUAGCAACCUCUAUUAAAACCUCAUUCGACAAAUUUAACAAGAUUGUGCUUUUUGCUCUUUCCAUUAGCUUUACCCUCUCUGAGGCUUUCAUUAUAAUAGGCAACUCAUCUUCACCAUCCAGUGCCUUGGCCAAACCUUGGGUUAUUAGUAAUGCCCGCAUUUUGAUGCUCCAUAAUAUAAAGUUAUUGCUCCUGUUAAACUUUUUAAUUUCAAAUUUCCUCUUAGACAUAAUUGCAAUAACAGAAUUUCCAAAUAAUAAUUAGACAAGCAAAAGCUCCAAAUCACAAUCAAGAAAUCCAACCCCAAGCUUUGAUACCAAUUGUUGGAAUAUAAUACACGACAAGAUCUUGCAAUUUACGUCAACACGAAAUCACCAGAGAAAUAAACGAUAAAUAAUAAGGAGACAGAAAUUUACGUAGUUCAGUCCAAGUAUCGGUAACUACGUCCACGGAGAGACCAAGCAGCAAGUAAUCCACUAUAAUUGAAAAAAUAGAGUUUACAAUCGCUUACGCGCUCAAGUGUCUCUCACACCUAGAUUUAAACCUAAACCCAAAGUGUUUAUAAAUAAACAACUCACUUGAACAUAAACUCACGGCACAAAAAAAAAAAUCACGCGUUCAAGUCGUACACCAAAAAGAAAAGAUCUCCAACUUCCUUUUCUUUCUUUCAUGCAGCUCUUCUCUCGACGUGGACAUGCGGCGUGGACGUGCAGCUUUCUUCUCCAUAGAGCUUCAGUGGCUUCUUAUGGAAGGAAAAGAAGACUUGCAAAUAUUUCUGUUUUUAUGUGUGCCCAGGUCAAAGUUUAACCUGCGCCCACCACGUUUUGGCUCUAUGUGUGCAGAGGACUUCAUCUUCACGCCAAAGGGUCCUUAUACAUGUGUGUGCCCAGAGUCAACACUUUGACUCUAGGCCCCACAAUCUGAUUGCUUUUUUCGGAUUCCACAUGCUUCCACAACAAAGAAGAAACUUUUCUCCCUUUUUUUUAUUGUUAUAUUUCCUCUUUUGUAAAUCUUCAAGAGUCCAGCAAAGUUUUUCUGUUGACUGAAAACAUCCAAACAAAUCACGCGUUUUGCAAAUACUCAAACUUGAGACAUAAUUUAACACUAUUUCCUACUUGAUUCUCCAGCCUAGUCUCCUACAAUUCCUAGCCCUUUGGGACCAGCCAACAUCACGGCUAUUCGAACUUUGUUUGCAGAUGCACAUGGGUGAGAACUGCUUCUAUUUUCGGUUCUUGUCUUGUUCUCCAAAUGCGCAUGGAUGGUUGGAGGUCUAAAGAGAUUAGUUACGUGAGAAAAUGAGAACAAAUGGGCUUGUAUAGCAUGAGAGAGAGAGAGAGAGAGUGAACCAAGGGAAAUAAUAAUAAUAAUAAUAAAUUGAUAAGACCAUUAAUAGUUUGAUUGAUUUGGGAGCUCUUACGGUCUCGUCAAUUUGAAAAUUUUAGAUAUCGGGCCUAAGUAUCUUAUUGGGCUUGUGCAUCAAGCCUAGCCCGGCUAAGUUUCCAUCGGCCUGAGUGGCGUGGCUUAGUCUAGUCCGGGUUCAAGCCGUUUGGCCAGAUCUGGUCUAAGCUCAAGCCGUCUUUUCAACAAACCGGGUUGGACCCAACCUGGGGAUCUGACUCGCGUCUUUUUUAAUAUAUUAUAAUUUUAUAAUAUAAAUAUAAUAUUUAAAAAUAUAUAUAAAUAUAUAUUUUAAAAUUAAAUAUUUCGAAAAUUAAAAAAAUUGCAAGGUUUGUUUAGAAAUUGACAUGUUUUGCUUUCUUAGUGUAAUUAGACCUUUAUUUGCUUGCACAUUGAUUUAUCGCAUGUUUAAUUUGCAUAGUUAAUUAUCUUUAAUUGCAUGUGCUCAAUUUUACUACAACUAGGAUUUUGGUAGCUAUGAUUGUUACUAUAAUGAUUGCAAACCUGCAUGAUCACUUCACAUGUUAGUGAAUAGGUAUAAAAUCAAUCUAAACUGCCAAAGAAAAAUCUCUUCUUCUAAAAUGAACAAGCUUAGGUACCAAAAACACACUAAUUGGUCAAUUAGUGUAAUCAAGUCCCCAACCCUAAAAUCUUUAGUUGGGUAGGAAGUGAGGUAUACUCUCCUACCUCACUUGGUUUCUAGCCGGCCCCAAUAGACUAGCGGCGUCUCCAUUUUGCAAAAUAAUUAGAAAUACCCCAACGUCACGUGAGGUAUGGGCUUGGGAGAGCCCGCGCCUAUCAUGGGCCUUUUGCUCAAUAUUACCAUUCGGCUUGUCUUGUUUGUAUUGCUUGACGCACGAACGCCUAAUAUUCGGCACAGUGAGCAUCCGUUUUGUCCAUAUUGCCAGAUAAAUCCCACAGAUUCUUUCCCUAAAUUUGUUUACCGUCCUUGCCGUUCCAUAGCCUUGCUAAUUUCCGGAGCACUAACUUCUACUAAUAUCUUGAUUCUUUCCAUCAUUACAUCUCUUCAUACGUUAUUUUCUUUUCUUCCCAUUCCUCACUUAGUAUCUUGGUUUCAAGCCUCCGUACUUCAUAUUAUUCUGAUAGAAAAUGAAAUAAUCAAAUGAUUUUUCAUUGAAUAACUAUUCAUCUAUUGUAUUUUCAUGUAAAUAGGGGUAACAAAGUUCAAUGGAGAAAUGGUGGUUCAAUUCAAUGUUGUAUAAAGGAAAAUUAAAUUAGAAUACAGGUGUGGGCUAAGUAAAUCAAUCGAUAGGUUUGGUAAUCCUAUUUAAUGACAUUUACAUAUUUAUACCCAGAAAAAAAGAAGAAGAGGAUUUCAUCUAUCUUGCCCCUUGCCGGAUUUUGUGGUAUCGUUUUUGGUUCUGUUUUCAAUUGAAUGAAUCGGGUCUUUCAUCGAUGCGCCUGUAGUUCUUUUCCCUAAACUGAUCAUUUACAGGAUAACUAGUCUAUCAAGUGAAGCUGUUAAGGGAUUUUAAUGCAAUAGACUUGGGAAUUCGAUUAGGAAUCCACUACUCCACCGUGCUAGUCUACAAGGGUCGUUAUGGCACAAUUAAAAAUUGAUUAGAGAUUGAAGAUAGGUCAAUUCAACUAAGCCAUGUGAUUAAGUGUGGGUAAUUCCACCUAAUUGCAAAAUUUUCGUCGAUUGGCACUAGACCAAUUUUUCUGUCGUUUUAGUACCUUAUGUCCGUAUUUGAAAUCUUGAGAUUUUCACGACAACUGAGAGUCGUCAAUGUGUCAGAGAUGUAUAAUGUGGCUUGAAAAUAACCGACCACGGGUCAAUUGCAUUAAAAAUUCCUAAAAGCCACCCAGUAGGCCAGGCCACGUUAAAAUCGCACCAAAUCGAAAUUAAUCACGAAUUUGAAUCCGAUUUCAGAAAUUGAAAGUUUUGUCAUGUCGCAAUUUAUUUUAGGAAAGUCGACUCACUCUCCAAAUAUUUUUCUGCAAACCAAGAUUUUUGGCGAAAUUUCAAAGUAGGGCCAUUUUUUAUCGGAAAAAUCAGGGGACCAUUUUUAUCAUGUUUUUGGGAUUCCAGUUGGAUGAAGUGACGAGAAAAAAAGUUGAAUGGGAUGAUGGCACCUUGGUUGAAUUUAUGGGGACGAUUUAGAUCCAGUUAAAGGAGAAUUGAAGUGGAUUUGGGAGAAUUUAUGUCAAAUUCGUAGGCCAUGGUCACCACAACAUUUGGACCAUUUGGUGAAGCUUCUAAGGGAAGUCUUGGGCUGCAAAUUGGCUUGGAUGACAGCUAAGGCAAGUGGGUCCUUGCCAAUGAGUGUUUGAAGAUAGAAUAAAGAGCUUUGGAGGCCAAGAGGGACCCUCCAACCUUCUGUUGUCCCUUUCUUCUCUAGCAAGAUUGCUUUCCCUAUUAUAGACCAUUUUGAGCUCCCAAAAAACUAGAGGAAACCACUGGCCUUCCCCCCUACCGUUGCAAGCCGCCUGUCAAACCGCUAGGACCACCAUGUUACCAUAGCACCCCCCGUGCGAGCCCGUCGCGUGCCGUCUGCCCAUCCGGCUGCUCCUGCUUGUCCCGCCACCCCAGCUAUGCCCUCGAGCCUCCCUAGUCACUGUAGGAGCUCAGCCGAAGCACCCUGGCCACCGUCGCCCCUGCUCGCCCGCUACAACCUAGUCUGUUCCAUUGCAGUUUCUAGCUCUGUUCUAGUUUGCUCAAUCCUUGGACAUAAUCAAGAAGCCCAGCUAGCCAUGAUCCUUUAAGACCCGUUUUAGACCUCUUUUGGGCCUUGCUUGGCUUCGCCACCAAGAGGUUUGUCGUUUGUCCCCACGUCGCCAUCACAUAGACUUACUAGAUUGCUAAACCGGUGAGUUUACUUGCUAAACUCUACUUAGGGAGUUAAUAAUGUUUAAAGGGUGUUUAGAUUAGGCUAGUUAGGGAUUAGGUGGUUAGUUAGAACGGAUUAGUGAUUUAAUUAUUUGAUUUUGCAUUUUAGGUGGUUUGAACAGCUUAAUUAUGGACUAGAUAAGUUGUACUAUUUACCUAGAUAGGUUUGGAAAUUUUUUCGGCCUGUUUGGGUGGUUAAUUAAGCACCUUCGACCUAAGUUUGCUCUCUUUUUUUGUAAUUAAUUGCAUUUAUUUAAUUAUUUUUAUUAUUUAUUUAAUUAUUUAUUAUUUUCUAGAAAUUAUACCGAGAUAGCCAGUGACCGAAAUUUCGUGUUCAUUGAAGUGGUAUGUUUAAUUUAUGCAAUUACUAUUUUGUACAAAUUGAGUGGUGAUUGUAAUUUUGGGUAUUUAUUCCAAAAUGGUGUAAUUUUGGUAUUUAAUCAAAAAAUACCAGGGCGUCGGUUUUAAUGGCAAAAAUAUUUUUAGGCAUUAAAUUAAAUAGUGAGAUUUUUGAAAAGAAAGAUAUAACAUUUUGGCUCAUACAGGCUGUGUACCUACACAUGAUUUUUCUCCAGUAUUUUUAUCACGAUGAUAUUAGGCCAAGUUCAUUAUUUUAUUUGAGAAAUGGGUGUGCAAAGCACGAGGUCUUUGGCCGAGAUUGAUUUAUUGUGUAUCAACUUUGGUGAGCAAUAAUAAAUCUCAGCUUGGGUGAGCAGUGAUUGAAUUGAGUCGAUUGAUUGAGUGGAUCAAUGGUUGAUGGUUUGGGUUAAAUUGAUUGGUUGAGAUUAUGAUUGUCCUGAUGUGCAGGAGGGAACUGAGGCAAGGUAAGUCUUCUGACUUGUGUUUAUAGCUGCCUCUAAGCAUAUUUCCUUCCUAGACGGAAUUUAGGGGUGAACUUGCUGAGAAAUUGUCUCACCCUGUCAUGGCUCGGUUCCUCGAGAACGUUUGGCUAGCCCAAAAGGAUCACUCAGUAGGUCUUCAUUAUUCCUCUUCCCGAGGGCCAAGGAGCCUAGGUCUAUGAAUUCGUAAGGAUCAUGUCUGGGUUGAUGCAGGUCUACCUCGGUGGAUACCCCAUCAAUUCAGAGCGUGGUAUCGUCCCAUGUGAAAUGGACCCAGAGAAGGUCCCCUGUAGGAUUCUGAGGUCCUAGUGUCGUGUUAGAAAUUACUUUUGGCGAGGGUACAGCUGACCCUUCUGGUGGUGCAGUGGUGGACCUAAGUCCCCAGGAGAGCUCGGGGUUUUCAAUUGGGGGUUCAAAUGCCUAGAGGAUUUGUAGACUUUCUGCUUGAGUAGACUUUUGUUUAUAGACUAAUAUGGUAUAUAAACUAGUCGGUGUAUCCUGGGACGUUGUAAUUUAAUCGACCACCAAGGGAUGGGCACAUGCUCGAGGAUCGGGCCGUGACAUCCCCGCCUAGAGUGGUAUCAAAGCGGGUCAGCGUUUGUAGUGAUAAGGUGCGAUGGGUUAUGGGAUAGUUAGUAAAAAAUGAAUUUUUCUUAUGUAGACACUUGUGAUUGAUUGAUUUAUUGUUUGUGUGGGUUGCUCAGUUUUCCUAAUUGUUUGUGGAAUUGGAAAGUAGGUUUGUGGAGAUCAUGUAAAAUGAGCGAUCCAGAGCCAAGGAUUUCUCAGAAGAGGAGCGUUGUGUUGGCCUCUUGGGGUAGGACACCAACUAGUGUCGAUACUCGAGGUGGUUGUGGUAGAGUGUAGGCUCAGGCUAGCGUGAGUGAGAGAGUACUACUGCAGGCCGGUACUGGUGUAGCAGCAUAUGGUGAUCCUAGAAUCAAUGGGAUUGUUCAAACACUUGAGGCUUUGGGAAAUCUAAUGGAGUAGCAAGUUCAAAUCAAGUUGCCGCUGCCAUUACUGCAGCCACACCUGCUAAAGUCCAACCUAGGAACGUGAUCGAGGAGAGACCGGUGCACAAGUUAAUUGAGCAGUUCUUGUAGUUGAACCCACCGAGGUUCACUGGUGUAAGAGAUCCCGAAGCUGCAUCGCUCUGCAUCUAAGACCUAGAGAAAGCCUUUGCACUUCUGAUGUGCAUUGAGGAGGAAAAGGUUGUCCUGGCAGUAUAUCAGCUACAAGGUAACGCGAAUACUUGGUGGAGAGUUACCAGAGGCAUAGUUUUCCCUGAAGGUGUAGUCCCAGUGUGGAACGCUUUCCUCAGAGCCUUCAACAACAAGUACUUUUUGGGUAACGCCUAAGAGCAGAAGAUGGAGGAAUUUCAAUUCCUUCGUCAAGGCAUGCUAACCGUUCAUCAGUAUGAAGCAAAGUUCGCUAAGUUGUUGUAGUACGCUCCCAGACUGAUAGAGGAUCCUAAAGACAAAGCUCGGAGGUUCAGGAACGGACUCCGAAUAGAACUAAAGAAUCCACUGAUACCGCAUGAUCUCAAGGAUUAUAACAAAGGUUAUAGUUGAGCCCAGUUGAUAGAGAGAAGUUUGAGUGAGCAAGCCGUCUCGUUUGGGUCGAGGUUCAGUUCGAAUAGAGAUGGGAACCGAUUUGGGAAGAGGUCCAUGACCGAAAGAAUAUACCAUGUUCUAUCCAAUAGGAAGGGUGGAAUAGGUAAGUUAGUGCCAAAUCAAAAUGGCAUGUGUUGCUUCUAUGGAAUGCGACAUGGUUCGGCCUUGUGCCAUCUUAGGAUGGGUGCAUGUUUUAAAUGUAGUCAACAUGGUCACUUGGCUAGAGAUUAUCCUAGAAGACCAAGGCGACUACAACAGUUACCGCCGCCACCACUGAUGGGUCAGAAUAGAAGGUUCGUAUCGCAGAUUGCACAGCAAGGAGAACAGAACAGACCACCAACUCAGGGAAGGACGUAUGCUAUCACAAGAGGACAUGCUGAGGACGCACCUGAUAUGAUUACAGGUAUGGUUUUACUAAAUGACCACGCUGCUUAUGCUUUAUUUGAUCCUGAUGCAACUCAUUCAUUUAUAGCUGAACAAUUUGUUAAGCUAGUAGGAUUGAUUCUUGAGUUGUUGGAGUCAGUGGUUAGCAUAUCUACACCGUUAAAGGAUAAUGUGUUAGCUACAAUGGGUUGUCCUAGUUGCAAGUUAGCGAUUGGUGAGCGAAAGACGAGGAUAGAUUUGAUAGUCCAAGUCAUGUAUGAUUUCGAUGUGAUAAGUGGCAUGGACUGGCUCACCAAGUAAUGAGCUAAGAUGGACUGCUAUUGUAAAUCGUUUCAGUUUAACCUAUUAGGGGGUGGAAGUUUCAAGUUCACUGGAAGUCGAGGAGGACCCUCGAUUUCCUUAAUCUUGUUGCUUGAGGCAACCUGUUUGUUAGAUGGGGGUUGUCAAGGUUACCUGGCGACUAUUGAGCAGCUGAAGAUCGAAGAUAUCUCAGUGGUACAAGAAUUUCCAAACGUGUUUUCGAAAUAAUUGCUAGGCCUGCCGCCAGAGAGAGAUAGAGUUCGUGAUUAAGUUAGCACCUGGGACAGAGCCAAUCUCUAAGGCUUCUUAUCGGAUGGCAUUGUCUAAGUUGAAAAAGCUAAAGGUGCAGAUGCAGGAGUUGUUGGAUAAGGGAUUCAUACGUCCCAAUGCAUCACUUUGGGGAGCACCAGUUAUGUUCAUGAAAAAUAAAGAUGGUUCAUUGCGCUUAUGCAUCGACUAUCGCCAACUCAAUCAAGUGAUGAUCAAGAACAAAUAUCCACUCCCGAGGAUCGACAACUUGUUUGACCAGUUGUAAGGAGCGUCGAUAUUUUCAAAGAUUAAUUUGAGUAUAGGGUAUCAUCAACUGAGGAUAAAAAAGGAGGACAUACUGAAGUUAGCGUUUCGUACUCGAUACGGCCAUUAUGAGUUUACUGUAAUGCCAUUUGGUUUGACAAAUGCCCCAACUGCUUUUAUUGAUAUGAUGAACCGAGUGUUCAAAGAAUAUCUAGAUCAAUUUAUGAUCGUAUUCAUCGACAAUAUCCUAGUGUAUUCGAGAAGUUUUGAGAAGCACGAGAGGCAUUUGAGGAUGGUACUUCAGACCUUGAGGAUUCAUGGAUUGUACGCCAAGUUCAGUAAGUGCAAAUUUUGGUUGACUCGAGUUGCGUUUCUAGGUCACGUGAUUUCAAGCGAAAGAAUCUCCGUGGACCCAACUAAGAUUAAAGCAGUUAUCAACUGGCCAAGACCAGUGACAGUGACAGAGAUCAGAAGCUUUCUAGGUUUGGUAGGUUAUUACAGAAGGUUUGUGGAAGGGUUUUCAGCGUUAGCGUCGCCGUUGACUUGACUACUGAAAAAGGAAGAGAAGUUUGUGUGAGCAGAUAAGUGCGAGAGUAGUUUUCAAGAGCUUAAGCAGAAGCUGACUACCACACCUAUGCUGACCAUACCAUCUGAUCCUGGAGGAUACGAGAUCUAUAAUGAUGCGUCGUUUAGAGAUUAAGGUUGCGUGUUAAUACAACAUGGUAGGGUUGUUGCAUACGUGUCCCGUCAGUUGAGAUCUCAUAAAUUGAAUUAUCCGACACAUGAAAAAUCAUUUUCGCUCUGAAGAUUUUGAGACAUUAUUUGUGUAGAGAAAUAUUCUAGAUCUUCACUGACCAUUAAAGUCUCAAGUUUCCAUUCUCUCGGAAUGAGAUGAGUAUGAGACAGUGUCGUUGGAUUGAACUCUUAAAAGACUAUGAUUGUGACAUUUUGUAUCACCCUGAAAAGGCGAACAAUGUCGUAGAUGCGUUGAGUCAGAAGUUUUCAGUUGUGCAUAUGAUGGUUAAGGAAUGGACUUUACUUGAGAAAGCUCGAGACUCGGUUUUCAAAUUUAAGAUAGGCCACCUUUCAAAUCUUGCUACCCUCAGAAUUGAACCGGAAGUGCAGAUUAGAAUCAAGACGCUUCGGUGGAUAGACCCAGAGAUUCAGAAGAUUCUGCAAGAGAAUACUGAAAAGAAGAAGGCUGACUUUAAGAUUUUGGAAGACAGAAUACUAAGGUUCCGAGGAUGAAUGUGUGUACCUAACGAUGUAGAGCUUGAAGAAGAGAUCUUAUUAUAAGCUCAUUGUAGCAGCUACAACAUUCAUCCUGGUAGUACGAAGAUGUAUCAAAAUCUGCGUCAACAUUAUUGGUGGUCCAGUAUGAAGGUGGACAUUGCCAAGCAUCUCACCAAGUGUCUGACAUGUUAGCAAGAAAAGGCGCAACAUUGUAAGCUGGGAGAACUUUUGCAAUCUCUCGAGAUUCUCGAGUGGAAAUUGGAGCACAUCACAAUGGACUUUGUGAUAGGCUUACCAAGGAGUCAAAGAGGUAAUGAUUCCAUUUGGGUAGUGGUCAACACACUGAUGAAGUCGGUUCACUUCAUCGUAGUACGAAAUGACAUUGAUUUGGACAGACAUGUACAGUUGUAUGUGCAUCAGAUUGUUUGUCUGUAUGGAGUGUCGGUAACGAUUACAUCAGACUGAGACCUGAGAUUCACAAUUGCCUAUUGGCAGAGUUUACAGGCUGCCUUAGGAAUGAAGCUGUAGUAUAGUACGGCUUAUCAUCCUCGGACAGAUGACUAGUCUGAGAGGACAAUUCAAACCCUCGAAGACAUGUUGUGAGCUUGCGUGUUGGAUUUCAAGGGAAGCUGGGAGGAACAACUUCAUCUUGUCAAGUUUGCCUACAACAACAACUACCAGCAGAGCAUUCAGAUGGCUCAUUUCGAAGCAUUGUAUGGCAGAGUGUGCAGAACGUCAAUGUGUUGGGAUUAGGUUGGAGAACAAAAGAUCACAGGCUCAGAGUUAGUCCAGCAGUCAGUGGAUGCAGUUGCCGUCAUUAGGGACAGAUUAAAGACCGCUCAAAGCUACCAUAAAAGUACAUUGAUAAGCGUGGAAGGCUAUUGAAAUUCCUUGGUGAGCACUUCUUUUUGAAGGUGUCACCGAUGAAUGGUACUUCGCACUUCAGCAAGAAAGGGAAGCUGAGUUUGAGGUACAUAGGUCCCUUUGAGAUUCUAGAAAGAAUAAGGAUUCUAGCGUAUCAUCUUGCAUUGCCGCCGAGGUUGGCGCAAGUGCAUGACAUCUCUCAUGUGUCGAUGAUGAAGAAGUAUGAACCUGACUCGACCCACGUACUAAAUUUUGAGGAAUUAGACGUGGACGACAGGGUGUCGUACGUGGAAAGACCAAUUCAAAUUAUAGAUCGCAAUGAACAUGUUCUGCACACCAUCACAAUGAACAUGUUCUGCAUACCAAAACGAUCUCGUUGGUUAAAGUGAUCUGGCAACACCACGGUAUUGAAGGAGCAACUUGGGAAAGUGAAGAUUCGAUGAGACAACUGUAACCCCACCUUUUUGUUUAAAAAUUUAUAAGAGGGGAAGAGUUGUGCCAUCUUGAAUUUCCAGUUCUGUUUUCAAUUGAAUGAAUCGGGCCUUUCAUCGAUGCGCUUAUAGUUCUUUUCCCUGAAUUGAUCACUCACGGGAUAACUAGUUUAUCAAGCGAAGCUGUUAAGGGAUUUUAAUACAAUAGACUUAAGAAUUCGAUUAGGAAUCCACUACUCGACCAUGCUAGUCUACAAGGGUCAUUACAGCAUAGUUAAAAAUUGAUUAAAGACUGAAGAUAGGUCGACUCGACUUAGCCAUGUGAUAAAGUGUAUAUGAUUCCACCUAAUUGCAAAAUUCUCGUCGAUCAGCACUAGACCGAUUUUUGUGUCGUUUUGGUAUCCUGUGUUCGUGUUUGAAAACUUGAGAUUUUCACGACAAUCGAAAAUCGUCAAUGUGUCAAAGAUAUACAAUAUGGUUCGAGAAUAACCGACCACAGGUCAAUUGCACUAGAAAUUCCUAAAAGCUAUUUAAUAGGCCAAGUCACGCUAAAAUCACGCAAGGUCGAAAUUAAACGCGAAUUUGAAUCCAAUUUCAAAAAUUGAAAGUUCUGUUAUGUCACGAUUUAUUUUAGGAACGUCGACUCACCUCCAAAGAUUUUUCUGCAAACCGAGAUUUUUGGCAAAAUUUCAAAGUAGGGCCAUUUUUUACCGGAAAAAUCAAAGGAUUGUUUUUUUUUCACGUUUUUGGGAUUCCAAUUGGACAAAUUGACGAGGAAAAAUAUUGAAUGGGAUGAUGGCACCUUGGUUGAAUAUGGGGACCGAUUUAGAUCCAAUUGAAGGAGAAUUGAAGUGGAUUUGGGGGAAUUUGUGUCAAAUUCAUAGGCCAUGGUUACCACAACAUUUAGACCACUCGGUGAAGCUUCUAAAGAAGUAUUGGGCUGCAAAUUGGUUUGGAUGACAUCCAAGGCAAGUGGGGCCUUGCCAAUGAGUGUUUACGAUAGAAUAGAGAGCUUUGGAGGCUAGGAGGGACCCUCCAACCUUCUAUUAUCCCCUUCUUCUCCAGCAAGCUUGCUUUCCCCAUUGUAGACCAUUUUGAGCACCCAAAAAAACCAGAGGAAACUGCCAGCCUUCCCCCUGCCAUCGCAAGCCACUCGCUAAACUACUAGGAUGUCGCGGUCACGCCCCCGCGAGAGCCUGUUGCACGCCAUCUGCUUGUCUGCUACUCCUGUUCGUCUCGCAACCCUAGUCGUGCCCCUAAGCCCCCUUGGUCAUUGUAAGAGCUCAGUCGAAGCCCCUUGGCCAGUGUCCAGUAGCUGCCAUCACCCCUGCUCACUUGUUGCAGCCUGGUCCGCCCAUCCCUUGCCAUUUCUAGCCCCAUUCCAACUUUCUUGGUCCUUUGAUAGAACCAAGAAGCCCAACCAGCCGUGAGCCUUCGAGGCCCCAUUUCGACCUCUUCUAGACCUUACUUGACUUCGCUGCCAGGAGGUUUGUUACCGUCUCUGCGUUACCGUCACCGUGGACUCACCGAUUAGCUAAACCAGUGAGUUUACUUACUAAACUUUGUUUAUUGAGUUAAUGACGUUUAAAUGGUGUUUAGAUUAGGCUAAUUAGGGAUUAUGUGGUUAGUUAGAAUGGAUUAGUCAUUUAAUUAUUCGAUUGUGCAUGUUAGGUUGUUAGAACGGCUUAAUUAUGGACUAGAUAAGUUGUGCUAUUUACCUAGAUAGGGUUGGACAUUUUCCCGACUCGUUUGAGUGGUUAAUUAAGCAUUUCCAGCCUAAGUUUGCAUUUUUGGUAAUUAACUGUAUUUAUUUAAUUAAUUUUGGUAUUUAUUUAAUUAUUUAUUAUUUUCUAGAAAUUAUACCGAGAUAACUGGUGAUUGGAAUUUCGUGCUAAUUGCAAUGGUAUGUUUAGUUUAUGCAAUUGAAUGCUAUUUUGUGCAAAUUGAGUGGUGAUUGUAAUUUUGGGUAUUUAUCCCAAAAUUGUGUAAUUUCGGUAUUUAAUCCGAAAAUACCAGAACGUCAAUUUUAACGCCAAAAAUGUCUUUAGGCACUAUAUUAAAUAGUGAGAUUUUUGAAAAGAAAGAAGCAUUUUGGCUCAGACCGACCGUGUACCCACACAUGACUAUUUUUAUCGAGUAUUUUAAUCACGAUGAUAUUAGGCCAAGUUCAUUAUUUUAUUUGAGAAAUGGGUGUUCAAAGCAUAAGAUUCUUGGCCGGGAUUGAUUUAUUGUGUAUUAGCUUUGGUGAGCAAUAAUAUAUUAAUAUAUAUAUAUAUAUAUAUAUAUAUAAACUUUGGUGAGCAUUAAUAAUAAAUCUCAGCUUGGGUGAGCAGUGAUCAAAUUGAGUUGAUUGAUUGAAUGGAUAGAUGGAUUGAUGGUUUGGGUUAAAUUGAUUGGUUGAGAUUAUGACUGUACUGACGUGUAGGAGGGAACUGAGGUAAGGUAAGUCUUUUGACUUGUGUAUAUAGCUACCUCUAGGCGUAUUUCCUUUCUAGUCGAUGUUUAAUGGGUGAACUUGAUGAGACAUUAUCUCACUCCAUCGUGGGCUCAACCUUUUCAGGUCCUUAGAUGGUGGUUCCUCUGAAAUGUUUUGGCCAGCCUAAGAGGAUCACCGAGCAGGUCUCCGUUAUUCUUCUUCCCGAGGGCCAAGGAGCCUGGGUUUAUGAACUCAUGAGGACCAUUGUCUGAGUUGAUGUGGGUCUACCUCGAAGGCUACCCCAUCAUUUCAAAGCAUGGUAUCAUCACGAGCGAAAUGGAUCCAAAGAAGGUCCCCUACAAGAUUCUGAGGUCCAAGUGUCAGUAUUAGAAAUCACUUUUGGCGAGGGUACAGCUAACCCUUUGGGUGGUGCAGUGGUGGACCCAAGUCCCCAAGAGAGCUCAGGAUUUUCAGUUGGGGGUUUGAAUGUCUAGAGGACUUGUAGACUUUCUGCUUGAGUAGACUUUUGUCUAUAGACUAGUAUUGUAUAUAAACUAGUCGACUAUGUAUAAAGGUUUGAUUCGGUUGUGAAAUCCUGGUCCUGUUUUUCUAUCCAAUCUUUGUGUUGUUUAGGGAUUUAUUUAUAUGCAUCUGCAUACGCAUUAAAAUGAAUGAGUCGGCGAUACGUCUUGGGACGUUGCAAUUUAAUCGACUACCGAGGGAUGGGCACGCGCUCGAGGAUCGGAGCGUGGCAAACUUACUUUCAAUAUGUAAAUCCUUUAAUUGUGGAAGGAAUUCCGCCGAUUCCUUCUCUUGGCUUUGAGCAUGCCCCCACAAUCACAGUCCUUUCAAGAUCGUGAUGUGCAAUCCCCCUUUUAAGCUACUAUUCUAGCCGUGAUGCAUUAUCCUCCAUUCCUUAUUGGCCAAAUUUAGACUCCAAUUCGGGUUGCCAUGUCAAAUAUCCUAAUUCAAAUUGCGACCCUGAUCCAUUCAAUGAAUUUAAGACUUUCACUUAAAAUAUGUCAAUUUCAAUGGGCACCUGUCAAUAAGAAAGAUUCUGUAAUACUCCACGGUAUUUUGCGUGCCACUGAGGAUGCCAAUGGCAACUAUACAAUAUUGAUUUUUAUUUUUAUUUUUUGGGUUUAGAGAUUGGACUCAAUCACUAAUUUUGACUAAAGAAAAAUCAAAAUUUAAAUGUCAACAUCGUCUCCGAAAAAAAAAUUGCCGACCAGUGCAAUAAGUUAGUAAUCUCGCGGCCAACAUCGAAUGGGAGCAAGAACUCCAGCGAAACGACCGUAAGAUGGGAAACUUUAACACUAUCUUUACGAAGAAAAGACAAAAUUUAUCCUGCAAAGUCAAACACGUGCAGACCUCAUCUUAAUAGUUCAUCGACAUUUGAAAUCCAAGCCGGCGAUGAUUCCUCAUGUAAAAAUAACAUUCUUAGUUUGACUUUUGCAAUUGAAAAAAGAAAAAAAAAAAAACGAAGGAUACUUGCAUAGGUAUUAUUUUUCCCCCACAUGGCAUAUACUCCAAAUUAAGCUUAUUUAUAAUAUGUAGCUUAAAGCGUCAACACAAAGCCGGCUCUUUCUUUUAACUCAUAACAAUUACUUUGUCUCAUGCUCUUAUUUCAUCUAUAAGUAGAAAGAUAUGCUAUUAAGCUAAGAUAAUCGAAAAGCAUGGCUAAGAUCACCAGUCACAAGUCCACCAUCUUCUUCAACUUGGUUUCGAUACUCUUGUUCGUCCUCAUGGUCACCCGGGUCAAGAGCCUAAUAGUUGGAAGUAAUGGGUUUCUAAUCUCCAUCAAACAUAUAUUUUGUUCCUGCAUACCUCAAAAUCUCGUUCUGCAACUUCAUCGUACAUUGAGGAUCCGCUUUCUAUUUCAAAACCUCGGCCAACCACAAGUAACAACCCUAGUACCAGUACUUUCGACCAGUUUUGGAAUAAAAUCUGUUUUAAUGCUGCAAUAGUAGCUGGAAGUUUUUCCUUCCUACAAAAGGAUAAGCAGCUUGACAAUACCCAUGUUUCUCAUAAUAUUAAAGUAGUUUUCAAUGCACGCGCUAAGCACGAUUCUUUUCAUUGCUAGUGUAAAUUACGCAAUUAGUGUUUCACUAGUCAUCAAUCAAAUCAUUUCGUUGGGACUCAAGUAUUUCUCUGGUUUAUGCAUGGUGCUUUACAGGGGAACCUUUCCUUUUGUGCCACGAACUGGUGCAAGUGAACAGUAGCACAGCAGUAGAAAUUAUUCUCAGAAACAAAAUGUCAUUUUUUUUUUGUUCCAAAUUUAUUUUUCCAUCAUUUUUUUAUUUUAAAGAAUAAAAAAAUUAAUUGACGUUACGAAAUAUGUUUCUAUGCUUUUUCUAUUCUAGAGAGCAAAAUGAUAAAUUAAUAAAGAAACACAAGCAUCGCCAAAUAGAGCCUUAUCUCUGAUGCGGAUCCCCAAAAUCCAUGUUUUUUUAUUGUUUUCUUGCAAUCAUGCGUUCCCUUCCUGAACAUCAUGUGGAUAAACUCGUUGACCUUCUUUUUUGCUUAGGAAAGCAGUGCAUUUUUCAUGAUUUAAAGCAAUUAAAAUGGACCAAAGAAAGUUAGAAGUGCAGACCUUCAAAUCUCUCAAUUUUCCAACGGACAUGGCCACGAAAAUUGAGGUUGUCUCCACAGAGACCAUCAAGCCGUCCUCUCCAACUCCACCUCACCUAAGGAACUUCAAUUUCUGCCUCCUCGACCAGCUGGCUCCAUCGUUUUAUGUUCCAGUCGUCCUGUUCUACUUGGCUCCUGACCAAAAGGCGGCGCCAGACUCAGCCUUGGUUUCGGGAUACUUGAAAACUUCGCUUGCGCAGGCGCUUUCCCUCUUCUACCCUCUAGGUGGAAGGGUGAAAGGAAAUGCUGGGAUUGAUUGCAAUGAUGAGGGUGCACUCUAUAUGGAGGCGAAAGCUCGCUUCGAGCUGUCUAAAGUCCUUUCGAACCCAGACAUCGAUCAGCUGCAGCAAUUCCUCCCAUUCUCCCCAAGCAGAGUCAGUACCAACAUUAACGAACAAGUCAUUGUAGGGGUCCAAGCCAAUUUUUUUGACUGUGGCGGCAUGGGGAUCGGCAUCUGCAUCUCUCACAAAAUUGCUGAUGGGGCGUCGGUUUCUGCUUUCCUCAACGCAUGGUCUGAAAUCGCCAACAAUGGAGUCGACGGUGAAGCGAGCCUCAUCACUCCCUUCCUGAAAGCAUCCGAGCUCUUCCAACCAAAGGACAUAAACUACCAAAUUCCAUCUGGAGUCAUCAGCAGAGAGAAGCUUUCGACCAAGAGGUUUUGUUUCAACGGUGAGAGCUUGGCUCGCCUCAGGGCCGGGUUUGGUGGUGCCAAUCCUACUCGUGUUGAGGCCGUGACCGCCCUCAUAUGGAAAUCCGCCUUGGCAGCAGCAAGGAAGAGGCCAGAGUGGAAGGAGAAGUAUCCCCCAUCGUCAGCAGUCAUACAUGCGGUGAACAUCAGAAGCAGGAUAAGGCCACAACCAUUGCCUGAGACUACCUUGGGCAAUCUGGUGCAGGCCGUUGUGGCACCACUCAUGGAACCAAACAAGGGUGACGAAUUGCAGGACUUUGCAGGCACUCUCAGAAAUUCAAUAAGGGCAAUUGACAGCGAAUAUUUGAGCGCGCUUCAAGGCGAGAAUGGAUUGGCCAAGGCCUGCGAGAACCUCAUGGCGACACGGAAGCUGGCAGCGUCGUCUGCCAUCGAGCUCUACAGGUUCAGCAGCUGGGCGAGGUUCCCGUUCUACGAGGCUGAUUUUGGCUGGGGAAGACCUGCUUGGGUGUGUACCAUUGCUCCCAUAAAAAAUUUGGUCAUUUUGAUGGGAACUAGAUGCGGGGAUGGGAUCGAAGCAUGGAUCACCUUGGCCGAGCACGACAUGAUCGAGUUCGAGCACAACGAUGAGUUGCUACAAUUUGUUUCGCCAAACCCCCGAUCAUGAGAAGGGCGACGCGAUGAUGAUAGUGAUCCUUUAUGGUUUGUUUGUCCAUUUGCUUAAUUUAAGUUUCAUAUGUUCGUUUGCUUUGUUAGGUGCCAUAAACUGGUUAAAGGGUUUGUACGUUAUUAUUUAUGUGUGAUUCAAACUGCAAAUAAAAGGAUGUUUGAAAUUCAAUCCUCGGACAUUUUAGUUUGAAAAACCUUGUUGAAAUGGAAAAAUACUAUAUAUAAUAUUUUUUAUGUUGUAUUAUCCACAAAGAAAUCUUGUUAACAAAUGUCUUAAAGGUACUUUUACCGAUUUAUAAAAUAUUUAAAAUUAGUAAAUAAAAAAUUCAGACACCCUAAGAAAACUUCAAUAUGAAAGCUAUAUAUAUGUGUAUAUAUAUUUGUUAUAUCAAAGCACAUCAAACCUAGCUUGGAGAAUAACCGAAGGGUGCUGCAGUCAUAAUAUUUAUUAUUAAAACAAGCAAUGCUACAUGUAUUAAGAAAUUUUAUUAAAACAUUUUUACUAAAUGAUGUGGCAAUUUUGUAUUGGAUAUUUCAAGAAGCCAAUGAUUCAACGCAUGGUUUUCAUAUAUUUAUACCCAAACAAAACUUGUUAUAUUACUUAGUAAGUAAAUUUUAGUAAGAUUUUUAUGGGCAUCUAGCAUUCUUCUGUUAAAACUUGUUAUAUGGACUGAAUUCAAGAUUGCAUUGGCUUAUAAACCACAUAGAUGAGUUGACAAAACCAACAACCCAAAUAUCAGCCUGAUGUUUCCAGCAAUUCAAUAGAUAGAGCAACAGAAAAAUAAAUAAAUAAAUAGAGCAAUAGGAUAGGAAAAUGUAAGCAAGAAUUCAAAAGAGGAGAAAAUAUUAGAUAGGAGUGGGAUUCCAGCAUGUCAAAAUCCCACUUCAUUUAUCGGCAACAUGUGUCAUCUGGGGCCCACCAUACUAUAGCCGCCUUACCGUCUCGCCUCUCUCUUUCCGCUCUUAUAUUUUCCUUUAUAUUUUCUUCUUCUUUCCUUUCACUCUGAUGAGGACAGCAACAAAUGUUUUUCCCUUUCCAUCACCACCACCCCACUGUUGUCUCAAUCCACCACCUCGCCACUAUUUCAGUCCUUAGUCAUUGAGCUUGAGCUUGGCUGGUGAACUUGGACCUCAGAUUUUGGAUCAAAGUUCGAGUGAGCCCUAGAUUUGUGAUCUAGAGCUCAGCUAGAACUUUAAUCUAAAUUGAUUUGAGAUCGACAAGGGUUGGCUUAGGCAAUGAACAAUGUGGAGGUGGCAGUGUGGUUCAUCAACAUGGCAUGGGGCCUUGACAUCUCGAUUGUCACGAGUGUAGAUGUAAAAGGCAUCGGAGGAGUUGGACAGGAGGACGCGGCGCUGGAGGUCGGAGAAGGAGCGGGCAAAGAUGGAGGUGAUGUGCUAGAGGCAGCAAUGGUGGCGGUAGGUGUGACAUCUUGAAUUUCAGAUUUUGUUUUUGAUUGAAUAAGUUAGGCUUUUUAUUGACGCGCCUAUAGUUCUUUUCUCUGAGUUGACCACUCAUGAGAUAACUAGCAUAUCAAGUGAAGCUGUUAAGGAAUCUAAAUGCAAUAGACUAUAGAAUUCAAUCAAGAAUUGACUACUUGACAGUGCUAAUCUGCAAGGGUCAUUACGGUAUCAUCAAAAUCGAUCAGAGACCGGAGAUAGGUUGAUUCGAUAGAGAUAUGUGAUUAGUAUGUGGGUGAUUCCACCUAAUUGCAAAAUUCUCAUCAAAUAGCACUAGAUCGAUUUCUCUAUCAUUUAUGUACUUUGUGUCCAUAUUUGAAAUCUCAAGAUUUUCACGACAACCGAGAGUCACAAAUGUGUUAAAGAUGUACAAUGUGGCUCGAAAAUAAUUGACCACGGGUCAAUUGCGCUAAAAAUUCCUAAAACCUACCUAAUAGACUAUGUCACUCUAAAAUUACGUCAAACUGAAAUUAACCGCAAAUUUGAACCCGAUUUCAGAAAUUGAAGGUUCUUUCAUGUCACGAUUUAUUUUCGGGACGUCGACUCAUCCUUUGAAGAAUUUUCGGUGAGUCCGGGAUUUUUAUGGAAUCAUUUCGGAUGAUUCGGAAAAUAACAGAAAUUCAGAUGGGCCAAAUCGAAUGGAUUUUUUGCCUCCUUACCAAGCUAUUUGGCGAAGGGGACUUGCAGAAAUUUUGUGGACUUCUUCAUCAUCAAAUUUGGACCUCAAUUUGGAGAGAUUGGAGAUGCAAUUAGAGUCCAAAUAAGUGAAAUUCGAAGCGAGGCUUGGGGGUGCAACAUUUGGUAAUAAAUUGAAUUAUUUGUGGAUUAAAAGGCAAGAAAGUAUUAGGGGGACAAGCAAUUAAUGGAAGGGAUAAAAUUGUUGACUUUCCUCCCCCUCCUUGGCUUCCUUUGUACGCUAGCCAGCUCCCUCAUCUACUUCGCGUUUCUGCUUCACCGAAGUACACAUCUGUUUCUGCCUUGCUUUUCAUUUUCCAGCAGCUCCAUCGUUUCUCUCUUCCUACCAAUGGCUACUACCAUUUUCCUUUCUGUUUUCCCCUUGUAGUUGCCAUGUCCGAACCCACCAUCUUUGGUCUACCAUCACCCUCUAGUCCAAUGCCACAUCCAACGUCAACCCUCUCCAAAUGAAGCCCCCAAUGUUGACUACUCUACCACUUGUACGAAGUCAGCCCACCGUCCCACUCCAUCAUUUCUUCCCCAUCUUCGGCCAUGCGUCCUCAGCAUCGCCUCAUUCGGUCUUCACCCCAGCAGCUCCCAUCGAUUCUUCUCCCCAAUCGAAGCCCAGGUCAGCCCAGUCUCGAGCCAAGCCCGCGACCAGCCUUGAGCAGAUUUGAUUUUUACCUCAAGCAGGAAGCUUGCGGACCGUUUUAGCCCGGUCAAAGCCUCUGUUGGCAUCAUUGCUUUGGAGUUUAUCGGCCACCGUUGCACCGCCGUCGCGGUGAACCAAUUUUCGCACUAAACUGAUGAGUUUAUGCACUAAACUCUACUUAGUAGGCUAAUGACGUUUAAUGGGUGUUUACUUUAAGUUAAUUAUGAAUUAGGUGAUUAGAUUAGAUUAGUGAUUUAAUUAGUUAAUUAUGCAUGUUAGGUGGUUAGAGUAGUGUAAUUAGAGCCUAGAUAAGCUGUAGUAUUUAUCUAAAGUGGUUCAGAAUUUUUUCGGACCUGUCUCAGCUUUUAAGUAGGCAUUUCUGGCCUAAGUUAGUAUUUUUAGUAUUUAAAUUGAAUUAUUUAAUUAAUUUUGGUAAUUAUUUAAUUAUUAAAUAUUUUCCAGAAAUUAGACUAGGAUAGCCGAUUACCGGAAUUUCGUGCCGAUUGCAAUGGUGCGCUUGGUUUAUUUAAUCGGAUGCAUUUUUGUGCAAAUUGAAUGGUGAUUGUAAUUUUGGGUAAUUAUCCCAAAAUUGAAUAAUUUCAGUAUUUAGUCAGAAAAUACCGAGGCGUCGAUUUUUAACGCCAAAAAUGUUUUUAGGCACUAUAAUAAAUAGUGGAAUUUUUUAAAAGGAAGUUAUUGCAUUUUUGGCUCAAGCAGACCGUAUACCCAAACACGAUUAUUUUUUAUCAAGUAUGUUUAAUAUGAAGAAAAUAGGCCAAGACAUUAUUUUAAUCAAGGAAUUUAAGUGCAAAGCACAAUGUUCUUUGCCGUGAGUGAAUAAUCGUGUGAUGGUUUAUAGCCAUGGCAAGAUGACUAUUGAAAAUUGAGGUGAUGUAUGUUGUGUUGAGGGAACCCAAUGGGUUGUGAGCCGGUAAAGAACUAAGUGCUACAUGAUAACGAGGAUUCGUGUGAGCCACCUCUAGUACUUUAUACUGUGGCCUAUUUGUAGUAAAGGUCUAAGUGCUACAUGAUGACUUGAGUCACAUGAGAAUCACCUCUAGAAGCCUUGUAGUAUUGUCUUAUAUAGUCAAGAACUAAGUGCUACACGAUAUCGAGACUUCGUGUGAACCUCUAGAACCUUGCACUAGUACUUUAUAUAGUCAAAAACUAAGUGCUACACGACAUUGUGACUUUGUGAGAGCCACCUCUAGUACCUUGAGCUAUUGUUUAGUAUAGUUAAGAACUAAGUGGUAUACGAUAGUGUGAAUUCAUGGGAACCACCUCUAGUACCUCAUACUAUGACUGAUUAUGGCCAGGGACUAAGUGCCACGCGUUAUCGAAACUCCAUGGGGAGAGGGCACCUCUAGAACCUUGAGCCUAGUAUUGAAUAUUGAGUCAGAAUAUUGAGUGUGGAUGUCGAGUUGAAUUGGGAAAUUGAUUAUUGAGAAUGAAUAUUUGGUGUGGAUUAAACCACUGACAUAAGUGAUUUAGCCAUGCCUGAUCAUGGGACAAAAUUGUGUGGCACGGUAUGAGACGUGUCAUGAUGAUUUAGCCUUAUAAUCAGGACUCCGGUGUUUGGUUGGUUUGAAAGUGAGUUGCUUCAAUUGAUGUGUGAAAUUUCUAUAUGCAUAUAGUUGUGAUAUGAACUGUGCUAACGUGCAGGAAGGAACUAAGGCGAGGUAAGUCCUCUGUUCUAUUUGUGUGGUUGUGUGGUUAGGAUGCUUCUAGGCGUAUUACCUUCCUAAUCGGGGUUUAGAGCGUGAACUCGCUAAGAUUUAUAUCUCAUCUCGUCGUUGGCUCAAUUUUCAGGGCUGUAGAGCAAAGGACCUAGAGCUGAGUUGAGGGGAUCCGAGGAGUAAGUCAGUUAGGACAGUUUCUGUUUUAGAGUUGGUCUUUUGAAGUCUUUUCAUGGUAGACUUUUGUACAUGAUUCAGUACGUUUUUCAAAGCAUGUUUCAUUAGUGAAUCUGUUAUCUUGCUUUUCUAUCUCGAGAUGGUUACUGUCAGGAGAUUUAUUAUUCGCUUCGGCGUGUGUAAUAAAAUGAAAGGGUUGGCGACUCGUCUUGAGAAGUCGCAAAUUUUAAUCAACCACUGAGGGAUGGGCAUGCACUUGAGGAUCGAGGCGUGACAGUAGGUCUAAGGUCUAGAGGGAGGAAGAGCUGAGAACAUGAGUAGAGAGAGAGAGAGAGUGUGUGUGUGUGUGUGUGUGACAUCCUGAAUUUCCGACCUUGUCUCGACUAAAUGAAAUGGGCUUUUCAUCGACGUGCCUAUGGUCCCUUUUCUUUAAGCUGAUCACUUAUGAGAAAACUAAUAUAUCAGGUGAACCACCCGCGAGGGUGGCUCCGCUGGUAGGCUCCAGGACCUCCACGCUGGAGGCUAGAGUUCGAAGCCCCUGCGACGCAAGUUGCAGGGAGACAGGUGGAGACACUUGGCGACUUACCCGGGGUGCGUGGGUGGUGGUUUCCUACGUGCCUCCCCAAGGGUUUACUCCCAGCUGUUAGCUGUGCGGGGUUCCCCUGGGUCACAAAUAUAUAUAUAUAUAUAUAUAUAUAUAUAUAUUAGGUGAAGCCGUUAAGGGAUAUACAUGCGAUAAACUUGAGAAUUCCAUCAGAAAUCGAUUACUUGACCGUGCUAAUCGGCAAGGGUCAAUACGACACCAUUAUAAUCGAUUAAAGAUUGGAUAUAUGUCGAUUCGAUAGAAGCACGUAAUUAAAUUGUGGGUGAUAACACCUAAUUGCAAAAUUCGCAUCAAACAGCACUAAACCGAUUUUUCUGUCGAUUCUGUACCUAGUACCCGUAAUUGAAACCUUGAGAUUUUUAUGACAACCGAAAGUCGCCUAUGAGUCGAAGAUGCACAACAUGAAUCGAAAAUAUUCAACCACGGGUCAAACGCGUUGAAAUUUCCUAAAAGCUAUCCGAUAAAUUAGGUCACGCUAAAAUCACAUCCGGUUGAUUUUAACCACGAAAUUGAAAUUGGUUUCGAAAUUGAAAGUUCAAGCGUGUCGCGAUUUAUUUUUAAGACAUCGUCUCAUCCUUUAAGAAUUUUCGGUGAGCCUGAGAUUUUGGCGGAAAAUCAAAAUUUGGUAAAUUAAAUUUAAGGAAAUUCGGAUGGGCACUUUGUUGUGAAUUUUUGGCUACCAAGUUAAGUUGGUUUGGGAAGAGUUUAAGGAAAAUUGUAAGGGCUGCUACCAUGGCAUUUUUGGGCCACCAAUUUGACUUGAUUUGGUGUGAAAUUGAAGAUGGAAAUCAAGAAUUCGUAGGGCUGCUGAGCUGCUGAAUUUUGGCCAUCAAUUUGGCUUGAUUUUGUGAAGGUGUAGAAGGAAAUUAGUCCUUGGGUGACCUAUUGAUCAAGUUGGCUGAAGAUAAGGCUGAAAAACACUCAAAUGCAAGAGAUAUUUAAGUUUGACUUGCUUGGCCUUUGUCCACUUGUCCUCCUCUCUUCCCUCUUGUCCCCUCUCCUUCCCCUUAUACUCAACCAGCCCUAUCCCUCCUCCUGCAAAACACUUCUUCUUCUUCCUCAGCUUUUCUUCUUCAUUUUCCUCCAUUGUUAUGUUACCACCCCUUGCAUCGUCUAAGCCAGCCACCACAUCACUACUUGCAUCGUCCGAGCCGCCCGCGAGCCAGCCAGCUCCCAUGACCAACGUCCCCGGGCCUAAGCCAAUCCGCGUCGCAGCCCUUACUCGACCGUUGUCUAGCCUAGUCACGGCCUCCAUCCUGUUCGAACCCCAGCCCAUCUCACCACCGCUCAUCUGCCACUCACCUGCCUUACUCCAGCCCCCCAAGCCGAGGCCUGACUAGCCCUUUGGCCUAGCCCGUCCAGCCUAGCUCAGCCCCAAGCAGAACCGGUCCUCCUAGCUGGACCCGUGAGCAUUGUGGGCUUUUUCAACAUCUUCCAGGCCUCAUUUGGAGUCGCCGUAGGCCCGAGUCUUGGUCGCCAUCACGCCACCAUUGCCGUGGACCAUUAGCUCACUUAACCGGUGAGUUGGCACCCUAAUCUCUAAUUAGGGGUUAAUUGCACUUAGAGGGAGAUUAGUUUAGGCUAAGUGAGGAUUAGGGGGAUUAGUUUAGUCCUAAAUAGGAUUAAGGUUAAUUUAGUUAGUGUAAUUAUUUAUUUGGUUAAUUAGUUAGAUUAAUUAGGUGGUUAGAUAGAUUAGAUGAUUGGCCUAAUUAGAGUAAUGUACUUAUCCUAGCUAGAUUAGGUAAUUAGUUUAAUUAAGUGGUUAGAUUAGCUUAUGUAGAUUAAUUAAGGGUUUAAUUUAAAUAAUUUGUAAUUUAUUUAAUUAUAAUGCAAUUUAUUUAAUUAAUUAUUAAUUAGCGUAAAUUAUAUCGGGAUAGCCAAUGUCAGAAUUUUACGCCGAUUGUCAUGAUGGCGUUGAUUUGUGAAAUUGAUUGCUAAUUUAUGCAAUUGGGUGCUUGGUGAUAAUUUUUAAUUAUUAUUUCAAAAAUAUGAAUUUUUGGUAUUUAAUUAGAAAAAUAUUGAGUGUUGGGUUUUGAUGCUAAAAAUGUUUUUAGUAUUUUAUAAAAUCGUGGAAUUUUAAAAUGGGAGAGUAUAAUGUUUUAUGGUUCGAUUUGACCGUGUGACCACACACAAUUAUUUUACCAAGUGUUUUAAUAUGAAGAAAAUACAUCAAGUACAUUAUUUGAAAUUGAGACAUUUGAGUGCAAAGCACGAUGUCCUUGGCCAAAAUUGGAUGUGCGCGUGAUUGCUAUCGAAAACCGUCACGAUGCAUUUACGCCGGACUAUAUUUGAUUAAGUUCAGAUGCCCCACGUUACCGGAUGCCGGUCGCAGUGGAGGCUGGGCCGAUGCUCCUUUAGGAAUAACGUCUAGAUGUAGAUGUUGCUAUGCUCGACGAAGCGAAACAAUGCUAUUGAGUUGGCUGUGGCCGUUGAGUAGUAAUUAAUUGGGACACGCUUGAGUGAUUGAUAUAGCUGCGCCUAAUUAUGGGACGAAAUUGUGUGGCACGGAAUGUGACGUAUCAUAACAAUUUGGCAUUAUAAUUAGAACCCCUGUGAUUGAUUGAUAUAUGAUAUGAGGUGUUCCAAUUAAUGGUUUAUGCUUAGUGCGUUCAUAUAUAAUAUAUGUGAUGUACUAAUGUGCAGGGAGAAGCUGAGGCGAGGUAAGUCCUAUAUGUUGCAUGUUUAAGCUGCCUAUAUGUGAAUUAUUGUCUUAAUUGGAGUUUAGGGUGUAGACUCGCUAAGACUUUGUCUCACUCCGUCGUGGUUUAAAAUUUUACAGAUCCUUAGAUGAAGGUGCGCCACAUUCAUUUUGGGUGGCCACGAGAGAUGGAGACCCAGCGUACCAAACUACUAGACCCGCGAGCUCGUUGUGACUACCAUUUAGGUCGAUGAGGGCUUACCUCAGUUAGUACCUCAUCAAUUCAAAGCGUGGUUCUGUCAUGACCCUAACAAUGUUCGAGAGGGCCCAUUAGAUGGUUUCGACAGGCCUGUCGUCGAUGCCGAGUAUGUGGUGGAUCUUGACCCCGUGCAUGAUGCCGAUAUUUUGGCUGAUAUUGAGGCAAACCAAGGGACCGAGGUUGAAGAGCCCGUAGUAGAGGUAGCUGAUCCCCUAGACAUCGACAUCCCAUAUGGUGUCGUAGUAGACCUAGAUCCUAAGUAGGUAUGGUCCGGGGUAGGGUUAGCCUGGUAGCUUCUUUUGGCUUUAGACUUCUGUAUAUAAACCUAUGUGUUUAUAAAGUGUGUUUUGUUUAAAUUGGUUGUCUUGCUUUUCUAUCCCAUGUUGAUUGUUGUCUAGAGUUUAUUAGUUCACUUAUGCAUGUGCAUAAAUUGAUUGGGUCGGCGACGCAUCCUGGGAAUGUCGCAUUUUAGUCGACCGCCAAGGGAUGUGUGUGUGCCUAGGGUUCGGGGCGUGAGAAAGAGAGAGAGAGAGAGAGAGAGAGAGUCCUUGAACAUUUGAAAUUUGGUUGGCUGACAUAGUGAGCCCAACCAAAGCGUGUCGCCCAAUGAGCACCUAGUAAGUGGACUUGGAAUUUGCCACACUGGCAUCAGAGCUCUACUCAAUAUUUUAUCUCAAAAGAGGGCUAGCUAUGAUUAUUCCCUUUGGCCAUGUAAUAUGUCGCGACCUACCCUCGGGGGGAGGGAACAGGUUUAGGGGUAUUGCCUAAAGGACGGGCCUAAGGCCCAUGAUCAGGCGCGGGCUCUCCCAAGCCCAUACCCCGCGUGACAUUGGGAUAUUCUUUAGAAUUUUUGCACAAAAGGAGUCGCCACUAGCCUAUUGGGGUCGGCUAGAAACCAAGUGAGGUAUGAGAGUGUACCUCACUUCCUACGCAACCAGAGAAUCUAGAUUCGGGGACUUGAUUACACUAAUUAACCAAUUAGUGCCCUUUCGGUACCUAAUCUUGUUCAUUUUAACAAAAUGAUUUUUGACAAGCAGUUUGGAUUAAUUUUAUACUUAUCCACUAACAUACGAGGUGAUCAUGUGAGAGCGCAAUCAUUAAAGUAAUAAUCAUAAUUAUGAAGAUUCUAAUUGCCAUAAAAUUAAACACAUGCAAUCAAACAUAAUUAGAUAUAUAAAUUAAACAUGCAACAUAAUUUAUAUACGAGCACAUAAAGGUCUAAUUACACUAAAAUGGCAAUACAUGACAAGUCCUAAUCAAACCCCAUCAUUUUGAAUUUUCGAAAUUUUUAAUUUUUUUUUUAAUUUUUUAAUUAAUUUUUUAAAAAAUUUUUUAAAGAAAAAUAAUUUUUUAAUUUUUUUUAAUUUUUUUAAAGAAAAAUAAAAAAUUAUUUUUUUAGUUAUUUUUUAAUUUUUUAAAAUUUUUUAAUUUUUUUGGAUUUUCGAAAUUGUUUUUUUUAAAUAAAAAUAUAUAUAUAUUUAAAUCGGACCGAACCGGUCCGGUCCAACCCAACCCGGGUUCAGCCCGGUCGGCGCGGAUCGGGUCCGGUUGGUCCCAUUAGGAGCAGGUGGGCUCGAAUCGCGGGCCCAACCCAAGAGGUCCCCCUCCACUCUUUUUAAAACAAAGCAGGCCACAAGCCUAUGCUAAACCAGCCCAAGCCCAAAAACCCACAAGCAAAAACAACCCAAACCCGGCCCGAUUCACCUAAAACCCUACCCAUUUCUUUGACUCGGUUUGUACCUCCUCUUUAGGGUUUGCUGGCGGCGCUGACAACAGCGGUGGCGGGCUUGAUGGCAGCGGCGGCGCGACGGGUGGCGGAGGCAAUGCGGCGGGCGGCGGUGGCGGGUCGGGCAGGAGGACGGAGCAGCGAGGCAGCAGCGGCAGGGACGGCGACGCGAGCUCCCAGGCGAAGCGGUGACGCGAGCUUGCGGGCGAGGAGGAACUCCAGCGGCUGGCGGGACAGUGGCCGACUCGGGUGGAGUGGCGGUGGCGCGAGGAGGCUCGGGCGACGUCAGAGACAGCGGCGGCGGGUGCUGUCGGUUCGUGAGCAAAGCGCGGCAGGUCGGCACGGGCGGAGGCGUGGCGGUGGCUCGAGCUGCUACUGACGGUGCUAGCGGACGUCCGACGCUUCGGCAACAACGGCGCGAAGGUGUGGGCGUCGCUCGAGGUGUAGAGAACGGCGGCUCGGCGUCGAGGAGAAAGGGCAGACUUGCAGGUGGCUUUGGCGGCGAGCUGCUCCCUCGGCUUCUCCAGAUCUGGGUUUCGGGGAAGACAGUGGCGGUCUCGGUUGGUCGAGCGGCGUCGGGUUGGGGCGGCGAGGAGGACAGCGGCUCGGAUGGCGUUGGGCAGCGCCGUCGUUGCCCUCCUCCCCUCCGUUUCCUCAGAUUUGGGUUCUGGAGAAGACGGCGGGGGACGGCAUCGAUUGGGCGGCUCGGCGCCGCUCCUUCUUUUCUUCCACUCUCUCUCUGUUCCCCCCCUUUUUCUUUUUUUCAGAUCCUCCCCCUCUCCCUCUGUCUUGCGCGAAGAUGGAGGAGGGAGAAGGUUGGCAUGGGCCAAGACAAAGGGGAAAUAGGCCUCGGCCGCGCAAGGAAAAAUAAGCACUUUUUCUUUUUCUUUUUCUUUUUUUUUGUUGUUUUGUUAUUUUUCUUCUUUUUUUUUCUCUUUUUCUAUAAUUUUUUAUAUAUUAGAAAACAAAAAUUAGGUGUCAACAGCUGCCCCUCUUUGAAUUUAGUCUCGAAGAGGUUGCAUUCAAAGACAAAAGACACCUAAAUUAUUUCUGUAGUAGAGAGACCCUGAGUGCCUAGGCACGCGUCAGGUCGACAAAAAGGAUUCAUAACUAUGAAAGCACGUCUUGCCAAUAAGAUGAAGAAAGACUCCGAGCUACAAAAGCCUACCAGGUCAUAAGAUGGGAGGGAGACUUCGGGAUACAAAGCUCUCCGGGUCAUAAGAAGUGAGGAAGACUCCAAGAUACAAAGCUCUCCGGGUCAUAAGAAGUGAGGAAGACUCCAUGAUACAAAGCUCUCCGGGUCAUAAGAAAUGAUGAAGACUCCUGGAUACAAAGCUCAUCGGGUCAUAAGAAGUGAGGAAGACUCCAAGAUACAAAGCUCUUAGGGUCAUAAGAAAUGAGGAAGACUCCAGGAUACAAGGCUCUCCGGGUCAUAAGAAGUGAGGAAGACUCCAUGAUACAAAGCUCUCUGGGUCACAAUAAGUGAUGAAGACUCCAGGAUACAAGACUCUCCGGGACAUAAGAAAGUGAGAAAGACUCCAGGAUACAAAGCUCUCCAAGUCAUAAGAAGUGAGAAAGACUCCAGGAUACAAAGCUCUCCGGGUCAUAAGAAGUGAGGAAGACUCCAGGAUACAAGGCUCUCCGGGUCAUAAGAAGUGAGGAAGACUCCAGGAUACAAGGCUCUCCGGGUCAUAAGAAGUGAUGAAGACUCUAGGAUACAAGGCUCUCCGGGUCAUAAGAAGUGAUGAAGACUCCAGGAUACAAGGCUCUCCGGGUCAUAAGAAGUGAGGAAGACUCCAGGAUACAAGGCUCUCCGGGUCAUAAGAAGAAGGAAGACUCCAGGAUACAAGGCUCUCCGAGUCAUAAGAAAUGAGGAAGACUCCAGGAUACAAGGCUCUCCGGGUCAUAAGAAGUGAGGAAGACUCCAGGAUAUAAGGCUCUCCGGGUCAUAAGAAAUGAGGAAGACUCCAUGAUACAACGCUCUCCGGGUCAUAAGAAAUGAGGAAGACUCCAGGAUACAAGGCUCCCCGGGUCAUAAGAAGUGAGGAAGACUCCAGGAUACAAAGCUCUCCGGGUCAUAAGAAGAAGGAAGACUCCAGGAUACAAGGCUCUCCGAGUCAUAAGAAGUGAGGAAGACUCCAGGAUACAAGGCUCUCCGAGUCAUAAGAAGUGAGGAAGACUCCAGGAUACAAGGCUCUUCGGGUCAUAAGAAAUGAGGAAGACUCCAGGAUACAAAGCUCUCCGGGUCAUAAGAAAUGAGGAAGACUCCAGGAUACAAGGCUCUCUGGGUCAUAAGAAAUGAGGAAGACUCCAGGAUACAAAGCUCUCCGGGUCAUAAGAAGUGAGGAAGACUCCAGGAUACAAAGCUCUCCGGGUCAUAAGAAGUGAGGACGACUCCAGGAUACAAAGCUCUCCGAGUCAUGAGAAGAAGGGGAAUGACUGAGGUCUCAUCGUGUAAAAGCGAGUUUUGAUUGGGUAUAAUAGUCUCACCGUGUACGAACGGGUUUCGACUGAGAGGUAGGUUUCACCGUGUACGAACAGAUUUCGAUCGAAUGAUAGUCUCACCGUGUACGAACGGAUUUCGAUUGAAUGAUAGUCUCACCGUGUACGAACGGAUUUCGAUUAAGAGGCAGACAAGUAUGGUUUACGAAUGAACUCACCAAUCUUGGAAAUGACAUGGUUUAAGGUUAACCAUAUGCCUUUGGAGACGACAUGGUUUAAGACUGACCAUAAACCUUUGGAGAUGACAUGGUUUAAGGCUGACCAUAAACCUUUGGUUUUUAGGGAAGCACCCGCUAACCCCUUAGAAAACUGCAUGGCUUCACUGAUGAAUCCUGUCAAACUCAACUUAAGCAAAUGUCAUUAGAGACGUCAUCAAGAGAUGUAUUGGCAAAUUGCAGCAAUAGUUGAACAAAAUAAUCAAGCUAAGUCCGACUGCUUUAGAAAACAUUCAAUGUUCGUCAACCUCAUGUGACGCAAAAUUGUCAUCUUGCUCAUGGAUAUAUCAUUAAUCAUCAAAUUCUCUAGGAGACAAAAUCUUAUCAGAACGGCUACGACUCGAGAAAAAGGUUCAUUAAGCAUGCCAAACUAAAGCUUCUUAGUUAGAAAGGGUUUCUCACGCACUCUCAAUAAAAUGGCUACUUGACCCCAUCCAUUCAUGUGGGAGAUAAUUGGUUGCUGAAGGUAUCUCACAUAACCUACGUCGAAGGCUUCCAGAAACAUUCGCAAUGAGCACAAUCUAAUCGAUCAAAAAGGUCUUUUGAAAGGACCACAAUAUAGGCUCGGUUAGGGCUUACACAAAGAAAUUAUUGCUUUGAGGCCAACAAAGGAACAUUUGUCACUAUCUUCAUUGGCUUUACAAGUCGAGAGCUUGGAAGAUGAGACAAGAUAAAAUUACUUCCACUCCUUCAAGCAGUAGCUUAUUGGUGGUAUUCUCAUUUUCACUCAAACCAUCCCAAUCAGAAAAGACUUCGGAAGAGGGUUGUAAUGUUGGCUUAGGAGAGGCUUGAAAGGCUUAAAAUUUUCAAGAGGGUUUUUAAGAGUUGGUGAUCAUCAUGACAUCAUGACCAGGUCACUUGACAUUUCCAAAUCAUUUGGCUUUUGAAAUACAACGCAUCUCGAAAGUCCCUUAACUAAUCUUUUAUGCAUGUGAGCUUUGCUCCUUUCUCUAAUGUCCUUUGCUCUUGUGAUGAUUUUUUUUUUUGUUUGCACAAGCACUUAGACCUUGUUAAUUUUUUUCCACAUAAGAUGCAACUUUUGGCUUUUUUUUUUCUUAACGGGCAUUGGCCUUGCUUUUACCAGGCACACUGCUUUUUCAUGCCCUUAGUUUGUAGAACUUUUUGCUCUUUGAACUCUCGGAGCUCUUAUGACUUUCGAGAUGCUUUUCACAUUUUCUCGUGACUCUCAAUUGUAUUUGGUCAAUUCUCAUGCCUUGCCCCAAUGAAGGGAGAUGAUCACCGCUCGAGGUUUAGAAAUGAAUAAUCAGGCACAAAUUGGUUAAAGCAAUGGAUAUCAGUGUUUAGGUAGAGAAGGAAAUGCUCUUCUUCACUUUGGGAUAAGUCGAGAUCUAAUGAGAAUUCAUUUGAAGCUAUCACCAGAAGAUUGAUGCAAGUGAAAGUAAUAUAAUCUUUUUCAACCUUUCGCUUUACAACACGACCAUAACCUCCUAUGUUGCCCUAAUGUAGGGUCAUUCUCAAUAGGGGUACUUUGAAGGAUCAUCUUUAUUCGGCUCAAAAGGGUAACAAGAUGUCAGCUUGGUACUUGGGAUUGAUGAAUGAAACGCUUUUGUCAUUUCGAUCUUUGUGCUCAACGCGAAUGAAUCUUUCGUCCUAAGAGAAUAUCGCUUUUCACUCAACUCUCAAAAGUGUUUAAAGGACGUGUUUGGAAAUGGGCUUGCCUUUCUUCAUCCUAAGCACUUCUUGUUUGGCAUGGUUAACGUCUUCAUCUCACUCUGUCGAGAUCAUCUAUCUCCAUAGGGGAAAUUUGAUUCAAAAUGAAUAAUUCACAAAACGAGAAAACAAUUUUGGGAUAAAAAGGAUGCUCAAAAGGUUUGUAAUUUUUUUCUCAAUUAUUCAUUUCAUUUUUUUUCUCUAGGAAAGCGCAACAGGUUAUUUUUUGUAAUGGAAAUUCUCCAUUUUUUUUCUUUUUUUUUUUACUUAAAAAAAGAAGAAGAAGAGAAGAAGGGUACUUACCUGCGUCAUGGUGACCCGUAACCCUGUAAAAAAUGUUAAAGAAUAUGUUAGUGCAAAAAUCUUUAGGGAAUGAAAUGUUGGAAACGAUACAUUGUUACGCUUCAUUCACUUUCAUCUUUUGGGCACUAACAUCUCUUGGAAUCACAUUCGUGGAUAUUUGGUAACUCGACAAUACCACUCCAUUGCAUUUGCCUUUAAGUGUUUGAUGUCUUCCUGAUUCCUUGGUGGAAGGCGCUGCUUCUAUGGUCAAGGUGCAAACUUUUUUAUAUAUCAUCAUGUAAGAAGGAGAGAUAAAACGAGUUAUCUCCAUUCUUAGUUAGGUUCAAAUGAGGAACGAUACAUCCUUUUUGAUGAAUUUGGCAAUGUUGUUCCAACACACUUCAUUGGUGGAUGAAUGAGAGAUUUUUCUUUAAAUCAAACAUUGUUCUCCCACUCUUUAUAUGACAAACAUGUGUUCCGUUCGAGUCUGUCCUGUAACAAAGAAACUGAUAUGUUAGUUUUUUAUAAUGAAGAGAAAUGAAGUUUAGGAACGAGUUACAUCCUUUAUAAAGUCGAGUGAUCAACAUCCCAAUGUAUCUCUCAUGGAGGAAGGAAUAAUAUUGCGCCUCCGUUUCAUUUGAAUCCUUCUUUGUUUAGGAUGAACAGGACUUAAUAAUGCUCCAUCGCAUUUGUUGAAACAUUACAGAACUUGGUGCUUUUGAUGUCUCUUUUAAUUUGCCCUUUUGGAUAUUUGACAACUCCUUUCAUUUGUCUCAUCAUCUAAAGUGAACGAGAUCGAUGGGUUAUUUUGGCAUCUAAGGCAUUUGCGAAUAACAAAACUUCUCAGAAUGUAAUUCAAUUUUGUUCCGCCUCUAUGGAAAAUUGGUGCCGACGAAACCUCAACGCAUGCUUGCUCUUCGAGUUCGAUGAGCUCAGGAAAAUGACUACGUGAAGAGAGGGCAUUAAGCAACUUUUUCUUGAAAUUCAUUUUGGAAGGUAAACAUAUAGGUUCACUUAAAACACUUUUGAAUUUGCUCUCUUUUUUUGUUUUUGUUUUUGUUUUUGUUUAUAUCUUUUGUUUUUUUUUUAAUGAUGAUUUUCAUGAAAUUGAAUCCCAUCAUUAAAAAUUUGAGUUGCGCGAUUUACAAAAGCAACAAUCGGAUUUGCAAUCAAAACUCAAAAAGAAAAACAUGGUUCUUAACAAGAAUAAAGAUUGAUAAAAUACAAGAAACUCUUGUAUAGGUAAUGGUAAAAAUCAACUCCUGUUCAAACUCUAAAAUUCACUUCUCUAUGUGGUCCAACACGAGAAUGUCAAUGAGCAUCACGCAUAACCUGCAAAUAGACGACAAUGUCAGUACGUGAAUGAGAGAAAAUGAUAUCUCAAUGAGAUCGCUUCUUACAAUAAAAUCGAGGCGAUCUUAGUAUAUACCCCACAGUCCUUGUUACGGGAUUUUAGUAUUUCGCCAAGAUUUUAUCAUAAGAGAAGACAUCAUUAAAAUUAUCAAUCCACGGCCAUCAAUCGAAUGCCCACUUUUAUUCCAAAAGUUUCGUAUGCAAAAGUGUCAUUGAUUUUUGAAAGAUUGAUUUGUGAUUUUACUCAUAGAAAAAUGAAGUGACUUCUAUUUUGAGAAAUUUGUACACAAAAUGAUUUGCGUUAUAGUCUCAAAAUGUGAGAAUGAGAAAAUUUGAUAAAAAAUGCAAUUUCAAUUUGUGUCCCAAUAUAAUCACAACUUGAAAGUUUUUUUUUUCUUUUUUUGAAAUGAUUUUGAGCCCCUAAAUAGAAAUUUAAACAAAACCAUGUGUUCAACAGGGCCAAAUCAAAAUGUGUAGAACUUGCAUUCAAAAUGCUCACUUGUCAAAAGUGAUUGUCAAAUUUUCAAUCAUAAGCUUGCAUCACCGAGGGCAUUCGAUUGAUUUCCGCAAAUUUCAAGAUGAAAAAGCAAUACAAAAUGAGCAAAUAAAAAAGGAAAUGAUACUUACAAUGGGUGCCGACCUUUGUCUCAUGCUUUUUUUUUUCAAUCACAUAGACAUGCACAUGGAAUGUAGUUCGAUUUCUACUCUAUACGGCCCAAAAUGGAGCCAUAGGAUCACAGGACUGAACCAACAAGCUCGUGGCUAGGUCGUGUUACCCAUGACUCCGGCUUCGUCAAAGAACCGACCCGUGUCGCGUGCUCGCAGACCGGGGUGGGUACCUUCGACGUGAAGAAAGAAAUUUCGAGGUAGAGAUGGGCGACUCGUACUACGCGGUUGUAGUCGGAGUGGUAUCCACCUCAACACCAUCCUAAGUGAUCAUAUGCGGCCCAGGUCCGGCGGCAGGUUGUGUGUGCUAGGGUGUAGUGCAAUGCAAAAGAUACAUGCACAACAAUUUAUAAACAACAACACUCCGUACAUAAAAAAUAAACCAUACAUUCCAACACUCCUGCAAGACAAAGGUGAGCAACACUUCCCCUUAUACCUUCCCAUUCUGCAAAAACAUUUAACACCUUUAAUGUUAGGGACAUACCUGGAAUCCUCGCUGCCAAACAAAAAUAUUUUUUUAAACAAGAUUAAUUCUGGCCUAAGUCCUCUAAGGUUCAAAACCAAGUCCCCAGCGGAGUCGCCAAGCUGUCGCGACCUACCCUCGGGGGGAGGGAACAGGUUUAGGGGUAUUGCCUAAAGGACGGGCCUAAGGCCCAUGAUCAGGCGCGGGCUCUCCCAAGCCCAUACCCCGCGUGACAUUGGGAUAUUCUUUAGAAUUUUUGCACAAAAGGAGUCGCCACUAGCCUAUUGGGGUCGGCUAGAAACCAAGUGAGGUAUGAGAGUGUACCUCACUUCCUACGCAACCAGAGAAUCUAGAUUCGGGGACUUGAUUACACUAAUUAACCAAUUAGUGCCCUUUCGGUACCUAAUCUUGUUCAUUUUAACAAAAUGAUUUUUGACAAGCAGUUUAGAUUAAUUUUAUACUUAUCCGCUAACAUACGAGGUGAUCAUGCGAGUGCGCAAUCAUUAAAGUAAUAAUCAUAAUUAUGAAGAUUCUAAUUGCCAUAAAAUUAAACACAUGUAAUCAAACAUAAUUAGAUAUAUAAAUUAAACAUGCAACAUAAUUAAUAUACGAGCACAUAAAGGUCUAAUUACACUAAAAUGGCAAUACAUGACAAGUCCUAAUCAAACCCCAUCAUUUUGAAUUUUCGAAAUUUUUAAUUUUUUUUAAUUUUUUUAAUUAAUUUUUUAAAAUUUUUUUUAAAGAAAAAUAAUUUUUAAUUUUUUUUAAUUUUUUUUAAAGAAAAAUAAAAAAAUUUAUUUUUUUAGUUAUUUUUUAAUUUUUUAAAAUUUUUUAAUUUUUUUGGAUUUUCGAAAUUGUUUUUUUUAAAUAAAAAUAUAUAUAUUUUUAAACCGGACCGAACCGUCCAACCCAACCCAGGUUCAGCCCGGUCGGCGCGGAUCGGGUCCGGUCGGUCCCAUUAGGAGCAGGUGGGCCCGAAUCGCGGGCCCAACCCAAGAGGUCCCCCUCCUCUCUUUUUAAAAGAAAGCAGGCCACAAGCCUAUGCUAAACCAGCCCAAGCCCAAAAACCCACAAGCAAAAACAGCCCAAACCCGGCCCGAUUCACCUAAAACCCUACCCAUUUCUUUGACUCGGUUUGUACCUCCUCUUUAGGGUUUGCUGGCGGCGCUGACAACGGCGGUGGCGGGCUUGACGGCAGCGGCGGCGCGACGGGUGGCGGAGGCAAUGCGGCGGGCGGCGGCGGCGGGUCGGCAGGAGGAUGGAGCAGCAAGGCAGUAGCGGCAGGGACGGCGACGCGAGCUCCCAGGCGAAGCGGUGACGCGAGCUUGCGGGCGAGGAGGAACUCCAGCGGCUGGCAGGACAGUGGCCGACUCGGGUGGAGUGGCGGUGGCGCGAGGAGGCUCGGGCGACGUCGGAGACAGCGGCGGCGGGUGCUGUCGGUUCGUGAGCAGAGCGUGGCAGGUCGGCACGGGCGGAGGCGUGGCGGUGGCUUGAGCUGCUACUGACGGUGCUGGCGGACAUCCGGCGCUUCGGCAACAACGGCGCGAAGGUGUGGGCGUCGCUCGAGGUGUAGAGAACGGCGGCUCGGCGUCGAGGAGAAAGGGCAGACUUGCAGGUGGCUUUGGCGGCGAGCUACUCCCUCGACUUCUCCAGAUCUGGGUUUCGGGGAAGAUAGUGGCGGUCUCGGUUGGUCGAGCGGCGUCGGGUUGGGGCGGCGAGGAGGACAGCGGCUCGGAUGGCGUUGGGCAGCGCCGCCGUUGCCCUCCUCCCCUCCGUUUCCUCAGAUUUGGGUUCCGGAGAAGACGGCGGGGGACGGCAUCGAUUGGGCGGCUCGGCGCCGCUCCUUCUUUUCUUCCACUCUCUCUCUGUUCCCCCCUUUUUCUUUUUUUCGGAUCCUCCCCCUCUCCCUCUGUCUUGCGCGAAGAUGGAGGAGGGAGAAGGUUGGCAUGGGCCAAGACAAAGGGGAAAUAGGCCUGGGCCGCGCAAGGAAAAAUAAGCAAGCAAGUUUUUGAAUAGUUACACUAUCAUAAGAAAGCAAUAUUUAAAUUGUCAAGGAAAAAUUACAAUCCCGUUCAAUUUUGGUUGUAUUUAUUUUUUCAACAAAUUUGGCCCCCCAACUAAUAUGCAAUUAUGAUUUUUAUACAAUUUCGUAUUUAUUCGUUCACAUGCAAACAAAAAUGCUUAGUACUAAAGAUUAACAUAUAGAGUCUGACAUUUCUAAUUAGUUCAGAAAAUCAGUUACUUAGUAGUAAUUCAAUACUUCAAUAUUGCUUUCGACAAACUUGGCCAAUAAGCUCGAGCAAGUUUUUAAUCUUCUACAUAAUGGCGGAGCAGCAUAAGAGGUCCCAAAAUAGAUCACAUUUGGCCUCUAGCAUCGAAUCCAUAGUGCUAAUGCACAAGGAAAGGCAUAAGAAGCUCUAAUGUUCAGAAGCGCACAAAACCCUAGGCUUCUGCAACAAGGGACGAACGGGAGCCGCUAAUGUGGAUUUGACAGGUGAUGGUGGGACUCGAAGAAGCGUUAGUGACAGCGACGGUGGAGGCAACCAGCGAAGGUGAAGGCGGGGGCGUCAUGUGGGAGGAAAGAGAAGAGCAUGGUGGAGGCGAGGCAAAAAUACAAGCUUUGGAGCGAAUUUUAACAGAGAGGGUGAGAGAGAUAUUUCUUCUUUUGAUUGCUCCGUAAUGGAACGGAGCGACAACGGGGAGAGAGAAAAUUAAAGUAUGAAAAAUAAUUUUAAUUUUAAUUUUUUAAUUAAAAAAACAUUUUUAUAAAGUUAAAGAGGGAAGGCCAUGGGUUCAAAGUGGGUUUCCUAAUAACCCAUUUAAACCCUUUUUUUUUUAUACUUUACUUUCUUAGACCCAUUUUGACCCAUAUGUAAAUUUCACUUGACCCAUAUAUGACCCAUUUAACUAAAAAUGGGUCAUAAUAUGGGUUUAUGACCCAUUUUGCCAACUCUAGAAACUAGGUAAUUAUCCCAAGGAAGGCCACGUCACACCCAACAUUAAUUUCAUAUCCAUUCGUAAAACAUAUGAAAUUAAAAUUCAUAGAUUGAAUAGAAGAAAAGGGAUGAGAGAGAGAGAGAUGUCGAAUAAACUUAAUACAAAAUCUUAGUUUUUAUUAAUAGUACAUCAUUGUUUGCUUUGCUCCUACUCAAUUUUGGACUCAUCACAAAGCAGAGUAGCAAACAUUCACAUAUGAGAUACUCAUUGCUAUUUUUGUUUUAAGGCUCCAUUUGUUUCGAGUAAAAUGUAGCAUUUUUUAGAAUUAUUUUUCGGGAAACCAUUUUCUAGAAAAAUGUAAUUAUUUUUUUAUGUCCGAUUGAAGCCUAAAAAUAAAGUGGACAUAUUUUUCGUUGUUAUGUAAAGAAAAUAUUUUCCUCCAUGCACUCUUUUAAAUAAUUUUUUUUAUUAUUUUACUUUUAAAACCAAUUUAUCAAUUUAUUUUUNNNNNNNNNNNNNNNNNNNNNNNNNNNNNNNNNNNNNNNNNNNNNNNNNNNNNNNNNNNNNNNNNNNNNNNNNNNNNNNNNNNNNNNNNNNNNNNNNNNNUCAAUUUAUUUUAUUUUAAAAAUUAAUUUAAAAUAUUUAUCAUUUCUUUUCUUCUAUCAUUUAUCUCUCUCCUUAGUCACCGGCCAUCGCCAUGGUCGACAAUCAGCCCAAAGGCAAGCUCAAGGCUUGCCAAAUUCUAAUGAGCUCAAGGCCUCAGGCCUCGCCAAAUCGACGAGCCAAGUGAGGAUGAGAUCAAUGGCCGGAGACCGGCCAGAUAGAAGUUUUUAAUUUUUUUUUUAAAAAGAGAGAAAAAACUAGAAAUUCGAGUUAUUUUAAAAAUGAAUAUAUAUAUAUAUAUAUAUAUAUAUAUAUGAAAAUGUUAACAUUGGUGUGAGAUAAGAAAAGUGAGUGAGGAAAAUGUUUUCCUCAACAUUUUCCCUAUUUUAGAACUCUUUUUUGGCUGAUGGAAAAUGUUUUUUUUGACUAGUCAUUUUUCAAUGAAACGAAUGCCGGAAAAUCUAAAAAAGUAGUUGUUUUCUGAAAACAAAUGGAGCUUUAAGUUAUAAAACAAAUUUAUUUCAUCCAAUUUUUCUUUUCCUGAGAUAGUCCAUCAUAAAAUAGACAAAUUGUUGGAUUUUUGCGGAAGCGUGUGUGUGUGCAAAUGUGUAUGUGUGAAUAAAAAUGGACUACAAUGCAAGGGAGUAUGGGUAAAAAAGGCUUUUAUUAUGAAAGUUUGUAUUACAAAGAAAUGAAUGUUUCUAGUUUUUCUACAGCAUAGAAUAGACACCACGACUCCUUUUUAUAGGCAUGAGUCACCGCCUUCCUUCACCGACAUUGAGUACAAAAAUCAAUAUAAAAUUACAAACUUGCUUUUUGUCUCCUGCUUGUGCGGCUUCUUCCAGAUCUUCUGGUGGCUUCUCUAUUAUUCUUCAUUUUUCUAUUCUCUGCAGCUCCUCAACUUUUGUUGACUUUUCUUUUCUUUUGCCUUUUUGCUGCCCACGUGGUCUUGCUGCCCAGCAUACCAGAAACUUCUUCAACAUUUGAGAGUUUUCAAGACUUGCUUUUCUUGCAUGCACGUGCACUGUUGUUGCCGACUUAGAGCAAGUUGUUGCCACCAACUUUUUCCUUCUCCAGUAAACAUGAAUAGUCUAGUGUGUUCUAGCACUUUUCAAAAAUGGAUCACAUUCUAAUUUUAUAAUAUUGAAUCAGUACGAGUUUAUGAUUUUGUCUGAACUUUCUAAUUUUAUGUUAUUGAAUCACAAUCUUACCACGAUUCAGAUCUCGAUCCUGUCUAAAAUAGAAUCUGCAAAAAAUGGCAUUGUCCUGACAGUGGAGGUUCAAGAUCCUACAAAUUUACGAGAAGUAUGGAUGACAUGUUUCAAUGGCCGCCAUGUAAGGAUGCUGGAGCGCCUCCGUCACCAUGAUCCUCUUCCUCAGGUCGAACACGAGCAUCCGCUGCAGCAAGUCCGCGGCCAGAGAAUCAGCCUGCGGAUACAGCCGGGAGAAAUGGGUCCCCCUUGAGGUAUUGAUCAACUCAAUAGCCUCCUACCUCUGGCUACGGAUCGUGUUCAUGAUAAUCAGCUUCAGUUGGUUGAGGCACUCUUGUCUCGGAGGAUCUCCACGAAGAUGCAGCCCACAGACCAGACGUCGAUCGAGGUCCCAUAUUUGUCGAAUGAGAGCAGCUGCUCAAGGGCGUGGUACCAGCGUGUGACCACGUACUCGGUCAUGAGUUGCCCGUCACUUUGGGUAGCCCACGCAAGCCCGAAGUCGCAUAUCUUCAGGUCGCAGUUGGCGUUCACCAGGAGGUUUCGGCCUUGAGGUCGCGGGGGAGAACAUUGGCCAGUGGAGAUAUUUCAGCCCUCGCAGUAACUGCAUGUGCAGAGUCAAAAUCAGAAGAAGAGUUAGAACUGGAAAAUACAUGGGCUGCAAUGCAACAGCGUAUAUCAUGAAGUUAGUCAAGCUAAGUCUAGUGACUGAAAAUCAGAAAGUCAAUAUAUUCUUAAGCUUCAAUUAAUCGAGUUUAUCCUUACCCAAACGAUGAGUUGGUGAUAAAGACCUAAAAGACUGGAGGGCGGCGCAACUCCAGUAAAAGGCGGCAGAAUGCAAGUAAGCCAUUCUCAACGGCAAUACCUCUGCAAAUCAACAAAAGAGGAACGACAUGAUUCAACUAAACCAACUACAAAAAACCACAUGAACGAGAAUGUUGGACUUAGCUCACCAGUAACUCUUGNNNNNNNNNNNNNNNNNNNNNNNNNNNNNNNNNNNNNNNNNNNNNNNNNNNNNNNNNNNNNNNNNNNNNNNNNNNNNNNNNNNNNNNNNNNNNNNNNNNNUGUGACAUCCUGAAUUUCUCAACAUGUUUUCUACUGAAUUAAUCAAGCAUUUGUUGACGCAUUUAUAGGGCUAUUCUCAGAGCCGAUCACUCUUGAGAUAACUAGACUGUUUGGGUAAGUAAUUAGGAAAUUUUAGGGCAAUAAACUUGAGAAUUCGAUCAGGAAUUGGCUUAUUGACCAUACUCAUCUUUAGAGGUCAUUAUGGCACAGUUAAAAAUCGAUUUAAGACCAAAGAUAGGUCUGGUCGACUGAGAUGUGUGGCUGAUCGUGGGUGACUCCACUAAAUUGGAAAAUUCUCGUCAACCGACACUAAUAUGAUUUUAUUGUCGUUUUGGUACCCUGUGUUCGUAUUUGAAUCCUCGGAAUUUUCAUGAUAAUCGAGAGUCACUAUUGAGUCAAAUGGGUUCAUAGUGGUUUGAAGAAAAUCGACCACGGGUCAUUUGCCUUAAAAAGUUACGAAAACCACCCGAUAGCUUAGGUCACGCUAAAAACGAGCCAAAUAGAAAUUAACCGCCGAUUCAAGUCCGAUUUCAAAAAUUGAAGGUUCUAUCAUGUCACAAUAAAUUUUAGGAUCCAUGACUCAGUCUCAAAAGAUUUUUUUGACACCCGACACUUUUUGGGAAAAAGUCGUCGCCGGAUUGUUUUUGUGCAGAAAAUGCCAAAGAUGGUUUUUAGUCGCAAAAUUGAGACGCAAGAUGGGUAAUUGGGUGAGGAAAAUUAUCAAUUUGAUAAUUGAUAUAUCAAUUGAAAUUAUGGUGGCCAAUGGAGAAUGAAUCAAGAGAGAAUUGAAGAGCAAUUGAAGCUUUGGCAAAGAAAUUCGUAACUCACCUCCCACUAGCCCAAAAUUGACCAAUUGAGAAGUUGUGAAGGGUGUGGGUGUGGCCUAAUGAAGGCCAAGGGAUAAUACUUAGCCUAGGGUGAGUGUGGGAGAUAUUUUGUGGAAAGAUCAAGCUAAGGGGGCCCCUCCAUUCUCUCUUUUUCUUCAAACCGUGCAUGACCAGCAAGGGAGGGCAGAAUCAACGAAAAUUCCAGUCCACCGAACGUCCACCUUCUCUGCCAUCCCACCGAAGACACAGCCCACGAUAUCUCUCUCUCCCUUUGCUCGUUUGCCUCCUCUCACGUGGCCAGCUCACCCCUGCUCCACCAUCUCUUGCACUCUUGGUUAACUUCAGUGAAAUUCCUCAAGCGAAGUCCCCAAGUGUUGACUGAAACUGCUGCGGUUCGUCCAGCUCCAUGCGGCUUCAAAACUCCUCUUGCUGGCCUUGGUUGUUGACUGGAAGCAUCCACGAAGCCUUGAAGACCGAAGCUGCCUAGUGUCUCUCACGGCUCAGACGGAGCUGUUUCUCCAUCCGUGUCUUCUGCCAGGCGUCCCCUCCUCCACGCGUCCCUCAUCUCCACGCCAGCACGCCCACAUCUCGGUCAAAUUCCUCACCGAGUGAAGCCCUUUGUUGACCAACAACGUCGCUUGAAGAAGCCACGUCUUCACCGAGUCAUGCCGUCCACCGAAGCCACUUGCCAAUCAACUUCAGCACCCAUUGAAGACCACCGAGACUCCUAAUUUGAUCGAGCAGCUUGGCCUUGCUGCCACUUGGCAGUGUUUGCCCUUGGUUCGGUCAACAACAUCAACCGAAGACGUCCUGCAAAGCUACCGACUUGACUGAAGCCGCACGCCAGUGAAGCUCGUGAAUUCGUGUGCCUUCAACCCAUCACUUUCAGUCAUUCGGGCCCAGCAAAAUUCGGUCCAGUUGAGGGCCAUUUCAAGCCCACAGAAUUGACCCAUUUGAAAACCAAUUUCCAGCAACUUGAAGCCCAUCUUCAACAGGCCCAAUCCAACUUGGGUCUGGCCCAAAAGCAAGAACAAAUUUCAGUUGGGCUAAGAUUUGUUGGGCCAAGUCUAAGGCCCGGUCCAAGCCCGCUGGUGUCGUCGAAAGCCCGAUUUCAACCGCCGUCGCGGUAUCCCGAUACCCGCUUUUAAUCAAGUGAGUAAUCUCACUAAUCAUUGCUUAGUAGACUAAUGAUGCCUAAGGGUUGAUUAGAUUUAAUUAAGUGCAAUUAGGUGGUUAGAUUAGUUUAGAACAAUUAAAUUAGUGACUUAAUGAUGCAUGUUAGGUGGUUAGACUUAGCCAUUAGCAAGUAGACUUACUGUACUAUUUAUUCAAUGCAUCUCGGGAUUUUUCCCAACCUGAUUCAGGCUUCAAUUAGGCAUUACGAGCCUAAAUUGGAUUUUUGGUAAUUAUUUAUUAAUUUUCGAAAUUUAUUUAAUUAUAUAUUUAUUUUCCGGAAAUUAGGCAGGGAUAGGCGACGACCGGAAUUUCGUGCUGAUUUUGUGGUGUAGUCUGUUUAUUUAUUUGAACUCCACAUUAAGUGGAAUUGACUUAAUUAUGCAAUUUGAGGAAUUAUUCCUAAAUCAAAUGAAAUUGAGUGGAAGUGAAUGAUUGAUUGGUCGAUGGCCGAGUAUGGUUGUUUAACCUUUAUAAUGCUUUGAUGAGUUGUAAAGAGGAAAGAAUCGUGAGAGUGAACUAGGAAUUCUCUUGGUUGACAUCGAUCAGGUACGAAGUAUAGACAGGCGUGGUUCAGUGAUUAAGGAUAUUACUGUUCGAAAACGGCGCCUUAAAGAAUGCACGUAGACUGUAUAUGACUUGUGGCAGGCGUGGUCUGGUGAUUAAGGAUAUCACUGUGCGAAAACAGCGCCUUAAAGAAUGCACGUAGAUUGUUGGCGAUCUGUGACCUAUGACAAGCGUGGUUCGGUGAUGGGGAAUAUCACUAUGCGAAAACGGCGCCUUAAAGAACGCAUGUAGACUAUCUGUUACUUACAUCACCUUGGUGAAAACGACGCUCGAGAGCAUUAAUGGAGCUCUAUGAGUAAGUGUAUUAUUGGAGGUUAUACAGUGGGAUGUGAAUGACCUAGAAGAGGUCUGACUGACAUAUAAUCAAUUAGGUCGAUUGAUCAAAGAUUGAUCUGAUGUCGUGAUUUGAUUUACUGUUCGAGGUGAUAUACGAAACAUUUGUAUAAAACCUUGAAUUGCAAGUUGGAACUAAUGCCAAGGUAAGUCUUUUGACUCGUGCUGUGCUUAGGCAACCAUGUGGUGUAUUGGUUUCCUAAUCGAGUCUUAGUGGGGUAGAACUUGCUGAAACGUAGUCUCAUCCCGGUUGUGGGACAACAUUUCAGGACCCUGAUGAGGAGUCGGAAACGGAGGAACCCGAGGAGGAGAAAGAUCUUGAAGAAGAGGGUGAUCCUGAGGAGGAUCCUGAGUACGACCUAGAUGAAGACUGAGAUCCCAUCCCCUUUUGUGAUUAGUGUUUAUAUGUGAAUAGAGUGAACUUAGGAAGUUGUGAAUGGCUCUGUAUAAAAGUAUGGUUGUGAAUUUCAAUAUGAAAAAUAUGGCCUUACUUUUUCUAUCCCAUUGUUUUAUUGUCUGGGGAUUUAUAAUUGCUUCUGCAUGUGCUUAAUAAAUAAAAGGGUCGACGAUACAUAGUCCUAAGAUAUCACAUUCUAAAAUCGACCAAGUAGAAAUAUGUGUGCGUGCCCAAGGAGUAGGGCAUGACAACCGUUGCCCCGAAGACCAGCAAUCGAUGUCCUUACUCAACCCGAUGCCCUACUGCCCAGAGCCGAAGCCCUGUGACCCGCCUUCGUCUGCCUACACCCCUGUGAAGUCGCCACUGCUCUCCACCCUUGGUGCUGCCGCCGGUCUGCCCACUGCCCUUGCCAAAGUUCCCCUUGCCGAACUGAUCGACCUGCUGCCCCUUGGAGACCCAUCGUGAGCACAAGCCAUGCUUUGGAAAAAAAAAGAAAAAAAAAUUAGGUAGUUUAUUUUUAUUUUUACCUAUUUUAUGUUAUCUUAUUUUAUUUUUUUAAGUUUUGCUAUUAUUGUUCAAAUCAGAAUAUUGGAAUGUGAUGUUCAUUUUACAAAUAUUCUAAAUAUUAUCCAUAGAGUUUUGUCUAAAAUUAUUGUAAUUACUAAUUUGAUCCGUAAGAUAUCGGAUCAUUUUUUUAAUUAUAUUAAUUUUUGGGUAUUUUGAUAGCAUUUUAAUUGUUAAAUCAUUAUAAUUAUUAAUUUGAUCUGUAAGACUUCAGAUCAGAUUUUUAAUUAUUUUGAAUUUUUGUCGUGAUGUUUAGGGUUAAAGUAAUCGUUAAUUUGACCUGAUUUUUUUUUAUUAUUAUUCUAAUCCUUUAUUUGGUGGAUAUCUUGAUUAGUUUAGACGUAAUUUCAUAAUUGCUUGUCUUGGAAAAACACUAAAAAUCAUAAAAAUCAAAUCAAAAUGAAAAAAAUGAAAAAAAUAAAAAAUCAAAUCUUGCAUUAGAGCGUCUUGGUUUAGUAAAUUAGGAUUGCUUUUCUAGGAUUGCAUUUUUAGAUAAUUUUUGGAAAAGAUUAGGAUUUAUUUUAGAUAGUCUUUGCACAUUUCAACAAUCUCAUUUUUCUAAAAAAUAGUUUUCUAAGAUAGGAUAGAGUUUAAGUCAAAUUAACCCUAAAACGUAUUAGAAAAUUAUUUAUUUUUAGAUAGUUUAAUUAGGAUUUUUAUUAAUUCCAAAUUUCAAUAAAAACACAAAAAUACUAGGUGCAUGUGGUUCAUUUAAUUAGAAAUAGCUCGUUAGUAAAAUUAGGUCAUGUAGUUAAAGUGCAUGUUUUAAAUUUGAAAUAAAAGAAAACCCAAAAAAAUUGUUUGCUUUGUGUGAUCACCCAUUUACAUGAUAGUGAUUUAGAUUAAAAUAAAUCCAGGCUGCCUGCAAAAACAUUUUUGAAAAUAAAAAUAAUGGUGCCGAAAGGGCAUUAGAGAAAUCUAGUGUAACUAAGUCCCUGUACCCUUUGUCUCUAGUUCGUAGGAGUAAAAUAAUUCUCCCAUUAUUUUACUUAGGUGUCUAAUCAACCUACGUAAAACUGAUCAGUGGCGACUUCUAGAUAAUAACUAUUUGCAUGUUAAAUAUUUGAAUCUUAAGUCGCGAAUUAGUAUGGGCUUGGGAGAGAUCGAGCUAAGUUUAAAGACUUAGCAAUCCAUUAGCCUAAUUUUAGGUGGUGCACUCGAAAUUUAGAUCGUGAAAAAUAUGGUCGCUGCCCGACAUAGUUCUCGUCAUUGUUGCAAGUCGUGAACACGUCCCCAUUGUUGCAAACCCCGUGGGUGCACCCGAUCUACCUCGUCAUCUUUGAGACGAUCUGCGUGUAGCGGCUGCACACUUGGCCUUCCUCGCAUGUGUUGAUCGUGUAUGUGCAAUACUUUUCCUCCUCUGCUCAAGUCACUUUUCCUCCUCUGUCAACUAAAGUGACUUGGGGAGGUGGAGUAGGGAAAAGUUUAAAAAUGCAUCCCGACAAUUGGAUCCCCUUAUGGAAAGACUCAUAAUACUAACAAAUGCUGAAGAAGGGGCAUCAAAUGGGGAGGAAUACAGAAAACUAGUUGAGCAAAUAGAAGCCUUAUGGAGGCAAGAAGAAAUGUACCGGUGCAUGCAAUCCAUAAUUAAUUGGAUGAAAAGGGGGAUAGGAAUAUGAAAUUCUUCCACCCCACCACGAUUCAGAGAAGACAGCACAACAAAAUAUCUAUGCUCAGGCUAGAUGAUCACAAUUGGUGCCAAGAUCAGGUUUCCCUCAAGCAACAUAUAAUAGACUUCUACAAAUCAUUAUAUACCUCGGUUGGAUCUAGACAUGAUCAACCUAUUCUAGAGUAAUGCCUACCAGUGGUUAUAAAUGAAAUGAACGAGGCUCUUGUCAGGCAAAUCACUAAAGAAAAAGUGCAGACAGCAGUGUUUCAAAUGGGAGCGACAAAGGCAUUAAGGUCAGAUGGACUUAAUGGUUUAUUUUGCCAAAUCAACUGGUCAGCAGUUCAGGAGGAUAUAUUGAGGAUGGUGGGUUCCUUCUUCAUUCAAGGUACAUUUGAUCUUGAAAUUAAUAAGACCCAAAUCAUUAUUAUUCCCAAAGUCACAAAUCCUGAGGGUCUUACCCAGUAUAGACCUAUUAGCCUUUGUAACUUUAAUUAUGAAAUCAUUGAGAAGGUUAUGGCGAAUAGACUAAAACCCUAGCUUCCAAAUAUUAUAUCCCUGGAACAAAGUGCUUUUGUUGAAGGUUGAUAAAUCCAAGACAGCAUUUUUAUUGUCCAAGAGGUAUUACAUCAUUUGAGAGUUAGAAAGAGAAAGUGAAAAUUUCAGGCGGUUUUGAAGUGGGUUAAUUCAAAAAAAAAAAAAAAGCACAAACUUCAGGUCGAUGGACAAAUCUAGCCCAAACUUUUUUUUUGUCUCGUAAAAAAGCAUCAACUUUAGGUUGAGUGAUAAAUCUAGCCCAAUUUUUUUUUUGUCACGUAAAAAAGUACAAACUUUAGGUCGAGUGACAAUUCUGACCCAAAUUUUUUUUUUUGAAAAAAAUCACCUACUUUCACUUAAAUCCUAAAUUUGGCCUCCCUUAACUUAGAUUCAUUGAUUAUCCUUAUCAAUAAAUCCAUGUGCACUUGCUAGCUAACACCAUCCAUUGUUUUCGUGUUUUAGCCACAGCUUGAAGAAUAACGGUGAAACCGUGUCAUCUCCUAUACUUCAUUAGCAAGUAAAAAAUUCUCCAUAUUGAGUUUCUCUGGCUAGACUUUAUUGUUUUGUCGUAAUAUGAACCUGUAGAUCACCUCUCGUUAAGAAAACCUUGGAUGAGGUCCACUAACCUCACGGCUAGAACCUUUUCUCCUGAAAUAAGGUUAACUUCAAAUAGAAAGUUAAUGGUAGGGGUUGGAUUUUGGAUAGGAGUGAAAGUUUGUGAUUUUUUAUGAGACAAAUAAAAUUUUGAGGCCAGAAUUGUCACUUAACCUAAAAUUGGUGCUUUUUUACAAGACAAAAAAAAGUUCGGGCCAGAUUUGUCACUCGACCUAAAGUUCGUGCUUUUUCAUGAGAAAAAAAAUUUUUGGCCAAAUUUUUCCAUCAACAUAAAGUUGAUGCCUUUUUAUGGAAUUAGCCCAUUUUGAAGUUGGAUAUGCAAAAAGCCUACGGCAAGGUUGGAUGUGACUUCAUUUAUGACUACAUGUUAAAAUUGGGUUUCUGUGAUAAAUGGGUCUCUUUAAUGAAGCAUUGCAUAUCUUCAGCAUCAUUCAGCAUUACGGUUAAUGGGGACCCUUGUGAAGCUUUUCAUCCAACCCGUGGGAUUAGACAGGGGGACCAUUAUCCCCCUAUCUCUUUAUCAUUAUGGCUAAUGUUUUAUCUUCCCUUAUGUCAAAAGCAAUGAUAGAUAGAAGCAUAAAGGGAAUCCAGCUGAAUAUCAACUGCCCUUUGCUUACACACCUCUUUGCGGAUGAUGCCAUUUUCUUCCUCGAUGGUACUAUCGCAGAAGCAUAAAAUCUUGCAAACAUUUUAAACCGGUUUUGCUUUGCAUCGGGUCAGUCUAUUAACCUUAACAAGUUAAGUCUUUUUUUUGGGAAAAUUUGUCCUUAGGGGCUGAAAUCAAACCUUGUAGUAGAACUACGAGUGCCUAUUAUUGAGAAAACAGGGAAAUAUUUGGGCAUACUCUCAGAUUGGGGACAAAUGAAAAAACAAAUGUUUUCUUGGGUAUAAGCAAGGGUUGAUAGGAAAUUAAAGGGAUGGAAAAAACAAUUAAUUUCAAAGGCAAGCAAGGAGGUGCUGGUCAAAAUAGUGGUUCAAGCAAUACCGCAAUAUGCCAUGUCAAUGUUUAAAAUCCUUAUCUCCAUUUGUAGAGCGAUUGAAAAACGAAUUUCAGCCUUCUGGUGGAAACAAAAUGCAACAUGAAGAGGUGUACAUUGGAAAAGUUGGAACUUAUUGAAGUCUACGAAAAAUUAAGGAGGUUUUGGAUUUAGAGACCUAGUCGACUUUAAUAGAGCUUUGUUGGGGAAACAAGCCUGGAGAUUGAGUCAGGCCCAGGAUGCCUUAUGGAGCAGAAUUUUUAGAGGACUCUACUUUCCUAUAGGAGAUUUUUGGAACGCUAAAAAAGGCCCUAAACCCUCUUGGGGUUGGCAAAGUAUACUAAUGGGAAGAGAUGUUAUUGAACUAGAGAUCAAAUGGGAGGUAGGAGAUGGGAAAAACAUCACAAUUAGAGAGGAUAGGUGGUUGUUGCGACAUCCUGAUUUUCAACCUUGUUCCGAUAAUAUGAAUUGGGUUUUUCAUCGACGUGCCUAUAGUCUUUUUCUCUGAGCUAAUCACUCAUGAGAUAACUAAUCUAUCAGGUGAAGCCGUUAAGGAAUAUAAAUGUGACUGACUUGAGAAUUCGAUCAGAAAUCGAUUGCUCGACCGUGCUAAUCUACAAGGCUCAAUACGGCAUCGUUAAAAUCGAUUAAAAACUGGAGAUAUGUCAAUUUAUAAGAGGCAUGUAAUUAAAUUAUGGGUGAUUCCACCUGAUUGCAAAAUUCAUGUCGAAUGGCACUAAACUAAUUUUUUUGUCAAUUUUGUACCAUGUGCCCGUAAUUGAAAUAUUGAGAUUUUUACGAUAACCGAGAGUUGCCGAUAUGUUGAAGAUACACAAUGUGGAUUGAAAAUAAUCGACCAUGGGUCAAACGCAUUAAAAAUUCAUAAAACCAACCCGGUAGGUUAGGUCACGCUAAAAUUGCGUCCGAUUGAAAUUAACCACAAAAUUGAACCCGAUUUCAAGAAUUGAAAGUUCUAGCAUGUCACGAUUUAUUUUUAGGAUGUCAACUCAUCCUUUGAAGAAUUUUUUACGAGCUCGGAUUUUGGCGAAAAAUCAAAAUUCGGCAAAAUUGAUUCAAGAAAUUCAGAUGGCCAUUUUUGGGUGGACUUUUGGCCUUCAUGUUGGAUCAAAUGGUAAGGGAAAUUGUGAAAAUUGGUAUGGGUUUUCUCCUCAGCAAAUUUGGCCAUUAAAUGGAGGUUAUUUGGAGUGAAUUGGUGUGAAAUUGAAUAUGAAACACACGAAAUUCGUAGGGCCAUGGGAGCUGCAAUAUUUGGACUCCAUCCUUAGCUUGUUGGAGAAGCUUUGGAGGGGAAAUUGGCUACUGGUGAUAGGUGAAGACUUUGGGGGCUUGUACUCAAGUGUUUUAGAUAUUUAUUCUUGACUUUGAAGGCUCUUUGUUCCCCCCUUUCCGACAACAGAUUCUACUUCUUCUUCCUCACUCCCUCAUUCUCCAUUGUGCUGAAGCAUAGAGCAAGCAACCAGCCAGCAGUCUGCAAGCUAGUCACUGCACCACUUGAUCGCCUCACGCCGCUGUCUGAGCUUAUUGUCGCCCUGGUUGCCAUCCGCCAGCUCGCCUUUGCGUCGUUUGAGCUGCCGUCCCCACGCCCGAGCUCAAUCGCCCAUCCGUCCCCUACGAGCUGCUAGCCCCUCAUGUCCGCCUAGCUCCAAUCCUGUGUUAUUCCAAUCGCCCGAGCCGCUGCCAUCUGCUCCUACUCGCACUGCCGUCCAACCUUGCCCAUCCUCGUGCUGAACCGCCUUAGCCCCAAUCGAUUUUGCCCCUCCUCAGAACCAAGAGCUAGCUUGAGCCAUAAGGCUUGCUUGGCCUUUUUUGGGCCCUUUCGAGCCUCUUUUGGUAUCGUUGUAGGUCCGAGUCUUGCUUGCCUUCGUGUCGCCGUUGCCGUGAACUCGUCGGCUCAUUAAACUAGUGAGUUUAUCUCCUAAUCUCCCAUUAAGAUGCUAAUUACACUUCAAGGUGGAUUAAUGGCUAAUUAGUGGAUUAGUUUAGGCCUAUAUAGGAUUAAGGGUUAAUUUAGUUAGUGUAAUUAGUUAUGUAGUUAAUUAGAUAGAUUAAUUAGGUGGUUAGAUAGCUUAGAUGAUUAGGGCGCGUUUGGUAACGAUUUUGUUUUCGGGAACAGAUUCUAAUCAGAAAUGAUUAUUUUUUAUUCUAUUCCCAGGAACAAUUUUUAAGUAUUUUAAGUCAUUUGGUAAUUGUCCAAAAUUUCUGAUUCUAAAAUAGAAUUGUGUUUGGUAUUGUGCUCAUUGAUUCUGUUUCAAAUCAAUUUAUUUUAAUUUUCAAAUAAUUUUUUUACUUUUUUUCCUUUUUCUCCUAUUAUUAUUCUUCUUCUUGUGGCUAGUCGCCAGACCGGUGAUCAGCCAGAUGAGGGCCAGCGACCUCACCGGAGUGUCGUCGGUCCUUGUCGGCCGAGCCUUGCUAGCAGUUAGGUAAGGCUCGCCUAGCCAUUAGCGGGGCUGGGCGAGCCUCGCCGGGGCUGGGCAAGGCCCACUUGGCCACCAGUGAGCUCGCUGGACAUUGCCCUUGCUUGGCGAGCCUCCGACGAGCUCGUCGAACCAGUUGUCGGCGACUGGCAGCGGCGGCGAUAGACAGCAGUGAACUGGUAGUGGCGGUGGCAGACGGCGACGGACACUGGAAUUCUGACCACUGUUUGCUCCAGAAACAAAAAUCAACUUGUUUUUUUUAUUCUUGAUUUCAUUCCAAAUCUACUUCCGGGAACAAAAAAAAAUAGAAAUUUGUUCUCAGGAACAAAAAUUUUACUAAACGCGAUUCUAUUCCUAAACUGAUCCCUGGAAUAAAAAAUCAGAAUCAGACACUGUUUGGAUGAUUACCAAACAGUGCCUUAGUCUAAUUAGUGUAUGUUAUUUAUCCUAAGCUAGGUUAGUUAAUUAUUCCAAUUAGGUGGUUAGAUUAGCUUAGGUAGAUUAAUUAGUGAUUUAAUUUAAUUAUUUUGCAAUUUAUUUAUUUAAAUGCAAUUUAUUUAAUUAUUUAUUAAUUAGUGAAAAUUAUACCGGGAUAGCCGAUUGUCAGAAUUUCAUGCUAAUUGUCGUGGUAGUGUUGUUUCGUGUAAUUGAGUGCUAAUUUUUGCAAUUGGAUGCUGAUUGAUGAUUUUUGAUUUAUUAUUUCAAAAAUAUGGAAUUUUGGUAUUUAAUUAGAAAAAUACCGUGUGUCGAUUUUUGACACCAAAAAGGUUUUAAGUACUAUAUAAAAUCAUGAAAUUUUAAAAUGGGAGAAUAACAUGCUUUAUGGUUCGAUUUGACCGUGUGUCCACGCACACCUAUUUUUAUCGGGUGUUUUUAAUAUGAAGAAAAUAUGCAAAGUACAUUAUUUGAAAUUGAGGCAUUUGAGUGCAAAGCACGAUGUCCUUAGCCAAGAUUGGAUGUGCGUGUGAUUGUUAUGAGAACUCGUCAUGAGCGUUUAUGCCGGAUGAUACUUCUUCAGGAAUGUCCCAUGUCAAUGGAUGCCGGUCGUAAUGGAGGUUGGGCUGAUGCUCAUUUGAGAGUGACAUAUAGAUGUAGAUGUUGUCAUGCUCGAUAAGGCAAGAUGAUGCUCGGUUAUGCCAGAUAACCACCGACUGUUGAGUUGGCCGUGGCCGUUGGGUCGUAACUAAUUGUAAUGCUUGAAUGAGUGAUUUGACCACGCCUGAUUAUGAGACAAAAUUGUGUUGCACAGAAUGUGACAUAUUAUAAUGAUUUGACCUUAUAAUCGGGACCCCUGUGAUUGAUUGAUAUAUGAAAGUGAAGCAUUUCAAUUACCGUAUACAUUUAUUGUAUACAUACGUUAUAUGAACAGUACUAAUGUGCAGGGAGGUGCUAAGUCGAUGUAAGUCUUACAUGAUGUGUGCAUAGGCUGCCUCUAGGUGAAUUUUCAUCUUAAUCGAAGUUUAGAGUGUAGACUCGCUGAGAUAUUGUCUCACCCCAUCGUGGUUUAAAAUUUACAAGUUCCUAGAUGGGGGAGGAUCACGUUUGAUACGGGGUUCCACAGGUGAUGGAUUUGGAGCACACCUUCUUCCCUAUUCCUAGGACCACCUUGACCAAGAGCUAGUUAAGUCAGUGGUUUGUGUCGUUGAGGGCCUACCUCAGUUGGUACCUCACUGAUUCAUAACAUAGUUCAUUGGCUUUCCUCAAAGGGGUCGGAAAGGUCCUCUUUAGGGUUUUGACGGGCCUCCUAAUGGGACUGGGGAGUGGGAAGCAGCUCACUCAAUGGAUCUCAACACCCCUUAUGGUGUCGUGGUGGACCCGGAGCCCAUGGUUGUAGAGCAAAGAAUUUAGAUAGCUCAAUAGCCCUUUUUGGUUUAGACUCUUAUGUAUAUAAACCUUGGUUAUUUAUAAAAUAUGUUUUGUGUUAUUUGAUUGUUCUGCUUUUCUAUCCCAUGUGUUAGUUGUUUGGAGAUUGUUUAAUUCGCUUAUGCUUGUGCAAUAAAAUGAAUGGGUCGGCGACGCAUCCUGGGAAUGUUGCAAUUUGAUCAACCACCGAGAGAUGUGCGUGCACUCGAGGUUCGGGGCGUGACAGUUGCUAUCUGGGAAAAUUGGAGGUCCUGCAAAUCGAAGUGAUCCCCACUUUGUAGCUGACUUGAUUAAUCAGAGAUAUAGGGAAUAGAACUUACAAUUACUGAAUGAGACUUUUGGACAGAGUAUUGUACAAGAAAUAUUAGCUACUCCGCUAAGCCUAAACCCUGGGCCAGACAAACUACUUUGGACAACGAACAAUUCAGGCUUGUACAAAGUAAAAAGUGGCUAUAACAAACUCUGCACCCAAGGGACAACUCAAACAGAGCAUUUGGCAUCAACUUCUUACCAGAAUCCCAAAAGAUUAUGGAUUGAGAUUUGGAAACUACAGACCUAUCCCAAAAUCAGAUUCCUAUUGUGGAGUGUUUGCAACAAUGAUCUUCCUACCAAAGAGAGCCUUUACAGGAGGAAUAUGAUACUUGACUCGUUAUGUCCUCUAUGCGGCCAUGCUCCAUAAUCAACAGAACAUAUUUUCCUUUGAUGUGCCUAGACAAAUAUGAUCAUAUCCUAGGCUUGAAGUCAAUACCUUCCCGAUAAGUAUUACUCGAAUUAACAAAAAGGUAUGUGAAGUUCUUACCUCGAAAGCCAGCCCUUCAUCCAAGGCUCUGUUUGUAGGAGUCUUCUGGCUAAUUUGGAAGGCGAGAAAUGUCUUCAUCUUUCAUGGACGCAAACCUCGCCCAAAACAACUCGUGGAAGAAGCUAAUCAUACAACCUAGUUGUUUGCAAGAUGGAAUACCAACAUGCUCGAUCAAACUUAGUCAUCCGUCCUCCAACGUAAAGUUGGAACCCACCGCUUUUGAGAUCUCUGAAACUGAAUGUCAAUGGAUCAUGAUGUAGCUCCACAAUGGAAGGAUCGGUUGCAGGGAUCUGUAGAAAUAAAGAUGGAACUCUCAUAGAUGGGUUCACAAAGCAAAUCUAUCACGACCCGAACUCCGAGCGCAUGCACAUCCCUCCGUGGUCGAUACAAAUUUGCAACAUCCUAGAAACUAUUGCCAACCCAUUCAUUUUAUCAAGCAUGCAGAAGUGAAAUCAUAAACUCCAAACCAUACAGAAAUGAGAUAGCAAACAUAAGGUUAUAGUUUUACAAACCACACAUAUUUUACAGCAGUGAUUAUAUACAGAAGAAUCUAACAUAACAUGGUCUACUUCAAAAAAAAAAAGAGCUUCUAAGCUAUCUACGCUUUGACCUCCUUGUCCAUGGGACCUAGUUUCUACUUAUGACCCUGCCAGACUCUUCGAUAGAUCAGGGUGAGUGGUCACCCAUUAUCCAAAUCAGAUGACAGACCCGUUAGUAUCUGGCAGAAGUUACUGAAGCAUCCAUACAUCACUCCUUGUAACCCUCUGCUCCUUGCCUGAUGGCCUUCCGUCUAGGAACUUGAAAAAUUUAGCCAAUUAUGGGGUGAGAUCACAUCUCAGCGAGUUCAUCUUGUAAAUCUCGAUUAAGAGAAGAGUACAUUCUACAUGCAACCUAGUCACAUUUCUCACAACUCUUUUAACCCUAGCAUUUCCCUGCACAUUAGUAUUAAUCAAAUCAUAUAUAACAAUAUCAAGAUCAUAUAUCAUAUUAAUAUUUCCACAGAUGUAUAUGUAGGGAUGUAAUUAUUAACACAAUAGUACGGGCCCCCAAUUACUAGACUAAAUUGUUAUGGUACGUGCCAUCCUGCACCACACAAUUCCGUCUCCUAAUUAGGUCCCUCAAGUUCGAUCAUUCAUGCAUCUCGACAAAUUUCAAUUCACUAGAUAUGGUCAACCCAACAGAUAACGAUUAUCGGCAUGGCCGAGCAUCAUCUCACACCAUUGAGCACGGCAAUGUCUAUAUCUAGACAGUAUUCUGAUUAGGAGCAUCGGUCCAACAUCCACUGUGACCAGCAUCCAUUGACUUAGGGCAUUCCUGAAUGAGCAUCAUCCGGCCCUAAAGGCUCGUGAUGGAUUUUCAUGUAGCAUAUGCAUUUAUCCAAUUUCACAAUUCAACAAUUAAUUAUGCAUUUCAGCCAUAUCACCAAAUAAGCAAAUUUCCAGCAAGCAUGUCAUUAAAAACAAUCACACAUUACUACUUCCUCUAACCGGCAAAAACUGUCCAUUUGCGCACUUCCGAGUUUAACACUAGAAAUCAACUCAAGCGAGUUUGAAAAAUUCUCAAACUUGAACAUGUGACAAAGGACACAUAAAAAAACAUUUUUCAUGAAACACCAAGACCCAGAUCCUUCUGAAUUCGGCCCAGUAAGUCACUCAAUCCAGCACCAAAACCGAGUCCGUUUCCAGAUGGUAUGUUUUCCGAAAUCAGCUUAAUUCGGGGUCCAAAAUAGGUUCGUUUGAUCUAAAAUUCAAGUAUGUUAAACUAUAAGAUAUAACAAACAAAUUUUGUGAGGAAACCAUUUGGAACUUCAAACCCUAAGGGUCAGAAAAAACCCCUAGAAUCCCAACAGGUUAGGAUUUCCUAUAUAGUCCGACUUUCUGUUUAAACAUAACGGAGUUAAAAUCUUCUUCCCUUAAAUUCCCAAAAAUCCUGAAAAAAUAUAUGUUAUGAUUGAAGAGGUCUAAAACAUUUCUUCAGAUGAAAUCACUUCAAAAUCGCAACACAUCUCAUUCUACAAAAAUAGCAAACCGCAAGCGUCUAAAAAUCAAUUAUGGAGAACAGUCUCUGUCUUUGGCUAAACUAUCCUCUAAGGUUCUGAGCUUGCUAUUUAAAUGAAGACUAAGCCUUUCUAUGACUAAUAUAACCUUUCUAAAUUAACACUAAGCUAUAUUAAAUCCCAUCUAAACCUUCCUUAACUUAUUUAAAUUCCUAAACAAAGGUACAUGGCCCAUAAUCAAGCCUUAGGAAAACAACUCACCUAGGUUAAAACCACGCACUUCCAAUGACGGUGGUGAGGUCUCAACUGUAGGAGGUCCCGACAACAGGACAAUAGCAAUAGCAAAGUGAAGGUUGCUUUCGGUGAAGACGGUGAGUGGAAAUUGCAAAAGAAUGAGCAAUUGGUUGGCGACAACAGUCGUGGAAGGUGCUUCUUAGCUUUCGGCACAAAGAAGCAGGGGUUUGCCUAUUUUGGAGGGCUGUGGACUUGCUAGUGAGGAUGGUUGUUCGUCAAACCAAGGCCAAGACAAAGAGAUGUGGAACAUGAAGGGCAGCUCGAGUUAGGACCGGUUGCUGCACCAGGUUUGGCAGCACCAAAACAGGAGACUUCUCUGUUUUCUUGGCUGCUGUUUUGAGCUGGUUAGCUAAGAGGAAACCGAAGCAGGGGCUGCUGCUUGAUGAGGAAGAAGACAAGGACUUUAUGGUUGAGAAAGGGAAGGAAAAAGAAAAGGAAAAGAAAGGAAAGAGAGAGGGGAGUGUCGCAUGGCUAAAGGGGGGAAAGGAAACGCACAGUGGGGAGAGAGGAGGAGAAAAGCAAUCCAUGGAGGGCCCCUCACUAAAAAUUUCCAAGUCUUUUGGUCUUUUUUCCAUGUAAAAUGGCCCCUCUCACUUUCAUGUGGCCCGCCCCCUUUAAACACACCUAUCCAAUUCCAAAUGAAACUCAAAUGGUGGUGAAAUCUCUUGUCUUAGGCCUUCAUAUGAAUUUACCUCCUUUCUAUAAGCUUUUCCUUUUUUUCCAUUUUACCAUUUCACAAACUUAGUUAAUAAAGACAAAUCCUCAUUUAUAUCCUUAUAAUUCCUCCCUCUGAAGGUUCCAUAAUAAAGGCCAAAAUCCAUUUAAAAUAUGGCUUCUCUCCCAUUCCUUUAAUAUGCUGCAUUUGAAUUUUUCACCAACAAUUUUCGUCGUCAAUAAACCUUGGAAAGAUGUAACAAUAUUCCUAAAAUUAAUUGCAACACUUUAGAGUUCUCAAUUUCUGAAAUCGGAAUAAAUUUCGCAGUUAAAUUCAGUCAGACGUGGUUUUAGCGCGAUCUAAACUAUGGGGUAGUUUUUGGGAAUUUUUUGUGCAAUUGACCCAUGGUCGAUUAUUUUCGAGACACAAUUUACAUCUUCGACUCAUUGGUAAUCCUCAGUUAUCGUGAAAAUUUCAAGGUUUCAUAUACGAGCACAAGGUACCAAAACGACAGAAAAAAUUGGUUUAGUGCCGAUAGACGAGGAUUUUGUAAUUAAAUGGAAUCACCCAUGCCUAAUUACACACCUCAAUCGAAUCGACCUAUUUCUGGUCUUUGAUAGAUUUUCGACUGUAUCGCAAUGACCCUUACAGACUAAGACGGUCGAGCAGUCAAUUCCUAGUCGAAUUCUCAAGCUUGUUGCAUUAAAAUCCCUUCAUGACUUCCCCAACUAGUCUAGUUAUCCCAUGAGUGAUUAGCUCAUAACACUAUAGGUACGUCGAUGAAAAGCCCGAUUUGUUCAAUUGAAAACAAAAGUAGAAAAUCAGACUGUCACAAAAUCCGAGCCCCCUUUGCGUUUUUUUAACUGAAACCCUAGCAAUCAGAGAAGCUCUCUCAUGGAUAAAGCUAAAACGUGAGUUGAGUUCUACACAAGUACACCGAACUGAAAGUUUUCUGCACAUGGAGAUAGCUUCAGACAACUUAGAUGCUGUGAAUUGUGUCAUGGACCAAAUGGAGAUCCCUUGGACUUCUAGAUCCAUCAUCUAGGAUUGUGGUCUUCUAUUGGCCCAACUAGGAGCAUGAAUUAAACUAAAAUAUGAGCCUAGAGAAGCAAAUCAUGUUGUAGAUUGGGUAGCCAAGGCCCAUCGAGCUGGAACCCUUCCAUCCAAUUGGGUUGCUUAUCCCCCUCGUUCCCUUUGGUUAAUUUUAAGUCUUGAAUUUGGUGCUGGUUGUAAUUCAUCUUUGAGUUAAUAAUCUAAAGUUAUUUUCGACCAAAAAAAAAGUCACUUUAGUUGUCAAAUUUUAUGGGAAACAUAUCAUAAAUGAGAUUUUCUUUAUUUAUUUCCUAUUAGAAUUUUAAAUCUUUUCUGCAAAGUUUCUACCAAUUUGAGUAUGUAUAUACCUCACGUUUUUUGGCUUAGUGAUUAAGAUAUGGAUUCGCAUGUGUGUAGCAUGCCACACAAAUUUAGUUACCCACGUCGCCCAGUACAAACAAUUUCCUCUUUGGACUUACCAUCCUAUUUUUUGCUCUAGUUCUAUUUAGUCCAUAAAGUUAAUAGUGCGCGUGCCAAUUAUAAAUGUGAUGCUCCCUUGUUGUUAAAAAAAAAUUAUGCAUGUACGUAAUAGAUCCUGUGAGGGGUACCGAGAUUGGUUUAAAAAAUUGAAUUAUCAAGUGAUGCAACAAAUUGUAAAUGCCUAGUUCUAUUUAGUCCAUAAAGUUAAUAAUGCAUGUGCCAAUUAUAAAUGUGAUGCUCCCUUGUUGUUAAAAAAAAAAAAAAAUUAUGCAUGUACGUAAUAGAUCCCGCGAGGGGUACCGAGAUUGGUUUAAAAAAUUGAAUUAUCAAGUGAUGCAACAAAUUGUGAAUGCCUAUAUAAUGUAAUUGGGCAAUAUCUAAAUUGGGACGAGAUAAAGGAAAUUCGCAUAAAAUGUCCUGGCCAAAGUAUUUGGUUCACCCGACUGAAUGGAGAGGGGAACCGCACCAAUUGAAUAAUGGGGAAAUUGAAUGAAUCCAGGCCAAGAAAAUUGGCAAGUUUCAAGCGCGCGCUUUAGGCAUUUCUUCGGCAUGAGAUUAGAGACAUAAAAUAAACAAAUGAUUGAAGGCCGUCUCGUGAAAUCGGAGGAGGGUGGCUUAUGUAUUUGAGCACCCCUAAACUCUUAUCUUGUUUGCAUUAUAGGACAAGGUCGUCCAUAACCGGCAAUCUGUUCAGGGUUCUAAACUCAAUGGUGCCAACCAUUCUGGAAAUAAAGCUUGUGUGUUGGAUUUCAAGGGAAGCUAGGAGGAACAACUUCAUUUUGUCGAGUUUGCUUACAACAACAGCUACCAGCAAAGACCACCAGCCAUGGUGGCUUCGCUGGAUAAGAACUUCGUUAAUCCUUGCCCAAAGGUGAGGGGUUCGAAACCCAGUGAAGGUGCUUGGUGUCUUAAACGGGAUGUUGGGGUGGUGGGUCAUCCGCUAGUGUCCCCCCAGGUUUGCUCGGUCGGCUGCCGGCUGUAUGGGGUUCCUGGGUCAUCAAAAAAAAAAAAAAAACAGCUACUAGUAGAGCAUUCAUAUGGCUCCUUUUGAAGCAUUUUAUGGUAAAAGCGUGCAGAAUGCUAGUGUGUUGGGAUGAAGUCAGGGAGAGAAAGAUCAUAAGCCCAGAGUUAGUCUAGCAGUUAGCAGAUGUAGUUGCAGUCAUCGGAGAUAGAUUAAAGACCGCUCAAAGUCGCCAGAAAAGCUACGCAGAUAAACUCCGGAGACCAUUGGAAUUCCAAGUUGGUGAGCACGUUUUUUCUGAAAGUGUCACCAAUGAGAGGUACUUUGUACUUCAGCAAGAAGGGAAAGCUCAGUCUAAGGUACGUAGGUCCCUUUGAGAUUCAUGAGAGAAUCGGGACUCUAGCAUAUUGUUUUGCAUUACCGCCGAACUAGCACAAGUAUAUGACGCAUUUCACAUGUUGUUAUUUCUAUACAUAUGCGUCUGACCCGACACACGUGCUUAAUUUUGAGGAAUUGGACGUGGAUGACAGAGUGUCAUACGUUGAAAGCCCGGUUCAGAUUGUGGAUCGUAAGGAACAUGUUCUGCACACCAAGACCAUCCCAUUGGUCAAAGUGGUUUAGCAACACCACGACACUGAAGGAGCAACCUGGGAAACUAAAGAUUCGAUGAGACGACUGUACCCCCACCUUUUUAUUUAAGAUUUGUAAAGUUUAAAUUUCAAGGACGAAAUUUUUAUAAGAGGGGAAGAGUUGUGACAUCCAGAUUUUCGAAUCUGAUUUCGAUAAGAUGAAAUGGGCUAUUUAUCGACAUGCCUAUAGCCUUUUUAUCUGAGUUGGCCACUCACGAGAUAACUAGUCUAUCAGGUGAAGUCUUUAAGGGAUUUUAACGCAAUAGACUUGAGAAUUUGACCACGAAUCGAUUGCUCGACCGUGCAAAUCUGCAAGGAUCAUUAUAGCACUGUCAAAAUCAAUUAGAGAUCAGAGAUAGGUCAAUUUGACUGAGAUAUGAGAUCAAAGUGUGGGUGAUUUCACCUAAUUGCAAAAUUCUUGUCGAUUGGCACUAGAAUGAUUUUUCUGUUGUUUUUGAUACUUUGUGUCCGUAUUUGAAAUCUCGAGAUUUUCACGAUAACCGAGAGUUGCCAAUGUGUUGAAAAUAUACAUUUUGACUUGAGAUAAAUUGAUCAUGGGUCAAUGCACUAAAAAUUCCUAAAAGCUACCCAGUAGGAUAGAUCACGCUAAAAUCGCGUCAGAUUGAAAUUAACCGCGAAAUUGAACCUAAUUUCAAAAAUUGUAAGUUCUGUUAUGUCACGAUUCAUUUUAGGAACAUCAACUCAUCCUUCAAAGAAUUUUCAGAGAGUUCGGAAUUUUUACAUAAAAUUGAUUUGGACGUUUUGGAAAAUGAACGAAAAUUCAGAUUUUUUCCAAAUUAAAAGAAAUUUUGGCUUCUAAGCUGAGCUAUUUGGCGAUGGGGACUUGCAAAAAUCUUGGGGGCUUCUUCUUCAUCAAAAUUGGACACCAAAUUAGGGAAAUUUGUUGAGGAAUUGAAGCUCAAGUGUGAAAUUUAGAUCUUAGGAAGAGUGUGACAUCCAGAUUUUCGGGUUCUGAUUUCGAUUAGAUAAAUUGGGCAUUUCAUGAACGUGACUACAGUGUUUUUCUUUGAGUUGGCCACUCAUGAGAUAAUUAGACUAGCUAGGUGAGCUCUUAAGGAUUUUAAGGCAGAUAGACUUGAGAAUUCGACCAAGAAUCGAUUUCUCGACUGUGUUCAUCUUUAGAGGUCAUUACGGCACAUUUAAAAAUUGAAUUAAGAUUAGAGAUAUGUCGGUUCGACUGAGAUGAAUGACGAAUUGUGGGUGACUCCACUAAAUUGGAAAGUUCUCAUCGACCGGCACUAAUUUGAUUUUACUAUUGUGUUGGUACCCUGUGUCCGUAUUUGAAUCCUCAAUAUUUUCAUGACAACCUAGAAUCACCAAUGAGUCGAGUGGGUUCAUCGUGGCUCGAAGAAAAUCGACCAUGGUUCAUUUGUCCUAAAAAGUUCUAAAAACUACUUGGUAGCCUAGCUCACACUAAAAACGCGCCCGAGUGAAAUUAACUGUCAAUCUGAGUCCGAUUUCAAAAAUUGAAGAUUCUGUCGUGUCACAAUAAAUUCUAGGAGUGUCGACUCAGUCUCAGAAGAUUUUUCUGACACCUGACACUUUUUGGGAAAAAGUCAUCGCCGGGUUAUUUUAGUGCAGAAAUUGCCGAAGAUGGUUUUUGGUCGCAAAAUUGGGAUGCAAGAUGGGUGAGAGUGAAUCAAGAGAGAAUGGUUGUGCAAUUGAGGCCUUUGCUAAGAAAUUCGUAACAUCCCCACACCCUAACAAGAAUGGACCACUUAGAAGGUUAUAUGGGACAUUUUGAUGGCCUAAUGAAGGCCAAGUAUUUAUACAUGGCCUAGAUUGAUUUAAGGUAGAUAUUUUACAAAAUAUCAAGCCUUGCUGGAGCCCUCACUCCUCAUAUCUAUCCACCUCUCUUUCUCUCAUACCCCACAACCGGAUAGCCUCUCUCUCCCUUCCCAUUUCGUGCGACACCAACACCAACAGAGGAGAAGUAGCCCAGCUCCUUCGGUUGGCCAUCAACAACUGAGACCCCCAUGCCCACUUGCUCGUCUCUCUCUGCUCAAUCCACCGUCCAUGAAGCUGCUCCAUCUUCCACACCCUACGUCCACACAGCCACGACGUCCAAAGAAGCCAGGCACCUCUCCACGCGUCAUCUUCAGUCAACAACAGCAAGCACCGAAGCUUUUUAUUAAUCGAGUAGCACGCCAUUCAACUCCAGCACCGUCCAAGUCUCCACACUCCACUAGCCUGUCUCCUUCGGUCAACCGCAGCAAACAAGCCGAGAUUCGCUGGUUGACUGAGCAGCCUUACCUUGCUGCCAUUUGGCCGUGAGUCUUCAAUUGGUGCCCUCUCCAUGCGGCCAAGGACGACGCUACGUUGUGUCUUCAACCUAGUGAAGCUGUUGUCGCUAGACCAAGACCAGCAAUGUCGCUUGAAGAAGCCACGUCUUCACCGAGUUCUGCCGUCCACCGAAGACUCCACCUGUUGCUUCCUUCGUCCGCGAGCUUCCUCAGAAUUCUGCUUCUCUCACUCGUGGAUAGGCCUAGCUCCAUCCAUCGUGCAUCUUCGGCCCAACAUAAAGGCCAGCUCAUUUGAAGCCCUUGACCUGGCUCGCAACCCAUCUUCAAUUGAAUUGAAGCCCGCAAGAAGCAGCCCAUCAAUUAAUUUAAUCGAAGCCCAUCUCUAGCCCACACGAUUUCAGCCAAUUUCAACUCAGUCCAACCCUUGUGGAUCAGUCGAUCAGCUCGCGAAAAUUUCAUAAGCCUAGAUCAAGCUCAGCCCAAGAAUUUAAGUAGGCCCAAGCUCAGAAUUUCUGCGAGCUUGCAAAGUUUUUUAGGCCUGGCCCGAGGGUGCAUUGACGUCACCGGAAUUUUGGAAUUCGGCCGCCGUCGUGUCGUCAUCGCGGCGUUCCAGUCUUCGCUUUGCUCAAGUGAGUUUUACUCACUAAUGCCUUCUUAGUUUGCUAAUUAUACUUAAAGAUUGAUUAGCUUUAAUUAAGUGCAAUUAGGUGGUUAGAUUAGAAUAGAUUAGUGAUUAUUAGAUAAUUGUGAUGCAUGUUAGUCAAUUGGGUUGUGCAAUUAGCGAGUAGGCACGUAAUACUAUUUAUUGAAUGCUACUUGGGAUUUUUCCCGACCCUUAUCGGGUGUUAACUAGGCAAUUCGGGCAUAAGUGGAAUUUUUAGGAAUUAAAUCUUAAUUUUCAAAAUUAAUUAUUUAAUUAUUUAUUUUCCAAAAAUUCAACUGGGAUGGCCAGUGACCGGGAUUUUAUACUAAUGAUCGUGGUGCAGUCCAUUUAUUUAAUUGAGUUUCAUUUUGUGCUGAAUUGAAUUAUUUGUGAAAUUGGAAAUUAUUCUUUAAUGGAAUAAUAUUUGGUUAUACCACCGCCCGCGGUGGCCACGAUGGUUAAGGCUUGGUACCUCAUCCGCAGGGGGAAGGGUUCGAGACUCCGUGUCCGUGUUGCUUCAAUGCAAAACGCGCGAUUCACCUGUGGCUGGGUUUGUGGUGGUAGCCCAGUCCACCCCAUGGUUUACUCUCCGCCAUGAAGCGGCGCACAGAGGUUCCCUGGGUCACCAAAAAAAAUAAAAAAAAAUAAUAUUUGGUUAUUAAUUGGAAAAUAACUUGGUGUUGGUUGACAGCACUAAAAGUGUUUUGGUGGACUACAGAAAAUGUCGGAGUUAUGGAAAGGAAAAUAUUAUAUUUUGACUAAGGUCAGCCGUGUGCCCACGCAUGAUAUUUUGUCAAGUAUGAUAAAAAGAUGGAAUUGGAUGUAUGAUUGGGAUGGUAUACUAUAUCGGCCUACGGGCGAUAUGUCAGCUUAGCAGAGAGCAGUAUACCGGUAUACUAUAUCAGCCUACGGGCAAUAUGUCAGCUUAGUAGAGAGCUCUAUACCUUAUUAGUUUAUAUUGAAUAUGUCGGUAUACUGUAUCAUCCUACGAGCUCUGAUAUGGUAGCUUAGCAGAGAGCAGUAUACCUUAUCAGUUUAUAUUGAAUAUGUUGGUAUACUAUAUCAUCCUACGGGCUCUGAUAUGGCAGCUUAGCAGAGAGCAGUAUACCUUAUUAGCUUAGAUUGAGCAUUGUCGGUAUACUAUAUCAUCCUUCGGGCUCUGAUAUGGCAGCUUAGCAAAGAGCAGUAUACCCGAUCAUCUCAGAAGUGAGCUAUACUAUCUAUUUACUAGCUUAAAGUGAGCAGUCUUGGACUAUGGUCGGACUUAUAGAUAGUAUUGAAUGUGCCGACCAAGCAUGGGUCCUGAUGACAUGUAAUCGAUUAGAUCAAUUGAUUAUUGGUUCAUUCUGAUGUUGUGAAUUGAUUGAUCGAAUGGAAAUGAUCGUGAGUGGUCUUGUUGACGUGUAAUCAACUAGGUCGAUUUGAUCGAUGCUUCGAUCAGUGAUAUGAUUAUUUGGGUGCCUAUUUGAUCUGUGCUAAUAUGCAGGUGGAAUCUGAGACCAAGGUAAGUCCUCUGAUUCAUGUUGUGCAUAGGUAGCCCUAAGGUUUAUUAGUUUACUAAUCGAGUCUUAGGGAGUAGAACUUGCUAAGAUGUGGUCUCAAUGGUUAUUGAAUAACCAUUUCAGGACCUUGAUGAGGAGCCUGAGGAGGAGGAAUCUGAAGAGAACUCUAAUGUGGAACUAGAUGAGAAGGAAGAUUUUGGAGAAGAAGAUGACCAUGAGGAGGAUUCUGAGUAUGACUCAGAGAGAACUAAGAUCCCAUCUUGUUUUGUCAAACCUUGAUUAUAUGUGGAUAAGUGUUAGAUCAGACCUCUGUGAAUAGUAUUGCAUUAUAUACUAUGAGGUGCUUGUAUAAAAGAGUAGUUGUGAAUUUCAAUAUGAAAAUUAUGGCCCUGCUUUUCUAUCCCAUUAUUUUAUUGUCUGGGAUUUAUAACUGUUUCUGCAUGUGCUAUUGAAAAAGGAAAGGGUCAGUGAUAUGUAGUCCUGGGGAUAUCGCAUUUUAAAAUCAACCAAGGUAAGGGAUGUGUGUGUGUCUGAGGAUCGGUGCAUGAUAAAGAGGGCUGGAAUUUUGGCUUCAAAUUUGGUUUAAUUGUUCGUUAAAUUACUAGAAAUAAAUAGGGGACAAAGCAAUUAAGGGGAUGGAUAAAGAUGGUUGACUUUAAGCUCUCCAAGCUUGCUGAGCACAUCGCAAGCUACCCCUCCAUUGAAACAGCCUCUGCCUUGCCACGCGUCCUCCACCAAAAAAGCCUCUGCCUUGCCAUGCGUCCUCCACCAUUCAUUCUUUGUUUUGACUCUGAAGCAGCUCCUCUCAGCCUCCCUGAACGUUGACUCUGAAGCAGCUCCUCUCAGCCACCAUCUCCUCUAGCUGGUGUUGAUCAAGCAGCUCGACUGAAGUUGCUUCUUUCCAAUUCAGCCGGGCCCAAAUCUAGUUGCUUCUUUCCAAUUCAGCCGGGCCCAAAUCUCUAGCUCAACCCUCACGUAAAUUUUUUAGGCCCAGCUUCAACUCACGUAAAUUUUUUAGGCCCAGCAGCCUACAGCAAUCCAACUACGCUACAGCCCACCAAACUAAGUCUAGCAGCCCAUCUUGAAGCUAGAUCAAGCUUAGCCCAGUUUUGAAGCCCUCUUCAGCCCAACUUCGGCCCAGCCUAACUCAAGAACAAAUCUUAGCUUGGGCUGACAUUUGCUGGGCAGUUUUAGGCAUAGUCCAAGCCCGUUGGCGCCGCCGCAAUCUCAAGUUUUGGCCGCUGUUGCGGUAAACUAGUUUUUGUAUUAAACUGGUGAGUUUAUGCACUAAACUCUUCUUAGUAGUCUAAUUACGUUUAAGGAGUGUUUAGUUUAAUUUAAUUAGGAAUUAGGUGGUUAGUUAGAUUAGAUUAGUGAUUUAAUUAGUUAAUUAUGUAUGUUAGGUGGUUAAAUCAGAAUGUUUAAGGCCUAGAUAGGAUGUGCUAUUUAUCUAGAGUGGUUCGGGAAUUUUCUAGACCCGUGUCAGUAUUUAAUUUAACAAUUACAGCCUAGGUGAGUAUUUUUGGUAUUUAAAUUGAUUUAUUUAAUUAAUUUUAGUAAUUAUUUAAUUAUUAAAUAUUUCCGGAAAUUAAAUCGGGAUAGCCAGUGAUGGGAAUUUCGUGCUGAUUGCAAUGGUGUGGUUAAUUUAUGCAAUUGAGUGUUACAUUGUGCAAAUUGAGUGCUGAUUGGAAUUGUGAGUAUUUAAUUCAAAAAUUUGUAAAAAAAAAAUAUUUAUUUAGAAAAUCCCGGGUGUCAGAUUUUAACACAGAAAAUGGUUUUAUAUACUAUAUAAAACAGUAAGAUUUUAAAUUGGAAAAUAUCAAUUUUUCUAGUGUGAAUUGACCGUGUACCCACACACGACUAUUUUAUCGUGUAAAUACGAAGAAAAUAGGCCAGGUUCAUCAUUUUAAUGGAGACAUUUGAGUGCAAUACAUAGUGCCCUGGCCCAUAAUUGAGUGAUCGUGUGUUGGUUAAGAGAACCUGUCCUAAGCUAUUAAGCUGGACGUAACCCCUAUAUGGGACGCCCCUAGACAACAGGAAGUCGGCCACAAUAGAUUCUGGACACAUGUUCCUUCAGGAAAGCUGUCUAGGAAAGAUGUAACCGUACUUAAUGGGGUGAGACGUAGCCUAGUAAUGCCAGAAGACCGCCGAACAGAGAGUAGGCCGUGCUAUAUGCCGAGAUCAAAACUAGGAACACAUGAUUAUUUGAGUUGAACGCGCCGAAUUAUGGGACAAAAUUGUGUGGCACGGUAUGAGAUGUGUCAUAACAAUUUUGCCCUAUAAUCAGGACCCUUGUGUUUUGUUAUAAUUGAUUAUGGCAUUCCUAUUGAUGAGCUUAUUUGCUGCUCAUGCUUUCAUGCUGUCUGUAAUAUGAAUUGUGCUAACCUACAGGGUGGAUUUAAGACAAGGUGAGUCCCUAUGUUUGUGUGAUUGUGUGGUUAUGAAGCUUCUAGGCGUAUUUCCCUCAUAAUCGGGGUUUAGAGUGUGAACUUGCUGAGAUUUAUAUCUCGCCCCAUCGUAGGCUCAAUUUUCAGGGUCGUAGAGUGGUGAACUUGGAGCCGAGCUGAGGGAACCCAUGGUGUAAGUCAGAUAGGACAACCUCUUUUGGAGAGUCAAUCUUUUGAAAUCUUUUGGGUAUAGACUUUUGUUUAUAACUCAGUAUGUUUAUAAAAGCAUGUUUGUUUAUCAAUUUGUUGUCUUGCUUUUCUAUCCCGAGAUGGUUAUCGUCAGGGGAUUUAUUAUUCGCUUCUGCAUGUGCAAUAAAAUGAAAGGGUUGGCGACUCGUCCUAGGAAGUUGCAAAAUUUUAUCAACUAGAGAGGGAUGGGCACAGGCUCAAGGAUCAGAGCAUGACACUUAGUCUAAGGACUAAAUUGAACACGUAUCAAAAGUCCAGGAAUUGUAUUAAAUAAUUUAAAAGAUCAUGGAUGACAUUAUACAUUGUGCUAAAGUUCAUAGACCAAAUUGAACAAAUUAAAAGUUCAGGGUCCACAUUAAAUAAAUUAAAAAUUUAUGGGCUACAUUGCACGUUGAGAUAAAGUUUAUAGAUCAUUUGUAUCAUUUUCACAUAGAUUCGCUUGUUGGACGAUCUGUUGAAUGUUACUACAAUUAAAUAAGUUAGGUAGCACGGAGAAGCAGACAAUCCAAAUAAUGUCAUUACUUGGCAUUAUAUUGAACGGCUUCUCCAUAUAUGGCAAUUUUAUAUUCAUUAUCCGGCAAUUCCAGAAAAAGAAAAUUUAUCCUGUUGCACCAAGGGACGAAAGUGGGGAAAAAGAAGAAGGAAAGAAUAGAGUGAAUUUUUCGAUUUUCAUGCUGUAAGUCAAAGGAAUGCUAGUGGCGGGCACUGCCAGCCCACUAAUUUAAUAUUAGUACUUUCCUUUGUAGGACAAAUCACUGGGAUGGUAUAGCUUACCUAAACAAGAACAAUCCAAAAAUGAAAGAGAGAGAAAGAGCUUGGGAAUUGGGAAUAAAAUGACAAUGUGGCACCACUUGAUCGAGAUAUCAACGAAUUAAACAAAGUAUAUUAAGGCAAGACAUUUCAUUGGUCCACAAAUCAUACAAUCAUUAUGACCUGGGUUGAGACGGCUUAUAAACGGCGUUCUUAAGUCGUGAAAGAUAAUAUCAUUUCAUUUUAGUGAUGUGUUUGCCAUAUACUUCCGCGUGAAAUUAGCCAGCUAAAUACUAUAUCAGUCUCUAGCGAUAAAUAUAUUUGUCCAUCAUGUAAAAUUUUAUUUAUUUAUUUUUCAUUUGAAAAGUCGUGAUAUUUCUAUCCUGUGAGGAUAAGUCGAUUCAUUUUUUUUCUCUUUAUUUGGCCUUACCUAUUUAGAAAUGCUAGGGAAAUUUGUAACAAUUUGUAUUAAUGUGGAUUCAGCAUACAAAAUACAUGUAUUCAUGUCGUUUUCUUUAUCUUUUUGCCAAAUAUUAAUUUUUUUGGCAUAUAGACAAUCCCUAUGCACUUUCGCUAGAUAAAUGUCGCACGAAUUUGGAAUUUAACAACGUUUGACAUAAAACUGAAGGAACCUUAGAUAAAAUGAAAAUACAAUAGAGAACAUAUAAGGACAAACCGGACAGUUGGGUUUGACAGGUGGUGUAACGGAUGCACACGAUACUUUCUUCCUUUUGGCAAUAGCCAGCAUGUAACAACUCAUUCAAAUUUAGGGAGGUAAGAAUGUCAUGUAAUCUUGGAAAAAAUAUUUAAAAAUAUCAUGAAAAAAUAUGUGAAACAAGUGGAUGAGAUUAGGAGUGAGCAGUUCCAUGAUCGAUCCAUGUUCCACUUAAAACCCGAAAGCCAUCCUAUUGGGAUCGAUUAUAUAAUUUUUGGAACUUGAAUCUAUCUUGUAUAUCUUGGAGUGUGGAAUCUAAUCUAUCAAUCGACUCUAAUGUCUAUUCAUGAACCAACCAAUUCCUCUUUAUUUUUUUUUUAUUUUUUUUUGUCAUGAAGAAUAUGAAACUCUUCUAUUAUUAAAGUCGGGAUAAUGUGACAUCCUGAUUUUCAAACUCUGAUUUCGAUUGGUUAAAUUGCGCAUUUCAUCGACGCGACUACAGUGUUUUUCUCUAAGUUGGCCACUCACGAGAUAACUAGACUAGUUGGGUAGGCUAUUAAAGACUUUAAGGCAAAUAGACUGGAGAAUUCGACCAAGGGUCGACUUCUCGACCGUGCUCAUCUUUAGAGAUCAUUGCGGCACAGUAUAAAAUCGAUUUGAAAUCAGAGAUAGGUCGGUUUGAUUGAGAUGAAUGACCGAUUGUAGGUGACUCCACUAAAUUGGAAAAUUCUCAUCGACUGGCACUAAUUUGAUUUUACUAUUGUUUUGGUACCCUGUGUCCGUAUUUGAAUCCUUGAGAUUUUCACGACAAUCGAGAGUCACCAAUGGGUCAAGUGGGUUCAUCGUGGCUCGAAGAAAAUCGACCACGAGUCAUUUGUCCUAAAAAGUUUUAAAAACUAAUCAGUAGCCUAGGUCACACUAAAAGCGCGUCGGAGUGAAAUUAACCGCCAAUCUAAGUCUGAUUUUAGAAAUUGAAGAGUUUGCCAUGUCACAGGUCAUUUUAGGAGCGUCGAAUCAGUCUCAGAAGAUUUUUCGAAGAUGCCGAGAUUUUUACAGAAAAUCGGUUCGGACGCCGCGAAAAAUCAACGAAAAUUUGUACGAGCCGAAUUUAAGAGAGUUUUGACUUUCAAGCCAAGCCUGUGAGUGUUGGGGAUUUAUAGAAAUUGUCUGGGAUUUUUCUUCAUCGAGAUUGGAUCUCAAUUUGGGAAAUUGUGGAAGAUAUUGAAGAUGAAAUUGAAAUACAAACUAAAGGAAAUUCGGAGCUAAGGAGGGCUGUAAAUUUUUGACUUCAAUUGGAUUAAUUAUGGGAAAUCCAAUCCAAGAAAGUAUUAGAGGGGGACAAGAAGUUAAUGGAGAGGAUAAGUGUUGACUAUUUCUUCCUCUUUGCUGGCUUUCAUUACACGAUUCAGCCCCCUUCUUCGACCUUUCUAGACCGCUCAUACUUGCAACGUCGACUCUCCGCUCGAAUUCACUGAAGCCACGUGAUUUUUCCCUGCAAGCUGCCGCUCGUCCUGCUUCAACGGAAGCCCAUCUCUGCCACGUUCUCGUCCAUCCUCUCCAAACGAAGUCCCUGCUCGAAGACUCCAGUAGCACCGAAGAAUUUCACUGAAGCUGUUGCCACGUUGCUGCUCCCUCUAGCAAGUUUGGUCUCCACCGGUCUUCUUGUUGCCGACCCCAUCAUCCCCAUUCCACCGAAGCUGCUUCUUAUAGCUACCGUCCAAGCCACUUCGCCGAGUCGACCAUGAAGCCUCCACUCGCCCGCAACUGUUCUCUUUCCUUCAGCGUCCAAUUCCCCAGCUCGACGCCAGCUGCCAACAUCUCCACUUCUUCCUGUUGCCAGCAGCAAGGUCUCAUGAAGUCAGCAAAGCCGAAGUCGCAUGUGUCUUCAACCGAGCAACACACGAAGAAACUGCAGCAGCUUCGUAUCUCCUCCAACAGUUGGACGCUGAUGGUUUUAUAUGAGAUGGGCUUAAGGCCCGUCCGCCCAUGUUGGGCCUAAAAGCCUGGCCCACGGAAUUAGGGCCCGUGGAUGGAGGGACGUAUAAAAGGGAGGAGAGAGAGGGAGAACAUACCCUUUGAACAUUACGUACGUUCCUUCCUCCCUCUCUCCCUCCAAAAGGAACAGUAAGCACAAGGCCACUUUCUUCUCCCCUUCCAAGGCGAAUUGGCGUCAUCGGAUCGAACAGGGCCAAAUUCUCUUCCUCAUUUCAGUAUUGGUGUUUAAUCUGUGGCUAACAAGGUACGCUCGAAUCCGUGGUGUGCUUUAGGAUCGGUGAUACGUGAUUUUCCCGAGCUUAUCUUUCGCAUUCGUUUUAGGGGUUCGAUUUAGUGUCGAAUCCAUUUUGUGGGGAUUCGUUAAUCCCAACAUUGGUAUCAGAGCCAGGUUCAUGUUUUCCCGACCCUUUUCAUGUUUUUUGAUUGAAUUUUCACGAAAGUAUUCGGCCGACACAAAUCGGGGCGAGAAAUCCCGACACCCGAGCAUAGUUUGUCAGUUUUUUCGAGUUUCUGUAAGUCGAAAUCGAUUUUUGAAAACAUAGGGUGAAAGGGCUCGUCAAGACGAGUCUGGAGACAUGUCGUGCGCCGUUGGGCGACGCCGCACGCGCCCACACGCGCGGCCAGAAGCCGCUGCGCAUGGGCGCCACGCGCCGGUCGACGAACCGGCACAUGCACGACGCCGACGGCGAACCGGCAUGCGUCAGUCUGACAUCAACAUGACGUCACCCAACGGUCGGUAACCGCUGGGAUGACGUCAUCGAUGACGUCAGCGUCGACGACGGUUGGCUGGGCGGUCACCGACCGACGACCAGACCCGCGACCCGACCCGACCCGACCCACGGACGCCUGGCACGCGCACGGCAUGUGCCAGCUGACGUCUGCGUGACGUCAGCCUGCGCACGCACGCGACACGUGCGGUCGGUUCGUCCGACCCGGCCCGACCGGCCCGACCGGUCCGACUGGUCCAUCCAGUCCGACCAGUUUGACGACCGACGAUCGACGACCUGACCGUUGACGGUUGACCGACGAUCGACAACCUGACUGUUGACGGUUGAUCGACGACCGAUGAACGUUGACCAUUGACCGUUGACCCGAAAAAAAAAAGAAAAAAAAAAGGAAUUUGUUUCUUUUUUCAAUUAUGUCUGUGUGGGUUAGAGGUAAUGCAUUUUUUUUAUUCUGCAUUUGUUGCAUGAAUCAUGAAAAAUUAUGUAUUUUCCAUUUUGUUUAUUGUGGAUUAUAAGUGAUCCAUUUUUUUGGUUUUGCAUUUGUUGCAGGAACUAUGAUGCGUUAUGCACGGAGACCUGCAAUCCCGAGAACGGACGAAGGAAAAGCAAGACUUAAAAGGCCGAUGUAAGAGUUAGCUGAUUAUCGGUGGCUUGAUGGUGAUUUAGUAUCACACAUGGUCAGGGUCAAUCAGAUGAUACAGGAAAUCAUCUGAAAUGGUUAUCUUAUGCCGGAUUUUGAGAAGGUGCCGGCUUUGAUGAACACUCUUCCACCUGAAUGGCAAGCAGUGUUAGAUCGGCUAUGGGAGGUCAACGUGGUCCCGGGUUAUAGGAGACUAGUGGAAGCUUUUGUAAGAGAGUACUAUAGGAUUGAGUUGGCCAAAGCUUCAACCCUUAGAUUGAGCACCACAUGGCGUAGAGUGAAUGCGCCUUGGAGGUGACAUAAAAGCUUUCCAAAAGUUUUUCCAUGGUUGGCAAAUGUGCCUACAAAUUUCUUAGAUAUUUUGACUGAUAGAUUAGAAGAGACAUUCCCUAUUUAUUUCUUAGAUUAGUUUGAGAUGUUUUUUAAGUGUGAAUAUCUCUUUCUAUGUUGAUAUUUCUUCUUUGAAUAUAUUACUUAGUGUAAUUGAUUGUUGUAUUAUGUGAAAGCAUUAUUAUUCUAUUGGAUGUUAGAUAUUAUUUGCUUUCUGUUAAUUGUUGAUUGCUAUGGGUAGUUAGCUAUGGGUAGUUCAUAGAAGUUUUUGUAACUUCAUAGAAUUUAUUUUGCAUAAGACAAUUAUAUUAAUAAUAGUUUUAAGUUAGGAUUUUUGGAGGAUGAUUGGAAACGUAGUAACCUUUUGAUUCUGAAACCUUACUUGAAAUUAUUCAUUGAUAUGAUGGGUCUGUGCAAAGUGGAUGCAUAAAUGAUAGGCAUUAAUUAUUCGUGCAUAUAUGUCUGAUGUGUUUAGAUCGAUGGUUUCAGCAACUAAGAACGUAAUUGCUGAUAUGAACGGCAACAAUUGUGAAAUAUUGAACAUGAAGAUUCAAUAUGUGCUGAAAAAGCAAGAAGCACUAGAAGCUCUUGACCAUGUUAUGGAAGAUCUUGAGGAUGUUGUGCGCCACCUUGAGCUAGUAGAGGACUGCUUAACGGCAUGUGAGCCGAGAAUAAAUAUUUGCAAUGCUGGUUCUAGCUCAGAAAGGGCUUUGAGCUCUAAGCGCAAGCGUAUUGAUUUGUUCAAUAUGUGGGAAUGCAAAGGAUCAAGUCCUUAUUGCAAGAAAUCAAGAGUUAACCAACACAAGAGAGGAAAACGUCCUCAAGUGAAGAAAAUGUCAAGGGUGAUGUGUUACAAUUGUGACAAGAAGGGUCACUAUGCUCGUAAUUGUUGUAAGCCGAAAAAGGUAAACACCUCUUGUACAUUUGAGAACUUUGCUUAUGUGUCAAGUUCUGCAUUAUUAACUGAAUCCAAUCCUUUGUGGACUGUAGAUUCAGGAGCAACAGACGAUGUAGCGAAGGAUAGAGGAUCCUUCGUGGAAUUCCGACGAGUACCAACUGGAACUAAGUGGAUCUAUGUGGGAUAUAACUCCAGAGAUGAAGUUAAAGGGAUUGGCACCUGCCAAUUGAACGUGCGUGAUGGACGCACCUUGUUCCUACAUGAAGUUCUAUAUGCUCCGGAGAUUCGUCAAAAUUUAAGUGUCUGUUUUUGGUGUUGGUUAAGCUUCUUAUUAGUGUGAACUUCCGUAAUAGCGAUGUAGAUUUGUAUUUGGAUACAAACUACUAUGGUUGUGGUCAUUUUCUGGAUGAUUUUAUUGUACUAAAUGUUGACUGUAGUGAUGUCAAUAUUUGUUAUUCCCUUGUUUCAUGUCUUCUACUUCAUAUGAUAAAGAUGUGAUUAUGUGGCAUGCUAGACUUGGCCAUAUUGGCCAACAUCGUAUGAAUAGACUGGCCAAAGAGGGCUUGUUGGGCAACAUUGAAAAAGGUGAUUUGCCAAUAUGUGAGCAUUGCCUAGUAGGGAAAACGACAAUGAAACCAUUUGGAAAAGGUAAAAGAGCUGAAUUUCCUCUGCAUUUAAUCCAUUCUAACGUCUAUGGUUCAAUGAAUGUGAGAGGAAGGCAUGGGCUAUUUAUUUCAUCACUUUUAUAGAUGAUUAUACUCGAUUCAGAUAUGUCUAUUUGAUUUCUCAUAAAUCUGAAGCAUUAAGUUGUUUCAAAAGGUUUAUGAACUUGGUAGAAAAUCAAUUAGACAAGAAAAUAAAAGCAUUGAGAUCCGAUCGAGGUCGAUAAUAUUUAUCUUAUGAGUUCAGAAAAUUAUGUGGUGAAAAAGGAAUAGAAAGACAGUUGUCUAUUCCAAAUACUCCUCAACAAAAUUGUGUUGCAGAGAGAAGAAACAGAACCCUACUGGAAAUGGUUAGGUCCACGAUGGUGCAUGCUAACUUACAUAUCACUUUUUGGAGUGAUACGUUGUUAAAUGCUGCAUAUAUACUUAACCAGGUGCCUUCCAAAUUAGUUAGUUCCACUCCAUAUGAGUUAUGGAUAGGUAGAAAACCGGACUUAAGUUUACUUAAGCCAUGGGGUUAUGCUGCCUAUACUCAUAAAUCCUCUCACAAGUUUGAGAAAUUGGGUCCCAGAUGAAAGGAUAGUAUUUUAAUGAGAUACUGCGAACACUCGAAAGGGUAUGUGUUCAUAGGUGAGCAGGAAAGUGGGAGUAUAACUGAAUUUUAAUCACGGGAUGUCACAUUCUUAGAGGAUGAAUUUCCUAAGAAGGGCGAAAUAAGGGAAGAUUGCCCCUAUUUGAAACCUUGGAUCAAGAUAAUGAUAUUAGUGGAGUUCGUCCAAGUGGGAGUAAUAUGAGAAGUGAUAAAUUGAAUUCAACUCAUUCUCAAUUGUAACCACAUGAUGAGACAAUGUUAUCAUUAUCUAAUCCUAGUGGGAGCAUAAUGGGGAAUGAUGUGCAAAGUGUACAAUCUCCCAUACGGCGAACAAGUCACCACUUUUAUGAUUGCUCCACAAGAUGAGGAUGAGCCAAGAAAUAUUAAUGAGACUCUAAAUUGCCCUAGUAAGGAAAAAUGGAUUUAUGCAAUGAAAGAGGAAAUGGAGUCAAUGAAAUCAAACCAAGUCUGGGAACUGGUUGAUCUUCCAAAAAGGACGCAGAGCUAUUGGGAACAAGUGGGUUCUCAAAAUAAAGCGAAAGGCUGAUGGCUCGAUAGAAAGGCAUAAGGCUCGCCUUGUGGCGAAGAGGUAUAAUCAACAUAAAAGAAUUGAUUAUGAAGAUAUAUUUUCUCCUGUAGUGAAAUUUACCUUGAUUCGCAUAAUUCUGGCAAUAGUGUUUAGUAUGGAUCUUGAGUUACAUCAAAUGGAUGUAAAGACUGCUCUCCUCAAUGGAGAAUUAGAGGAAGGAACAUAUAUGGAACAACCUGCUGGUUUCAUAGUGAAAUGCCAAGAAGAAAAUGUAUGUUGACUUUUGAGGUCGAUAUAUGGCCUUAAGCAGUCGUCAAGACAAUGGUAUAUACGUUUUCAUAAUGCCAUAAUGGCAUAUGAUUUUACAAUGAUUGAUGAGGAUCAUUGUGUAUAUAUAUCAAAAGAUCUUAUGAUCAACUUGUGAUCAUAUCAUUAUAUGUUAAUGAUAUACUAAUUGCCGGAAGCAAUAUGGAGCUUGUCAAUACUGUCAAUAGUUGGUUGUUUUCCAACUUUGAGAUGAAUGAUAUGGGAUUGUAAACCCAUAGACACUCUUAUUGCAAAAGGUGAAGGAUUGAGCCAUAGACUGUGUCCAAGGACUCCACAAGAGAAGGAACAAAUGAAACAUGUUCCUUAUGCUAGUGCUGUUGGGAGCUUGAUGUACGCUAUGAUGUGUACAAGACCUGACAUAUGUUUUGCAGAUGGAAUGGUGAGUAGAUACCAAUCUAACCCAGGUCCAGCACAUUGGAAGGCCAUUAAGAGAAUACUAAGGUAUCUAAAGGGACUGCUGAUUAUAUGCUGAGUUAUUAAGGAAAGGAUCUGCGUCUCUAAGGCUAUUCUGAUGCUAAUUGGAGAGGAGAUUUAGAUGAAAGAAAAUCUACCUCUGGGUUUGUUUUCUUACCAAAUAAUGGCACCAUAUGUUGGAGCAGUAGGAAACAAACGUGUAUGGCCUUGUCCACGAUGGAAGUUGAGUUCGUGGCAUUAUCAGCAGCAGUAUAAGAAAGUGUUUGGCUUAAGAGGUUAUUGGAUCAUUUAGGUGUUAUUGGAAGUGCUGCAGAUCCAUUGUUGGUUAAUAGUGAUAGCCAAGCAACAAAAGCAUACACCAAAGAUCCAAAAUAUCAUGGCAAGACCAAACCUAUAGAUACCAAGUAUAAAUUUUAUCAAAAAUAUGAUUGCACGAAAAGAUGUGAACUUACGGUACAUAUCUAUGCAUAGAAUGGUAGCAGAUCCUAUGACAAAGCCAAAACCUAGAGAUGUGUUUUAUGGCCAUGUAAAAUUUCUAAGAUUGCAUAGAGUCUGAUGUACUGGAUUGUAAUUUCCCUAAAGUGUUCACAUUUCAUGAAUUUGUGUUUUUCAUCAUUAAUGCCUAUGUAUCUUGUUUGAUCUUUAUGCAUCUUAAUGCUUAGUGUAUAUUUUAAGUUGAGAAGUAUGUCGGACAGAUUUAAGAUUAGCCUACCUCACACGGUAAUCGCUUCUAUUUUACUGUGUGGAUAAAUAGAGAUGAGNNNNNNNNNNNNNNNNNNNNNNNNNNNNNNNNNNNNNNNNNNNNNNNNNNNNNNNNNNNNNNNNNNNNNNNNNNNNNNNNNNNNNNNNNNNNNNNNNNNNCAAUUAUGACUGUCUUUGGGAUAAUUAUAAUUGUGGAUAUUAAAAGAGAUCAAAAGAGAUAUAAAAUGUGAUCGAUCGAUCUAGGAUACUGCAUACUAAAUCUACUCAGAGUGUGAUGUCCAUUAUGAGCUACUAUAUAUUCCUAACAAAUGUAUGGCAACGAGCUCUCAAAGUAUGCUGGUCACACGGAUUAUUCACCGGUAUGAAGUUGAAGAGAGGUAAAGAGAAUUCUGUUUAACCCACCAUGUGCGAGUGGGAGAUGAUGGUUUUGGGUGAUGGGCCUAAGUUGGCCCGUCCGCCCAUGUUGGGUCUAAAAGCCCGGCCUAAGGAAUUAGGGCCUGUGGAUGGAGGGACGUAUAAAAGGGAGGAGAGAGAGGGAGAACGUACCCUUUGAACAUUACGUACAUUCCUUCCUCCCUCUCUCCCUCCAAAAAGAACAGUAAGCACAAGGCCACUUUCUUCUCCCCUUCCAAGGCGAAUUGGCGUCAUCGGAUCGAACAGGGCCAAAUUCUCUUCCUCAUUUUAGCGUUGGUGUUUAAUCUGUGGCUAACAAAGUACGCUCGAAUCUGUGGUGUGCUUUAGGAUCGAUGAUACGUGAUUUUCCCGGGCUUAUCUUCCGCAUUCGUUUUAGGGGUUCGAUUUAGUGUCGAAUCCGUUUUUUGGGGAUCCAUUAAUCCCAACAGACGCCAACACCUGCCCCACCAAUUUUUCCUCUCGCCUCCACAAAGCAAGUCAAUCUUGCUGCCCUUCGGUCGGGUGUUGACCGAAUCGGCCAAUUCGGCUUCACGAGCAGAAGAUUGACGCCAGCAAGCUGCUUCUUCGUCCGCGUGCCUUCAGCCCGUCUGCAAGAGCAUUUCCAGCCCAAUCCCCAGCGAUUUGGGCCCGAUUCAGCAGACCCAAUUGAAUUCAUCCCACGGCCAGCAGCUUCUUUGGGCUGUAUCUUCAGCCCAUCUGCUCCUACAUUUCAGUUUCGGCCAAUCUUCCUUCAAGCCAACCCACGAAUUUCAACAGGCCCAAGCCCAAAAGUUUCUGCGGGCUUGCUAAGUUUCUUGGCCCGGUCCGAGUGUGCUUCGACGCUGCCGAAAUUUUGGAAUUCGGCCGCUGUCGCGUCGUUGUCACGGUGUUCCGGUCUUCGCUUUGUAAAGUGAGUUUUGCUCACUAAUGCCUUCUUAGUUUGCUAAUUACACUUAAAGGUUGAUUAGAUUUAAUUAAUUGCAAUUAGGUGGAUAGAUAAGAUUAAAGUAAUUAAAUUAAAGACUCAUUGAUGCAUGUUAAUUAAAUUGAUUGUGCAUUUAACUAGUAAACAUGUCUUAGUAUUUAUUGGAUGCUUCUUGGGAUUUUUCCCGUCCCUUAUCGGGUGUUAAUUAGGCAAUUCGGGCCUAGGUGGAAUUUUUUAGUAAUUAAAUAUUAAUCUUUGAAAUUAAUUAUUUAAUUAUUUAUUUCCCGGAAAUUCAACUGGGAUAGCCAGUGAUCGGGAUUUUAUGCUGAUGAUCGUGGUGUAGUCCGUUUAUUUAAUUGAGCUUCAUAUUAUGCUAAAUUGGAAUUAUUGUGUCUAUUUAUUUAAUUUUCGAAAUUAAUUAUUUAAUUAUUUAUUUUUCGAAAAUUCAACCGGGAUGGCCGGUGACCGGAAUUUCGUGCUGAUUGUCGUGGAGCAGUCCAUUUAUUUAUUUGAGCUUUAAUUCGUGUCGAAUUGUUUAAUGGUGCAUUUUUAAGUUAUAUUCUUAAAUAAUGCAAUUUUGGCUAUGUGAUUGAGAAAUUGGUCGGGUACCGGUUGUCAGUAUUGAAAGUGAGUUGGUAAAUCACCUGGAGAAUGCAUGUGGCCCGGUGAAUUGGAAUUUCAACUGGGAAAGACACGUGGCUCAGUGAUUAGAUAUGUCAUCUUGGUGAAAAGGUAGCUUUAGAGAAUGCACGUGACUCGGAGACUCGGUAUGUCUUCCUAGAGAAUGCACGUGACUCGGUGACAGAGUAUGGCAUCAUAGAAAGGGGUCGAGUGGGACCAUAAAGCCACUAAAUCUUGGAAAGUUCGGGUGGGACCAUAAAGCCACUAAAUCUUGAAAAGGUCGGGUGGGACCGUAAAGCCACUAGAUCUUGAGAGGGUCGGGUGGGACCAUAAAGCCACUAAAUCUUGAAAAGGUCGGGUGGGACCGUAAAGCCACUAGAUCUUGAGAAGGUCGGGUGGGACCGUAAAGCCACUAAAUCCAAGGAAUUGCUUGGUGUGGGAUGAAUGACCUAGAAAUGGUCCGACUGAUAUGAAAUCGACUAAGUCAAUCAGAUCGAUGCUUCGAUCUGUGAUGUGAUCGCUUGGGUGCCUAUUUGAUUUGUGCUAAUAUGCAGGUGGAAUCAGAGGCCAAAGUAAGUCCUCUAACUCAUGUUGUGCAUAGGCAACCCUAAAGUGUAUUAAUUUACUAAUCGGGUCUUAGUGUGGUAGAAUUUGCUAAGACAUAGUCUCAUCCCGGUUUGGGGAAAACAUUUCAGGACCCUGAUGAAGAACCUGAGGAUAAAGAAAUCGAAGAGGAGUAUCUGGAGGAGAACUCCGAGGAUGAUCCGGAGUAGGAUUCUGACGACUUUUGCUAUAGAAUCAAUUUGAGUAGAAACCAAUCGUUUUAGUAUGGCUUGUAUAUGAUCAUAAGGGUGUUGGUUUUCAGGUUCAAUUUCCUAGUCCUACUUGUAUAUCCCAUUGCUUUAUUGUCUGGGGAUUUUUAUAACUACUUCCGCGUGUGCUAUAAAAAAGAAAAGGGUUGGCGAUAUGUAGUCCUGGGAUAUCGCAUUUUAAAAUCGACCAAAAGUAAGGGAUGUCCGCGUGCCUGAGGAUCGGGGCGUGACAAAUAAAAUUUGGGAUAGGAUAUGACUUAUCCUAUCCUACGUUUGGUGCUCGCUCAGGAUAGGAUAAAGUUGGAUAUAAGGGGGGUAUAGGCAGGAUAAAAUUAUCCCAUGGGAGAGGUGGGAUAAAUGUGGAUAGGAUUUUUAACGUCCGUAAUAGGAAAGUUAUUUUUUUCGAAUAACAAACUUAUUAAAUUAACAAAAUUGAAAUUAUAUUUCAAUAUAAAUAUUAUUUGAAUUCUAAUUUAAGAAAUUAAAAAUUAAAAAUUAUUUUUGAUUAAUCUUAUUUUAAUUUAUAUAUUCAACUUUAAUUCUAUCUUAUAAUAAACAUUCAAUCUAUAAAUUAAAUAUUUAUAUUUAUUAUAUAUUUAGGUAUGUUAGUACAAUUUACUAUUUGAUAAAAUUUUAUUAAAGAAUGAUGAAAGGGGAAAAAAGAGAUAAUAAAGAAAAUAAUAUAAAAAAAGGAAAAAUAAAAUAAACUAAAAAUUAAAAUAAAUUAAGAAAUAGUAUUACGAGCGAUUUUCACCAUCUCCGUUUAUGAACAUUUAGGUUCAUUUGUAAUGAUAUCCGUUUAUAUAAAAAAAAUGUACAUGAUAUGAUAUGAAUAUAUCCGACUUUAAUACUGCGAUUCACCAAACAAUGGAUAUGAUAUAAAAAAAUCUCAGGAUUUCAUAUCCUAUCAUAUUCAGUCAUAUCCCAAUUAUAAAUCUGGAUGACCAAAUGUAGCCUAAAAGUCAAAGUUUCCUUGGAUUUGAUGCAUUUUCUGCGUGCACUUUCCAAGAAUGAAUUGAACAAAAAUAUACCUUUUAAGAGUACCAACAAAGGGAAAAUUCCAAAUAAGGACCUAAAAUACUAUCAUUUUCUUUUUUAAAUAAGAGCUUGAAGUUGACCUUAUUUCAAAUAAAUUCCCGAAGUGGUUAUCAUUGUUUCAAAUAAAGACCUAUUCUUGUCAGCUUGCCAGCUAGCAAAAUAUUCCGGCUGAUCAAGGAUAUUUUCGUUAAAACACAAGUUAAAUUUAAAUUAAAUUAGAAUGAAAAUUUUGAAAAAAAUAAAAAAGGAAAAACAUAGGGGGGAGGGCCCGCCUGUGUUUUCCUUUUUCUUAGUUUUUUUUGUGAAAAGAAAAAAAUAAAAAAAAUAAAAAAUUUUAAAAUUUUAAAAGAAGAAAUUGCCCUUUACAGCAGGUGAAUUCAAGCCAUUAUUUGAGAUUGAUAUGGAUACUUCAGGCUCUUAUUUAAAAAAAUGUCCACUUUAUGCCCUUAUUUAGAAUUUUCCCUACUAACAAAUCAUGAAUUUGCCCUACAAAAAGGCAUCAACUUUAAGGCUUGGGAUAAAUAUACAGGAACUUUUUAAAUGGUUCAAGAAAAGGCAAGGAUAGACCAAUCGAGGAAAAGGCAUGGACUUUUGGGUUUGGUGCAAAUCUAGCAGAAGUCUCUUAACACCUUUAAAAACCAAGAAUAUAACCCAAAAUGAGCUCAAAGUUUCCUUCGUAACUCCCGAAACUUCUUCGUAGUGGCUUUGUUACAUGCCUCAUUUCAUAGGGAACCUCAAAGUGGCUCUAUUUCAUUAUAUUUCAUGAGAUUCAUAGUUGCAUUACUUAUAGCUUCUUUGUUCAUAGACAAAGCUGAUUUGGAAUUGUUUUUCAUUCCAAAGCAUAACCUAUGUCCAUGUGCUUCAUAUUCACGUAGAGUUUGCUUUCAGAAAUAUAGCCAUCCCUACCCCUUCACGUCAAUCCCACAAGCCUCUUAUCCAUUCUCAUUCGACUGGAGGGGACACCAAAGGCCUCUGCCCUUCCAUCCCUUGGAUAGAUAGAGAGGGAGAGCAGAGCUUUUGGUUUUUUCAUGUUGUCAAAGAGUUGAACAAUGAAAAUAGAUGGCGAAUGCCUAAUCAAAUUGAUCGGGUCACGUAGGAACAAGGUUUAGAUACGCUCCCCUAACUGUGUUUGCUAUAUAAAUUCUUAGGCUAUGUUUGGUCAUUUGGAUGUUUAGUUAGGAUAGGAUUACGUAUGAUAGGAUGAUUAAUUUAGGAAUUUUGUAAUAUUCUAUUCACUAUGGUGAACCACAAUAAUAAUGGCGGAUGCUUUUAUAUUUUAUUUGGCCUAUUGUUUAGUAUAAAUGUCAAAUGUCAUAUCAAUACGAAUACAACUAAAUAUGCACAAAUGGAGAUGGUAAAAAUAUUUUGUGAUUAACUAUUAAAGAAACUACAAAUGCAUAAAUGGAGGUAACCUCCAUCGAUCAAUCCAUGAUUAACUAACGAUAGAAAUCUUAAAUAACAAAUGAGCUAUUAUAGCUUUCCAGAGCCACAGUUUCGACUAUGACGAGAAACGUAAACACGCUCCAACAACAUUGAUGAGUUAAAUUAGGAAGUGAAUGCCAAAUCUAGUAAGAGAGAGAAGACAUGAACAUUCUCCUUCCAAAAUUGCGAGAAGUAUAGUGUUUCAACUCUCUCGUAACUUCGUGAAACUUCAAAGUGAAUUACAAACCUAUGAAGGAAAAUGAGCUUUGAUUUUCUUGUUGCUUUCGUGGACUUUUGAUGUGAACUAGAGAGUUACAAGGGAAAAGAGCUCUGACUUUCUCACUAUUUUUGUGGAGCUUUAAUGGGAACUAAAGAACUAUGGAUGAGUCGUGAAGUUUCAACAUGAACUAGAGAUACAGAAAAAAAUGAGACGGAGAGGGUAGGGUUUUGUUCUAGAAAAGGCAUUGCCAUUAUCAUUUGAGAAUUUAAAAAAAAAAUCCUUUUAAGUUUAAAUUUGUUCAUUUAAAACAUUAGUCCUUCUUCUUCAUUUUUGUUUGUCUAUUUUUUUACUAGUUUCUCUCUUUUUUAUUUAUUUUUUAUAUCAGUCCAUCAUUCCUUAAUCAAAAUUGUACUAAAUAAUUUAUUAUGCUAACAUACCUAAAAUGUUUAAUAAAUAUACUAAAUAUAAUAUAUAUUAUAGAAUAGAAAGAAAUUUAAUUAUAUAAAUAAAUAAAAACGAAAAUUGUUGGUCUUUUUUGUUAUCAUAAAUUUUCUUUUUAUAUUUAGCAUUCAAUUAUUAUUUUAAUUUUAUUAAUUUAGGAAAUUUGUUAUUCAAGAAAAAUAGUUAUUAUACUAUGGAUAUUAGAAAUUCUAUUUACCUUUAUCCAACCUCCCUCAUGAGAUAUUUUUAUAUGGCUCAUAUCCCUUUAUAUACAACCUUAUCUUAUUUUGGGGAACCAAAUACAAAUUAGGAUAAAAUUUAUAUUAUUUUAAUUUUUAUCUUGACUAUCAAACGUAGCCUUAAUUUUUUUUUUUAUAAAGGAUUAGAUAGAAGACUUUGUUUCUUCCUUUAAUGAUGUUUGGAAUAUAAGUUCUUAAUUUGUGGUUGGUAUUGCCAGUCUACUAAUUUAAUAUGGGAACUUCCCAUUGUAAGGCAAGUCCAAUAGUGAAAAGUACAAAGAGACUUUGGGAAAAGGGAAAAGUGACAAUGUGGCACAAAAUUGAAACUUGAUCCAUAUAUAAAUGAAUUAAACAAAAGAUUUCAAAGCAAGACAUUUCAAAGGUCUAUAAAUCAUAAAAUUAACUAGGGUUGAGACGACUCAAGAAUGGUGUCCUUUUUUAGUCAUGAGGAACAAUGUCAUUUUAUCUUCCUAAUGUGUUUAUUGUUCACUUUCUCGUGCUAUUAGCUACAUUAAAUUUUAUGUUUGUCUUAUGUUCAAGAAACUUAACCAUGGAUAUUUUUGUUCACCAACUAAAAGUUUAUACAUCUUUUUGUGUCAUUUGAAAAGUUAUCAUCAAAUCAAACCUAUGACAUCAUACUUAUUUAUUUCAUCUCCGAUUUUUUUGUGAAAAAUGGCUUAAGAUACCGCUGACAGCAUAAACUCCCAUUACUUUUAAAAAUAGCUCCAGAGAAAUCGCUCUUUGCGAAUAGGGAUGCCAAUUUUGUGUAUUCUUCAAUCUCGAUAACAAUUGGAGACACCUUCCUGUAUUAGAUCUGAUAUAAGUUCAUGCUUAUGUGGUCCCACAUUUUAUCGAACAUGUGGUAAAGGGCUUGGUCAAAGAGAUAACGUGCAAUGUUAAGAGGGACAACUCGUUUCAAAUCUUCACAAUCAGUAACAACAAGAGCUUAGAUCAUCAAAACAGAUUUGACACUGAUCGAUUUCCACACAAGCGCGUCUGUAGAUUUCGUACUUUAUUUAUCUCAAGAAAUAGCCGAGAACAGAGCACGUUCAAAUCGACCAAGAGAAGGAUGUUUACACGUAGUGGUUUCCGGCCGAACAUGAGCAAAGUGCCCACCAGAGAAAGUUUCUAAGAAUGGAAUCAGUGAUAGAGACAACGGAAGCUGCAAUUCAAGCUCCUCGUAAAAUGUGCCCGAGAACAGGGUAGAAGAGAGUUUGUCAAAAUAUGUCUAAAAUUUGAGCCAAUGAACGAAAGCGACCCAAGAUAAAUUAACGUAAAGUCCGAAAGUUGAAUAUUUGUUGUCUUCCACCAUGGAAAUCAAAAUUUCCUGUUCGGCAUUGGAGUCUAAAGUGAUACUUUCAACGUAAAAAGAAAAGUCAAUAUUGGAGUCCAAGUAGGAAGAGGAAACAAAUUUCCUAUUUUCAAUUCAGAUUAUUCAAUGCGUGCGUUCUUAGGGCGUUUGCUUUUCUGACGGGCAGAGCGCUUAUAUAUUUAAAUAUGUACUCGUGGGCUGCUCACGAAGAAUUGGUGAAGCGACUUUGACCGAGUGCUUGGUGUGGGUUUUCUGUUGAUUUUCUUCGUAAAAUUACACUAAUAAUUUUAGUGUUGAAGACGAUUAAAUUUUGGGAUAAGAUUUGUGAAUUCCUUUAAGAUUGAGAGAUUAAUCGUGUAAAAUAGUGGGGUUAAAUUCUGUUUGAAUUUAUUGGAUGUAAUUAAGAGUUGGGAAAUAUUGAAGUUAUUUAAUUGAUUCGUGUGAUUGUAAUAUUUUUUAUAUUGCUUAAUGUAUAAUAGCAUUUUUUGUUGUCCAUGUGGAUGUAGGUCACUUCGAUUGAAUCACAUAAACCGGCAUCCAAUUUAUUUUCUUAUUCUAUUUAAUUGUUGUUUGACUGCUUUUUUUUUUUUUUUUUUGCAACAAUUGGUAUUAGCAUUAGAUUUAACUGAGCUAAGCAAAUCAAUGGAGAUGAUGCAGAAAUGGUGAGAAUAGACAGUUUGAUGGGAGGAUGUUAGUUUCUAGAAGAUGUAGAUUGAGGAUUACCAAUACCAAAGAAAUCUACACUUACUCCUAUUUGGGAAGAAGACAGAGUUGAUGAAGCCAGCUGAUUGAGAAUCACUGGAUAGACAAGCUUUGGAUGUUAGUCAGUUGACGUUGGCUCGUAAUGUUGCGUUUAACAUCUUUAAAAAAAAGUCUAUUGUGGGUUGAUGAAAGCUCUCUUAGACAUACGAGAAGCCUUUUUCAACUAACAAGGUCUAUUUGAUACAAUGCCUAUUUAACUUAAAGAUGGGUGAUCGUGCGUUAAUUGCUUAUUAUAUAAAUGAAUUCGAUGUGAUUGUUACUUGGUUGAAGUAAGUUGAUAUUGACUUUGAUGAUGAGGUGUUUGUUUUGAUUCUAUUAUUUUAAUUGCUUAAUAGUUCGAAUACUAUUGUCACUGUUGUUAGUAAUCCCUCUAGGGCAAGAAGCUUGACAUUUGAUAAGGUUCAUGACUUGCUUCCGAGUGAAGAUAUUCGUAGGAGAGAAUUUAAUGAACCUACAUAUACUAUUUCAGUAGGUGAAAGUAGAGCAACUACUAGUAAUCGUAUUUAUAGAAGUAGUAUAAAUUUGAUCAUAUGUAGUCAAUCUACAACUAGUGGUGUCGGCUGUUGGAGUUAUGGCAAGAAGGGAUUACCUUAAGCUGAAGAAUGAGAAGGGCAAGGGAAUUCGAGUUUAAUCUACAAAUAAUGUUGUGAUAGUAGCUUACCACAAUUCAAAUAAUACUGAUUAUGUCUUAUCUAUCAUUAUGCUUAGGCACAAGUAUGAUGCUAUUGUCAUGAUUAGAUAGUUGAGAGCUUUGAUAGAAAAUGAUACAAAAAAGACAAUUAAGUAUGUACGAACUGAUCGUAGAGUUUUGCUUGGUGUGUCAAACAAAUGUUACGGAAGGGUUGAGAAUGCGACAUAGAUCCUCAUAAAGGGAUUUCUGAGGUCAAACUUGCGGUUUACCGAUUUGACAUUUGUUUCUGACUUUCGGCAGGAGGUCCACAUGUGGCUCUUUCUCAUGGGCGGCAGCAUGAGAUCCAGAGGGAUAAUCAAUACCAGGAACCGGAGUGUCUUUAGUCUAUCGUCCGAUUCCAACGGCGAUAUAUCUUCACCGUAGCUUUAUGACAACGAUCCAGCGGCAGGCCUCACGGUGCUAUGGACUCUGUCAGUGGCUUUCUUUGCCUGCAACAAUGCCAAAUGUCAAGCAGCAACCAUAUAUCGGAUAGUACUUUCCAUGGUAAAAACGUUCCAUUUAUCUAUUCACUGUAAUUUACCUCUUUCUCCCAAUCGGUACAUCCUGUUAGGAUCGCAAGUAACAAUGCUUGCGCAAAGAGUGCAACUAUAAUCCCCGUCCAGAGGCCCUACAGCUCGAUACGAAGAAAAAGCAAUUAUAGGAAUAUCGGAUUGACUACCAGUUACGAUGAAAGGAAAGGAUGCAGCAGAAUGGUAAGGUAAAUACCUUUCCACCAAAGUGACAGACAAAAGCUAGGAAUACGGCCACUGGAAUACCCAGCAAAUAGUAGGCACCCAAAUUGAUGACAGCUCCAAUCUUUUGCCAUCCACAUCCUCUUGCAAUUCCUUAAAAAAUGUAACAUAUAGCAUAAAAAAAGUCGAAGUACAAAUCGGUUUAACUUGAACAUAUUUGAGAUUUGACGCAUUCUCCAUCUGCCCUCCCUUAUUGUCAGAAUAAGUUGUUAAAGUUAAACUAGGUCAGGUGCACCAUUAAACUGUAAUUAUAAGCAAACUUCGUGCAUACCUGAAAGCACGGACUGAAUGCCAUCGAUAAGAUGGGAAGUUGCGAUUAGUACCAACAUAUCUCCCACAUAGUUCACUAUUUCUUCUUCUGUACUAUAGAGGUAGCCCCACGCCCUUCGACAGAAGAUCAUGAGAGUACCAGCAAGCAAGCCUUCCGUGGCGACCAUCAUUAAGGAAACAUAAAUUGCCAAACGAGCUGCUCGUGGUCUUCCAGCACCCAAUUCAUUUGAAACUCUCGUGCUGCCAAAAAUAAGGCCAAGAAAGGGUGAGACUGUGGAAUAGCUACAUCGUCUGCAGGAUCCACUGAAUUAAAUAAAGGUUAACCAGUUAAGAUUACCUUAUUGAACCACUGAGUCCUAGAGGUAUCAUGAAAACCAAGGCGCAGGUAUUCAGGCUGAAACAAGCACAGGAUACUAAGUUCACAUUGUUUAAAAAUGAUAACAACUGGUGCCAAGAGGUUAGCAACUUUUUUUGCCUCUUGUUGACACAAAGUACUGAUGCA